rnacentral:lncRNA from 1 species
UUUGUCUUGUGAACUCUUUUAGGUCCAUUAUUAAAAUUAGUUGCUGGUGGUUUUCUGGACAGCGGCACGUUUUUGUUUCAUCACAUAUGGGAUUUACGUCUAUGCAAUCUACCACCGUAACACAAUCGCCAUCACUUGAGCACGCAGCAUUGCUUCCUUGUCCUACCAACAUUCAUGGACAUGUCAGUGGUGUAUGCAGAAUAUUUUUAUAAACGAUGACAAAUAGUUGAAGAAGUGAAUAAAUGAAUAAAACAUAUCUAGCCAGAAAAAACGAUGGAGCACUAUCUCGUGACACUGCUUGAGGUACAUUAUAUCCGCAUGUGGAUUUAAGUUUUUGAAACGAAAAAAUAACUAGCUAGAAUUAAGUUUUAUGCAUUUACUCUAUAAAUAUAUUAUACAACAUAUAUUUAGUAACCUACAAUGAAUGAUAAAAUGACAUGCAAUAGAAAUUAAAUUACUAAUGUAAAAAGUCAUAAUAUUUUAUGUGGAUAUAACUUGCUUAAUCCUCUUCAUGAUAUAAAAAAAGACACAAAUUGCAAUUGCUAAAUUUCUAGAGUGCAAAUUGCUAGAUAAUAAAAUCCAAUAAUUACAAAUUGCUUGCCAGUCCUAACUAGCAACUUUGACAUUAAAGGAAGAAAUUAACUAGAGUUAUCAUAUUUUGUAAUAUAAAAAAAGACACAGAAAUUGAUUUAAACUUAUCUAGAUUUAAAUUGCUUAACUAACAAAAUAAGCAAAAAGGAGACCAAGAAAAUCUUAAAGAUUGUUGCCUUCUCCAUUCUUUUCCAAGUUUUGUGAUAGCACAAUAGUAACUAUAUGAUUAUUGCUUUUGAUUAUUACUCUUAGCAAUAUAUUUAUAGGGAAAUAAUAUCCCUGCAACAAACUCUGAAUUGAUGGAAAUUUAGUAAAUUUAGUAACAACUUUUAUUUUCUGUCCAUAAAUGAAAUAGAUAAAAUCUAAGACUAAGAUAAUACAAUAUUUUUUGAAUGAACUACUUUGGAAAGUGAAUCAUUUCCCUGUGAAGAUUGGCAGUAACCUAAAUCAAAUUUGUUUUAAACUCAUUAAAAGAUUUAAGUUAUAUACCUUGAUAGUUUAACUUUUUUAAAUAGUAUUAUUAUAUUUAAUAGCAGUUCAAUUAUCAUUUUUAUUAAAUUACCAAUUAAUAUUUAUAACAAAAGUUAUAUGUAAUUUCAUAAUUAUUGUUCUGAUUGUGUAACAUGAAAAUCACACUACCCAAAUUUAAAAAUAUUUAGACAUUCCCUGGAUACUAUAAAAAUAUGUUCUCAGCAUUGCUAUCUAAGAAAUACAAAUGAAAAAACUUUAAAAUUUGUCGUCAUAAACAUGACAUAAAAUUUGCGUAACUAUAAAAUCAUGUUAUUAAGGAUAAAAAUUUGAUAAACUCUCGACUUAAGUAAAACACAAUAAUAAUAGAAAUAAAAUAAAAUACAACAAUAGUAAAAAAAAAUCAUGUAGAGAAUAGUGAAGAAAAGAACAGUAACAAUAACAAAUAAUAAUAAUAACCAUAAUAAAAGAAACAAUAGGUAAACUGGGCAAUGUUCGACUAUCUUCUAACCUUUUAUCUUAUCCUUUGAUCUCCAUAUCCUUGACAAGCUGCAUAUAUAUGUUUUAUGUAUGGUAUAAUUUAAGGAAAAAUUACAUAACACCACAAUUUAUCUGUACUAAAUUACAUAAAAUUCCUAUCUUUUUUAUUAAUUACCUAAAUUCUUUUUAUUUUUAAAUAAAACAAUCGAAUAUAUCCACAAACCUAUAAGUUUUUGGAUAUGUAAUUUAUUUAUGUAUCUCCCUUUGAUCUAGUUAAUAUAUUAUGUAUCUCGAUCAAAUAGUUUAAAAAAUGAAUGUGUUCUCAGUAAUCAAAAUUAUGUAUCUCAACUUCAGAAUUAUGUAUCAGAGCAAAAAUGGUGUAAUUAAAUAUUACAUUAUUAAGUUCAAAAUUAUGUAUCUCAACUACAAAACUAUGUAUCCAGAUGCUAAUAAUGUAUUAAAAAAUUCCAAAAUAGGGGAUUAUUAUAAUUUAGCAAAUAGUAGGGAUAAAGAUUAAUUAGGGAUAAACUUGUUGGGAUUUAUGUAAGUUUUACUUAUUUCUAAAGCCUUGGCCAACAAAGUAAAUGGAAUUGGUCACCAACGAGGGUUGUGGUGCAAUGAUUGAAUUUCUCUACCCUUAACCAGAUCACUCGGGUUCAAGUCCUGGGUAUGAAGAAAAUUCAGUCAAGAGUCCUACCCCGCAAAAGAACCUUGCAAUGCGUAAUCCGAAUCAGUCAAAACUACAAUAUGAAUAUCGAAUAUAUAAAAAAAUGUAACUGGUCUCCUCUUUUGUUGUCCAUCUUAGCUACCUAUUUUUUGUGGUCUGUGGAGCUAGCAAUAUGCCUCUCCGAUUUCCUCCUCCGGUAAUUAGAGGUAAGAUUUGAUCCUACUUUUGUAUUUUUUUUUUCUUAAAAUAAUAUAUAAGGUAAUAAAAAGGAUUGUGUCAAAUCUUUAUUAUCACUAAAGUAUUGUAAACAAUUAUUAAGAUGAUUAUUGUGAAUGCCCAUAACUUCUAGGUGUUAGUCCUCCUUUAAGUGUAGUAAUUCUCGCACCUGCACUAUAUCCUUAUUGAUCAUCCACUCCCUCAUAUUCUUCCGCACCUUCUAAUGAGUUAAUGUCAUAUUUAUGACAUCUCUUAAAGUUCCUCCAUGUAAUACUAUAAAUAGAGGUCUUAAGGAAGAUGUUUUAUACACUUGAAAGAAAGAUGAAACUUAUCUUAUAUUGCUCACUUGUUAUUUUUUUCUCUAUUGUUCCUCUUGUCUUGCUCUUUACAUUGCCAUUCUUAUUCUUAAUAUCGAAACUCGUUAUCAACACAACUUUAUUCUUUUUCAAGUUUUUAAUUUGUCCGAUAUAAUCAAUUUACUUGUCUUGAACAUUGUAGUUUAUUAUUUUUCUUUACCAAACUUUUGAUUUCUCUAUGAAAAGUUUGAUAUGUGCAUAAUGGAUGUUGUCAUGACCUAUUGAUAUGGCUCAUUGGACGAUGAUAUUUUUAUGAGAAUUUCUGAAGUCUUUAAAGUGUCUGAAGCAUAUAAAAAUUUGCAAGAAACUAGUUCAAUAAAACUUCAGAAAUCCUUACAUGGAUUGAAACAAUCAGGACGAAUGUGGUACAAUCGUCUUAGUGAAUAUUUGAAUAAAAAACGGGUACAAAAAUGAUAUUAUUUUCUCAUUUGUUUCUUAUAAGAAGGUCUGGAUCUGACUUUGCUAUAAUAGUUAUAUAUGUUGAUGACUUGAAUAUCAUUGGCACUCUUAAAGAGCUUUCAAAAGACAUGGAGUGUUUGUAGAAAGAAUUUGAAAUGAUAGGUCUGAGAAAAACAAAAUUUUAUCUCUCCUACAAAUUGAGCAGUUGACAAAUAAAAUUUUUGUCUAUCAGUUAACAUACACUAAAAUUUUUUUAAAGUUAUUUUACAUAGAUAAAUCACAUCCGUUGAGUACCCUAAUAGUUGUAGGUCAUUUGAUAUAAACAAAGAUUCAUUUCAACCUCAAGAAAAGGAUGAAGAGCUUUUUGGUGACAAAACUCCAUAUCUUAAUCCAAUCAGGGUGCUAAUGUAUCUUGCCAAUAAUACUCGACCAGAUAUUUAUUUUGCAGUAAGUUUAUUGGUAAGAUUCAGCUCUCCCCAAUUAGACAUUGGACUAGUGUCAAGUAUACAUUAAGAUAUCUUUGGGGGAACCAUUGACUUGAGAUUGUUUUAUUCUAAUGAAUCAAAGUCAGAAAUGAUUGGCUAUGCAAAUGGAGGAUACUUGUUUGAUCCAUAUAAUUCUCGGUCUCAGACGGGCUAUUUAUUUAUAUAUGAUGGAACAACUAUAUUAUUGUGUUCAAUGAAACAAACAUUAGCUGCAACUUCUUCAAAUUAUGCAAAAAUCAUUAUCAUGCAUGAAGCUAGUUGAGAGUGUGUUAACAUAUUCAGGAAAUAUGUGGAUUUUCUUUGAAUAAGGAUAUUUCAACUGCAUUGUAUAAAGACAAUGCUACAUGUUUAGCUCAGUUGAUGUCACGAUCCAAGCUCGAACUGGUUAACCUUUACCUCAAAAACACAAUAAAAGUAAACAACAAAAUUCAACCAAGACAUUAAGUACAUAAAUAAAAAAGAAAGAUAAAGAGUCAAAACCAAACAUCAAUGACAUUCCAACACAAUCUACAAAAGUAUCUAAUCCUUAUCCAAGAAUAUCAACUAAGUCAGGAGAUGCCCCCGACUAUGACAAAAAAAGUCCAUAAACACUAGAAAUAUAAAGAAAACUAAGAAAAUGACGGGGUCCUUUGAAGGAUGGAGGCUCAUCACUUCACGAUUAAUCAACAGGGAUACAAGACCACCUAACACUGCACAAGAUCAAUAGAAAAGCCCUCAGAACCUACAUCAUGAAAUGAUGUAGCAUCUAGGGAUGGUUAGUACGGCAAGUACUGGCAUGCAACCCAAGGAAGGGAUAAAAUAAUGAAUUUAUCAAAAAUCCAAUCAUAAAACCACAUGCACAACAAUUAUGCAUACGUAUGUGUGUGUGUGUAUAUAUAUAUAUACAUAUAUAUAUAUACACACAGAAUGCCAAGAUAGGGACAAGAGAUAGGAAAUAUUAUCCUUUAAAAUAUUAGUCCUAAACUAUGUAGCUCAUACCAACUUUUCAGUAACCCAUGGGCUAUAUGAGUCCGUCUUCUCUUGUCAAAAGGGACUCAGUCCAUGUUAGAAGUAUGUACCGAGGAAUGACUAAAGACACCAAGAUGAUAUCCAUCCAAAAUAUAAUGUGUAUCCAGACACAAUGAUCAUAUAGACCCCAACAUCGAUAAACGUGGUUUUCAGUGUUGGUCCUCUAGAACUACACCUUCUCGAUGCUACAUGAUUCUCUUUAAGCCCAAAUUAAAAUAAUUUGCACAUAAAGCAACCAUUAACCAUGGAGUCUUUUAUUUAAGCAUUUCCAACUUGAUAUCGUCAUACCAAUAGACUUGCAAGCUAUUUCAAUUAUGCCAAAUCAAAAUCAUUUCACCAUUAGAUCCCCAAUUCCAUUUAUAAUCCAAAACCAUAGCUACCAAGGACAUUCCGAAACCAUAGUCACCAAGGAAAAUUCAAAACCCUAGCCCCCAAGGGUAUUCCAAACUAUUUUAUCCUUUUUCCAUUAAUGCAAUGCAUAGAAUCCUUGUUCAAAACCUAAACUUACAAUGUGGGUUGAAGUUAAUAUCAUUACCAUGCCAAAAUUCAUCCGUAUUGUAAAAAACCAAAUCACCAAAUUCACCAUUUCAACAAUGCACAAAUUUAGUUCAUAUUUGAAAGCAUGAAUAAUCCAUUAAAAAAGAAAAAUAAAGCAAGAUUAUCACAAUCCAAAGACCCUUAACUCUAGUUCAAAUUCGUCAUUCAAAACACAUAAAUACUAGAUAAACUGAUGUAAUAAUUAUAAAAUUCAAGUUAGGGAGUGUACAACAUGCUUGAAAUAUAGAAAAAUUUGGAGAAAAAUCAAAAUUUAGAGACUAGAGUAAUAAAUUCUUGUUAAACCCUUGAAUUUUUUUGAUUUGGAAGUUAAAGAGGAGAAACACAAUGUUUGAUCUUAAUAACUGAAAGGUAUGGGGUUAUUUAGGUGUUUUUAAGUCCUUUAAGGGGUAAAGGAAUAAAGAGCCCUUGCCCUAAUUGAAAAAAAUGAAACUUGGCGAAUUACGCCCAGCAGCGUGGUAUGCCCUUAUCACAGAGCGUAGACAGCGUGUCCCUUAUUGCGGGGCGUAGGAAGUGUUCCAUGCCAUUAUCGUAAAACCUCACUGGUUCGAGUCCCGGACGAUUUUCGAAAAUGCUAAAACUCACCCAAUUCAUUCCUUUAACAUCCCUGAUCAUGACUCAAGUAAAAAAUUAUCAUUUCACACAUGGGAGGGUCCAAAAUAAAUUAUUCAAAAAUUUUUGAGAUCUUACAGUUGAAGGGAGGUUACAUUUAAAGAGAUAGAACAAAACACAUUUCACUAUAAUUUUUUUUCACCCAUAAUAUUAGGAAGAAAGGUGAAUUGAAUAUUUAACAAAUUCGUUCGACCGAUUAUUUGACAGUUCUGUUCACUAAAGCAUUACCAACCUCAACAUUUGAGAAGCUGGUAUUCAAGAUUGGGACACAUCAUCUCCGAGAAUUGAAAAAAUAUUUAUAUUAGGGGGAGUAAAGUAUGCGCUGCACUCUAUUUUCCUUCGCCUUGGCUUUGUCCCAAUGGACUUUUAUUAGCAAUGCAUAUCAGAAUAUAUGUGUACUCUUUUUUCAUCACUGAGAUUUUUUCCCACAUGAUUUUUUUCUUAAUAUGAUUUUAACAAGGCACAUUAUCUAUUAGUGGACAUCCAAGGGGGAGUAUUAUAAAUAAUUAUUAAGAUGAUUAUUGUGGAUGCCCACAACUUCUAGGUGUUACUCUUCCUUUAAGUGUAGUAAUUCUCACACCUCCACUACAUCCUUAUUGAUCAUUUAUUCCUCCAUAUUCUUCCCCACCUUCUUAUGAGUUAAUGUCAUGUUUAUGACACCUCUUGAAGUUCCUUCAUAUAAUACUAUACAUAGAGGUCUUGAGGAAGAUGUUUUAUACACUUGAAAGAAAGAAGAACUUAUCUUAUAUUGCUCUCUUGUUGUUUUGUUCUCUAUUGUUCCUCUUAUCUUGUUCUUUACAUUGUUAUUUUUGUUCUUAAUAUCAAAACAUGAAGGCAAAAGUUUGGAGGAUCAAUUUGAUAGAAUUUCUUUUUUGAAAGUUAAUCUUUGUGUCUAUUAGUAAUGGCAUAUGUUAAUGAGAAGGAAAACUUACAAAAAAAUAGCCAUAAGAUCAGAAAAAGGGGUGCAACAACACAAUCAUAAAUUACAAUCCAUAAUCAUUGUAUCACUGUAGUUGCAUCAAUGAAUACAAGUGUAUCAACGAAUAUAAACUUUUUUUGUAUUUUAUAUUUUUUCGCUUUUUUUCUCCUUUUUUGUAUUUAGUAUUUUCACUUCUCUCUCUCAAAUGUAUCAAACUUAGCAUAUAUAUUUAUAUAUUAACAAGUAUAUCAUCAUUUGUAUUUUCUUGUGUCUAUCAUAUACAAAUACAAAUCUAUCAUUUAAUGCAAAUAUAUCAUUUGUAUUUGAAUGACAUAAUUUUUAUCAACAAACACAAUUUGUACCAAAAUUGUAUAAAAUCUAAUACAUAUUAAAACAAAAUAUAAAAUACUUGUAAAUACCUAAAACAAAAUACAAGAGACAACUACUUGAAAAUAGAAAGUGAGAGAAUGAGAGAGGGGUGAGAAAAGCAAAAGAGAGAGAGAGAGAGAGGAGGCAAAAGGGGAGGGAGAGAGGCAAUGAGAGAGAAGGAGAGUGGAGGAAGUUGAGCAAGAUUGGGAGAGAAGGAGGAGAGUGGCGAGAGAGGAAAAGAAAAGAGAGGCUAUGGAUUGUAUUUAAUUAGCAAGAGAGACUAUGCAUCGUAAUUAAUUGAAACUUAAGCUAAAUAGGACAAUUAGGGGCUUAUGAUUGCCAAGCCAUGUAGUUUUUUUUUUUCGAGAAUUACAUUUGAUCUGAUUCCAAAAUUAAAGGUGAUAAAUUGGGGGGGGGGGUGAACUUAAUAUGAAAGGGAUAAGAGGAGUAUUGUCACUACCCAAAAAUACAAGGGUCAUGAUGGUACUUGUCUUGGCAAACCUUGACAAGUAAGCCUAUCACCCAAACUGAUAUACAAGAAAAAAAUAAAAAUAUCCCCAAGAUAAGGAUUCUAGAACAAAGCCGAAUCACAUAGAUAUGAUAAAAGUGGAAAGAAUAAAAUUGACACAUGCAGCCAUAACUCCCAAAACUAGGUGUCAACAGUAUAAGAACGUAUCUAGUAUAACUCGAGUCCAAAUGAAAUACAUGAGAUAUCCAAAUACAAACUUUGUCUCUGAAAAGAAAAUAAAGAUAGUCUAUAGAGAAAAGUAGUAGAAUACAUCCGAACACUUAAAAAUGAUCAACUACCUUGAAAAUUCCGUAAGUCACCGAGUCACGCAAUGUGGGGUGCACUCGAACCCGAAUCUGUACUGAAAAGGUAAAGUAAGAAUGAGUACAGUCUACUUGUACUCAGUAGGUAUUAUAGGCCGACCGAGAAAAGAAGAAAAUAAAGUAUACAAAAUACAUACUAAGGGCACAUCACCUGCAAUCAGAGAAAUAUAUAUAUCACAAAUACAACAAUAAUACAACAAGUAUAACACAAGUAUACAAUAUGUCACAUAUGAGUACAAACAAAGAAGAACAUAUAUAUACAAGGUAGUCAAGUAUAAAUAACAGGAUAUAGAGAAAGUAGUCAUAUAACAAUUCAAUAUGGAAAUUCAAUCACUACAUCAACAUAAUAAAGCAAUUGUAAUGUAUAAGAUAAUGAUUCCAAUGAUGAUGAUGAUGCAUGAGGUCAUCCUUCAACUCCGGGAUCGUUGCACAAUUCUCGUAUAUACUUACGGAGGCAAGCCUCCCUACAUGGAACCCAUGGAGGGCUCAUCAACUCAUAUACCUACUUGUAUACACCUACGGAGGCAAGCCUCCUAACGUACGAUCCAUGAAGAGUUCGUCAAUCCGUAUACAACCAGUAUCCAUGACUCUUCUCCGACAUAUCCCUCAGAGAAGGUCUAUAAAAGUUUGAUGUUUUCAGUAUUUCUAGAAUUUCUAGUAUUUCUAGUAUUUUAAGUGUUUCAGUAAAACUAAUAUCCAUGACUCAUCUCUGGCAUAUCCCUCAGAGAAAGUCUAUCAAAUCCAAUGUUCUCAGUAUAUUCAGAAUUUCCAGUAUUUUCAGUAUUCCCAAUGUUUCCAAAGCAUAUAACGGACAAAACAAGUAUGACAAACAAUAACAAUAAGUAUAUACAAAACAUACAACAAAUAGUGAAAUUAUACGUGUGAUGCCAUGAGGAUGAUGAUGUAAUGUUCAUAACUAACCACAAAGAGUAUUUUCAUAACUAACCAAUAUACCAAUCAUGUAAGCCCAUUAUCCGUUUGUUAUUUCAAAACAUCCAUGAAUUUCUACAUGUAUCAUAUGCCAACAAGUAUGAUUAUAUCACAAUAAUCCAACAAUACCACAUUAGGCAUUUUAAACACACAAUAUAAUUAUUCACAUGUAAUCAAGGCUAUCAACAUCACACAAGAGCCCACACGAUAACACAUGUUACAUAAUAUCUCAAAUUAAACAAUUAUAUCACACAUAGCCCCCCACACGGGCACAAUACAAAGAUAGCCAUUUUUCAUAAUUAGUUCCCACCCUUAACAUGCAUUUUUUAUAUAGAUUAACUACCCAACCUAGUCUGAAAGAGUUAAGCCAUAACCUAUCUCGAAUAUUGAAACUAGUCGCUAUACUUUGAACCCACUACUUUACUUUCCACGAACGAUCAUGAACUCUAUAAAUACAUAAAAUAUGGAAUCUAUGCAUCAAAACAAAACCAAUUACACCCAUAUUGACUAAUUUUAAUUUGGGAUAAAAAUGGAUCCUCGAUAUAGAUUUUCAAAAAAGAGGGCAAAUGAUACAAGAAACACAAGGGAAACACGAAACACACCAAAAUUAGUCCACAAGUUCAAGAAAAUCAUGGACCUCUUUGGUGACCACUCUCGGAUUCAAGAACACAACAAGAAUUCAAGAUAAUAAGGUGUUUUUACACCUAUGGCAGCGAACAACCGAAACUAUAUUAACCACAAUAAAAAUGAAGAACAACAAGACUACAACAACAAGAAGUCACGGGUAACAUUAAUAUUGACAAAAAUCAACAAUUAGAAUGAACAAAAGAUAGACCAAUGGUUGGUAUAAUCUUAAGAACCCAAGAGCAUAUUCCACUCUUGGACCCUUAAAACCACACUCAAUAAAGACCUAACUCUUACACUUGACACAAGAGAGGCAUCCACCACCCAAGCACCAAGGUAUCAAGCUAAAUGCAACACACAAGUGAUUCCACACUUGUAUAUGGCCCUAGUUAUGGUUGGACUCUCUCUCACUCUAAGAGAUGGUUCUUUCUUUAAUAUUCAACCACUAAAAACUAAAAACCCUACAAGGUUCUAUUUAUAUUAUAUUAAAAAAAUAAGAGACAAAAGACUAAAAUAUCCUUUAAUAAAAAGGGCUUUAAAAGGUACCCAUAGGUGUGUUUGGGGUGGCCCAAGGCCCAUCUUCACACUUCAAAUUGAACACACCAUUGGUAGGAUUCAAAAUACUUAAAAAUUGUAAAUGGUCAUGAUCGUACUUGUAUCAGCCUCUCCAUAUUAAGAGAAAUUUGCCCAUAAAUUCACAACCUCACCUCUUGUAGAGAGGCACUUGACAAUAUCCUUCAUGCGGCCACACAUCUUUUCCAUCUUUCUCACCUUGAAUUUCAACCUCUUCUUUAUCUUUAUCUUGAGGUUUUCCAUCAACCUUAACCGAUUUAAUUACCAUUUCUUCCCCAAGAUAGUAUAAUUUUCCCUCCUUUAGGAUCACAUUCCUCUGGUUUGGAUACUCACUAGCCUUGUUCCCCCACCUUUGGCAUUUGAAGCAUUGAAAUCCCUUAGAAUUGGAAAUGGAAAUUAGUUUACCUUUAUCCCUUGGGGACUGUUUUGGUGCAGCCUUGGUGCUCUCGAUUUGGACAGCCAUGAAUGAGCUCUCUUUGAGCUUCCUUUCAACCUCCAAUGCCGUUUGGAAGAUGCCUUUAAUAGUGUCAAACUUAUGAAGUGUCAUGUGAGUGGAGAUGUCCUUGUUCAAACUAACUUUGAAGCACAUAAUGUCAUAACUCACUUAUUAUCCCUGGUGAUCUAGUUUCAAUAUCAAUUGUUGAAAUUGGUCAUAGUAAGCCAUGACACUCUUGCUUUUUUGCCUUAAAUUAUACAAUUUGGAAAGGAGAUCAUGUCUAUAAGUCUUGGGUAAGUAUCUUUGCCGCAUAAGGUUCUUCAACCGAAACCAAGGAGGAGGUUGUCCCCCAAUUAUCUCAUUCCCAAACUGUUUAACAUACUCCCACCAUGUAUUAGCAUACCCUGUGAAGUGAGCUAUAGCAUAGAAACUUUUUUUCUUCAGUUAGAUCAUUAAUGUAAUACCCCAAAAAAUCCAAACCAAUAUUAGAGCCAUAUACCAAGCUCAUGCAUAGUAAAUCAUGGUUAUUUUAUAGUUUCAUGAUUAAGUUAGAUGUAUAUAAAGACUUUAAAUAACUCCCAGCUAUCAGACGAAUCAAAACAUUCCUUACCGAUUGAAUUCUUGAGAAGGAUAUUGGUAUAGUCAACUUCAAAUGAGAAUAUAUCUCAUUAUACUUGGAAUUUUUGAGCUCAUGAUCUAUCAAUAGAUAUAUAAUUGAAUUAGCUUUCCAACUAUACCAAUUUUUCCUAAAUCCGAUAUCGGAGCAAAGAGUUAUUCCUAUUUUACUCUAGCAUGUCAGGCUGGAAAUAGUGUGACGACAUUUGUGGUAGCCUACCACAUUUGUGAUGCCCUAUCACGAAGGUGAUCAUCCUUAGAAAGAAACUAGCUUCUAAGUGACGACAUUCGUGGUAGCUUACAAUAUUUGUAAUGCCCUAUCAUGAAGGUCGUCAUCUUUAGACAGAAACCAGCUUCUAAGUGACGACAUUCGUGGUAGCUUACCAUAUUUGUAAUGCCCUAUCAUGAAGGUCAUCAUCUUUAGACAGAAACCAGCUCCUAAGUGACGACAUUCGUGGUAGCUUACCAUAUUUAUGACGCCCUAUCACGAAGUUCUUCAGCCUUAGGCAUAAACCAGCUCCUAAGUGACAAUAUUUGUGUUAGCAUACCAUAUUUGUGACGCCUUAUCAUGAAGGUCGUCAGCCUUAGGCACAAACCAGCUCCUAAGUAAUGGAAUUCAUGGUAUCUUACCCCAUUUGUGACGCCCUAUCAUGAAGUUCGUCAACCAUAGGAAGAAACCAGCUUCUAAGAGACGACAUUCGUGGUAGCUUACUAUAUUUGACGCCCUAUCACGAAGGUCAUCAUCCUUAGGCAGAAACCAGCUCCUAAGUGAUGACAUUUGUGGUAGCUUACCACAUUUGUGAUGCCCUAUAAUGAAGGCCGUCUGCCUUAGGCAGAAUCCAGCUUUUGUGUGAUGACAUUUUUGUUGGCCUGUCACAUUUUUGAUGCUUUGUCACUAAUGUCAUCAGCUUUUCUUUCCAGAACUUGAGGGACAUUUUAGUAAGGGUAUUUUAGUCUUUUCCCUUCACUUCCCAUGACUUAUAACCCUCAAGGAACGUAUUAUCUUCCAUUCUCUUUAGUUAAACAUCUCAAAAAGCUCUCUCAUACACUUUUAACCACAAGAUUAGGGUUUUCUCUCGAGAUCAUCUCCUCAAGAACAAGAACAUUCUCUCCCAAAACGGUUAAACCCUAGUCAAGAAAAAUUAAUAGCAAGCCUAAGGAUUUCUUUAGGAACCUUCAAGAAACAUUAGAUAUCAUUCAAGAUCAAGCUUUAAGGUAAUACGUAGUGUUCAUCUAUGGAUCCAAUCCGUUCAUAGAGCUCACGAACCAUGUUUCAAAUACUAUUUUGUGAACUUUUUAUGGUGAUAUGAGUAUGUACAUGUUGAUGAUUGUUGUUUAAGUUUCAAGAUGAUAUUUGGAGGUGUUUUCAUGGAAUAUAUAUGCUUGUUAGUUGAAAACUAUGAGCCUUAGAUGGUGUAAAAUGGUACAAAUUAUAAAACACACCUAUGCCUUAAAGAAUGCAUGCAAGGUGUUCGAUAAAAUGCUUACGAUGCUAGAAAUUCAUGUUUAUAUGGUUCCAUGAUAUCUAAAUGACAUGUCCAUAUUAGCUAUCUACUUUAAUAUGAAUUCCAUGCUUUCAUGUGUUGCUAUUGUUGUGGUAUAAAGCAUGUAUGAUAAUGGAGAUAUACAAUAUUCAUACAAAAUAUAGCUAUGCACUCCCUCCCAUGCUUAAUAUGUUGAGAACAUGCACACGAAAUAUAUCUAUGCACUCCUUCCCAUGCUUAAUAUGUUGAGGAACUACAUGAUGUAUAAUAUCCUCUAUUUAUGAUAAUGUGAAUUUUGGACUCCAAUCUUAUAAUCAAGUCAGUCAUGUUGUGUUAGUUUCCUUCCACCAAGUCCUGGGGGUAUUCGUACCCGAAAACUAUAGCUGUGUGCCUAGAGCCUUGUCAUGUUUCACGAUAUACAAAAUCAAGCCAUGAUUUAGUAGAAUUCAAUCAGUCGUGUGACUCAGCAAAACUCAACAAUCUCAGUAGUUCAGUAUUCUCAGUAAUUUUAGUGCUCAGUAACCUCAAUAAUCACAGUAAAUCUCAGUAACUUUAGUACUCUUAAUCAGUCCUCAGAACUCAUUAUAUUCCAUCCAUCAUCAGAAUCCAGUAAACUCAAUUUUAGCUCUACAAAACAAUACCACUAUUUUUAGUUCAUUUAAUCAGUAUCAGUUCAGCAAAUCAUUUUAGUUAAGUUAUUUAGUCCAGCCCAGUUAUUCAGUUCAGUCUCUUCAGAUGGAAGUAGGAGUUAGCACUGAGUGAACCCAAGGAUGGGAACUCACCUGUAUAUGAGGAUGUGAUUCUUAGCAGUCAUCCUUGAUUUCCAAAACUAUGUAGCUAGCAUAGGUUGAGACAUCGUAGCCUGUUAUAUAAGGAUAGAUGAGGUGGCUUAACCUGUUAUAUGAGGGUUCCCACCGUUCUCACUAAAGUUACCUAUUAUAUUAGGGUUGCUCACAUAUUGUCCUUACCAGUGGUGCGGUAUUGGCACCCUUCCAGUUAGGAUAGAGAUUGGACCCCAGUUAGCUUAGCUUGGGGCAUAUCAGUUAGAUGAAUACAUCCCACAGUUUCAGUUAUAGAUUCAGGAGUGUCAGAUACAGUCAACUCAGUUCAGUAGUAUAGAUUCAGUACUGUUAGAGACAAUCAAUCUUUAUCAUUAUAAAUAGACUUCAAGAUCACCCAUUAGAUAGGACUGAUCUCAACUAUAGUUAAACAGUAUCAGAAUAAUCAUAUUUAAAGAUUACCCGCUAGAUAGGACUAAUCUCAAAUUUAGUUACUCCAUAUAAAACAAAACUCAGAUAGUUCCAUCAGAACUUAGAUUUUCAGAUACAGUCGCUCAGUAUCAGUUAAUCGAUUAGGCUGAUCAUCACAUUUAUAUUAGUUUUUUGAACUCCUGUAUCAGUCAAUCAGUUAUCAAAAUUCAUGAUAUCAGUAGUCAGCUUCAGGACUGUCAGACACAGUCAACCAGACCAGUUCUUCAUAAUUUGAACUAUCAAAAAUAGUCAUUCAUCUAUUCAGUAUCUCAGUAUCAGUACACACAUGUUGUUAGUAUUCAGACGUAGUCAGUAUCUCCACGAGUUCAGUUACAGUUAUGUAUGCAUGUAUGUAUUCUCACAUUCAUAUUAGUCUGUAUUGUUCAUGCAUAUAACCCUUUGCAUUUAGCCUACCUCACUCGUAUACUCCGUACAUUCAGACAUACUGACACAUUUGCGCUAUGGUGCUUUCUCUUAUAUUACGCCAUAGGUUCAGAGGUACGAGCUCCAGAUCAGCAGUAGCAUUCUAGUGUUCAGAGUUUGUAGUGUGUCCUUCUCAUUCAAGGAUGAUAUGAUUAUUUCUACAUUUACUAUUUAGUUACUAGAUAGAGUUAUUUGGAGACAUGUUCCUUCAACUCCUUAUUCAGUUAAGUUAGAGGAUUUCAGACAAGAUGUCAGAUUAGAUAUUCAGAUCUUAUUAUUUUCAGUAUUUAUGACUUGUUUUGGUAUUGUUAUACCUUUUUCAGACAUUUUGUUAUCAAACUUAUUCAGUUUAAACCUUAUGGCCUUUUAUGUUCAUGUUUCCAUAUUUUAUGAUAUAUUAUGCAAUAUACAGGUACAAAUAUCAGUCAUGGGUUAGCUUGUUGUCCUUCGGGGUCAUGAGCAUCGUGUAGUAUUUCGGUUCAAAAAAUUGGGGUAUUACAAACUUGGUAUCAGAUCCAGGUUCAAUAGAGUCCUAGGAAGUCUGAAAACCACAUUUAGUAGAGUGUUGUACAUGCGUGUGUUGUGUACCACACUUAUGUGCAGGAGGCUAUGAGAUGUUUUAGGAAUAGUUUUCCUUCUUUUAUGUCUCAGAUCGUGCUAUGAAAAGGUUCUCUAAGAAAAGUUAUGUAGAUUCUCAUCAUGCUUUAGUCAUGUCAACUUUACCUUACUUUCAAGUUAACAGAGGUAGUGAAGCUCAAGUCCUACAGAUAGGGCUUUCUCAAAUAGUCCCUACAGAUAGCUAUGGGAUUUUCCUCAUGCUCAACAGUAUCCCAUCAGUUCAGUUAUGUCCCAAAUUUGUACGGAUCUCAUUCAUGAUCAUGAUAACUCAUUCUCGAACACAGAUUUAGAUAUGCCAGCAGAUCACUUCUCAAAAUCCUAUGAUAGUAUAUGACUAGAGUUAGAGGCAUGAACCCAGGAGUUUAGCAGUAGUAGAGUUGGGAUAAUGAUAUCCAGAUUGAACAGACUAUGUAUUCAUGGGGAUAGUUAUGCCAGAAUGAAUCAGUAGGCUUGAACAGUGUGAGUUAGAAAUUUAAGUUUAUUGACUCAAAAUUAAGCAUGAAGGUGUAAAUGUGAUACUAGUAGUAUGUAAGGGAAACAGGGGUAGAUGAUGUGUUUAGUAAGGCAAGCAUGUGUUAAUCAGAGUAUAAGUAUGUGAUGAUUAUUGCAGUUCUGUUCAGAGUUUAGUUUAGUGCUCACAGAAUUAUGAUAAUGGCUUAAAUCCAAGUAGGGAUGGUAGAUCAAGUACCCAAGUCAGGUUCUCAGAUUCCAGUAGUAGUGCCAGUAUAUACAGAAAAAAAGUUAGGGAAGAUGAUUUCCGACCCAUCCUUAUCUCAGCAUAAAGCUUCGUACUUUAGUUGGCAUAAUGCCUAUGCAUUUUUCAUGUCUCAGAUUCCAUAAAUACUGCUUACAUUCAUACGCAUUCCAUAGAAUCGUGUGUACUUUCAGUUCCCAGUAUAGGGAAUUUAGUCCUAGAUCAUUCAGUGUUACAAAUCAUGUUCCACGAACUCAGACAUUCCAGAAUCAGGUCAUGCAGCUCAUGACUCAUGUACAUAUAUCAUGCUCCCCAGUAUACUCAGUUUCUAUGACUCAUGCUAUAUCCCUACUGAUCAGUUAAAUUCAGACUAUGUCAUGCAUACCCUCAGUUUAGACCUUUUGGUACACACAUGGUAUUUAUAUUCUAUCCCUCAGACUUUAUUCAAGUUCCAAGUUCAGUUAUGUGUCUAUUCAUGUUUCAAAUUCUCCUGAAUUAACCCCUUCAGUGAGCUCCUUUAUAAAAAUAGUGUAGUAUAACGAUGAGUAGUUACUUAAACAAAAGAGUCAAUGAUUCAUAUUAAGAGAAGGUUGUUGCAUGCUUUCUUUACACAAGGGUGUAUUUACAAAGAUAGGCUUGAAUAUUCUGUUAGUAUGCAAGCAAGGAGCUAGCGCGAGGUAGUACUUAGAAAUUGGGAAAAUUCAGAGUGUGAAUGUAUAUUCAGAUCCUUGACUUAUGUCAGCCUUCCUUGUGAAACUAUCACAACUCAGUUUCUAUGUCAGUUACAGUUCAGUACUCAGUAAUUAGUGUUUAGUCUCAGAAUUAAGCACUUCAGUAUUAGUUUAAACCUCAGUUUCAGUAUUCAGUUAUCAGGACCCAGCAUUUAGAUCUAGUAUGGAUCCCCAUUACAGUUUUAAGUUAAAGUGUCAGCUUUAGAUCAGUAUUCAACUCAGAAAUUCAGUUCAGUUUUAGACUUUCUUGACCAUAGCGUACAGUUAUUAGCUACUCAUUUAUAGGUAUUUCAAUACCUCAGUCUAUGGAAUAUUUCCAAAUCAUGUAAUACAUUUGGUCUUGCAUUUUCAGACAGUAUAGCUUUCAUGAAAUCCAUGAUCAGUUACCUCAUGUUACCCAGUCAGUCCCUUAUCAUAUGCAUAAUACCUUAUGGCCUCAGCCCAACUACUCAGAUUAAGUGCAAUUCAGUCUUGCAUACCCAGCGUUCAGUUACUAGUUACUCAGUUAAUCAGAUAAGUUAGUAUGUCUAUGCAUUCGUGCAUCACGCUUGAGUUUUAGAUCUCAUAUAAUCAAUCAUGAUUUCGUACCUAGGUGCCUUGUGCAUUGCCUCAACUUCCUCAAUAUCUCAGCAACGUCAGUCCAACAUCCUUCAAGGGACAUAACAUCCCAAGGGGGAGAUACCCCACUUUCUCUUAACGUUCUUAUGCCUUAGAUCCUUCAAUUUAUUCUUGCAUAACAAAUUCAGUCUAGAAUAGAGGGUACUCAUAGGUUGACCUUCAAGUUAGACUUCAGCUGUAAGUCAAGUAUUCAGAGGUUCAGUUCAGUUCAUGAUGUUCAGUACACAUGUCACGUAGCAGAAUCAGUCAUGUUCUCAUGUUUUAGUUCAAUAUUAGUGCCUUUACCAUUUCAUGUUUAGUCAUAUGUUCGUGAGUCAGUUCAAUCAUGUAUUCACGCAUCAGAUAUGCGUGGUCAGCUUAUCAGUACUUUCAGUCAUGCAUUCAUGUAUCAUGUCAGUCAUAUAAUUAUGCAUCAGAUAUGCAUGGAUUCAACUUAUCAGUUAAGCAUCAGAUAUGUAUUCUCAGUUUGAGAAACUCAGUUUAUCGGAACACUCAGUCCUACAUUCAUAAAUCAGCUACCCAUGCAUCAGAUAUGUAUGUACAGUAUGAUAUGCUUAGUUUUCAGUCAUGUCAGCUAUGAAAUCAUGAUAAAUCAUUCAUGCUAUAUAUGCAUCAUUUUAUCUUUUCUCCCCUCUCAAGCAGUCAUCAUUCGAGGACGAAUGUUUCGAAGAGGGAGAUAUUGUAACACAAUGAAAAAUCUAAACCAAUAUUAGAGCCAUGUACGAAGCUCAUGCAUAGUACAUCAUGGUUCUUUUAUAGGUUUAUGAUUAAGUUAGAUGUAUAUUAAGGCUUCAAAUAACUCUUAGCUAUCAGAUGAAUCAAAACAUUCCUUACCGAUUGAAUUCUUGAGAAGGAUAUUGGUAUAGUCAACUUCAAAAGCGUAUAUCUCUCAUUAUACUUGGAAUUUUUGAGAUCAUGACCUAUCAAUAGAUAUAUAAUUGAAUUAUCAUUCCAACAAUACCAAUUUCUCCUAAAUCCAAUAUCGGAGCAAAGAGUUAUUCCUAUUUUACUUCAGCAUGUCAGACUGGAAACAGUGUGACGACAUUCGUGGUAGCUUACCACAUUUGUGACGCCCUAUCAUAAAGGUCAUUAGCCUUAGGCAGAAAACAGCUCCUAAGUGAUGAUAUUCGUGGUAGCUUACAAUAUUUGAGAUGCCCUAUCAUGAAGGUCAUCAGCCUUAGGCAGAAACCACCUCCUCAGUGACGACAUUCGUGGUAGCUUACCCCAUUUGUGAUGACCUAUCAUGAAGGUCUUGAGACUUAGGUAGAAACUAGCUCCUAAGUGACGAUAUUUAUUUGAGAUGCCCUAUCACGAAGGUCAUCAGCCUUAGGCAGAAACCACCUCCUCAGUGACGACAUUCGUGGUAGCUUACCCCAUUUGUGAUGACCUAUCAUAAAGGUCUUGAGACUUAGGUAGAAACUAGCUCCUAAGUGACGAUAUUCAUGGUAUCUUACCAUAUUUGUGAUGCCCUAUCACGAAGGUCGUCAGCCUUAGGAAGAAACUAGCUCCUACGUGAUGACAUUUGUGGUAGCUUACCACAUUUGUGACGCCCUAUCACGGAGGUCGUCAGCCUUAGGCAGAAUCCAUCUUCUGUGCGAUGACAUUUUUGACGGCCUGUCAUAGUCAUCAGCUUUUCUUUCCAAAACUUGAGGGACAUUUUAGUAAGGAUAUUUUGGUCUUUUCAUUUCACUUUGCACGACUUAUAACCCUCAAGAAACGUAUUAUCUUCCAUUCUCUUUAGUUAAAAAUCUCAAAAAGCUCUCAUACACUGUCAACCACAAGAUUAGGGUUUUCUCUCAAGAUCAUCUCCUUAAAUACAAGAACAUUCUCUCCCAAAGGGCUUAAACCCUAGUCAAGAAAAAUCAAUAGCAAGCCUAAGGAUUUCUUCAAGAACCUUCAAGAAACAUUAGAUCUCUUUCAAGAUCAAGCUUUAAGGUACACGUAGUGUUCAUCUAUGGAUCCAAUCCAUUCAUAGAGCUCAAGAACCAUGUUUCAAAUAAUAUUUUGUGAACUUUUUAUGGUGAUAUGAGCAUGUACAUGUUGAUGAUUAUUGUUUAAGUUUUAAGAUGAUAUCUAGAGGUGUUUUCAUGGAAUAUAUAUGCUUGUUAGUUGAAAACUAUGAAACUUAGAUGGUGUAAAAUGGUACAAAUUAUAAAACACACCUAUGCCUUAAAGAAUGCAUGCAAGGUGUUCGAUAAAAUGCUUACGAUGCUAGAAAUUCAUGUUUAUAUGGUUCCAUGAUAUCUAAAUGACAAGUCCAUAUUAGCAAUAUACUUUAAUAUGAAUUCCAUGCUUUCAUGUGUUGCUAUUGUUGUGGUAUGAAGCAUGUAUGAUAAUGGAGAUAUACAAUAUGCACACAAAAUAUAGCUAUGCACUCCCUCCCAUGCUUAAUAUGUUGAGAAACUACAUGAUGUAUAAUAUCCUCUAUUUAUGAUAAUGUGAAUUGCGGACUCCAAUCUUAUGAUCAAGUUAGUCAUGUUGUGUCAAUUUUCUUCCAUCAAGUCCUGGGGGUAUUCGUACCCAAAAACUAUAGCUGUGUGCCUAGAGCUAUGUCAUGUUUCACGAUAUACAAAAUCAAGCCAUGAUUCAAUAGAAUUUAGUCAGUCAUGUGACUCAGGAAAACUCAAUAAUCUCAAUAGUUUUGUAUUCUCAGUAAUCUUAGUGCUCAGUAACCUCAGUAAAUCUCAGUAACUUCAGUACUCUUAAUCAGUCCUCAGAACUCAUUAUAUUCCAUCCGUUAUCAAAAUCUAGUAAACUCAGUUUUAGCUCCGCUAAAUAAUACCACUAUUUUAAGUUCAGUUAAUCAGUAUCAGUUCAGCAAAUCAGUUCAGUUUAGUUAUUUAGUAUAGCCCAGUUAUUCAGUUCAGUCUCUUCAGAUGGGAGUAGGAGUUAGCACCUACUGAACCCAAGGAUGGGAACUCACCUGUAUAUAAGGGCGUGAUUCUUAUUAGUCAUCCUUGCAUUCUAGAACUAUGUAGCCAGCAUAGGUUGAGACCUCGCAGCCUUUUAUAUAAUCGCAGCCUUUUAUAUGAGGGUAGAUGAGGUGACUUAACCUGUUAUAUAAGGGUUCCCACCAUUCUCACUAGAGUUACUUAUUAUAUAAGGGUUGCUCACAUAUUGUCCUUACCAGUGGUGCGGUAUUGACACUCUUCUAGUUAGGGCAGAGAUUAGACCCUAGUCAGCUUAGGUUGGGGCAUGUCAGUUAGACGAAUACAUCCCACAGUUUCAGUUACAGAUUUAGGACUGUCAGAUACAGUCAAAUCAGUUUAGUAGUAUAGAUUCAGUACUGUUAGAGACAAUCAAUCCUUCUCAUUAUAAAUAGACUUUAAGAUUACCCAUUAGACAAAACUGAUCUCAGCUAUAGUUAAACAGUAUCAGAAUCAUUAGAUUUAAAGAUCACCCGCUAGAUAGGACUGAUCUCAAAUUUAGUUACUUCAUAUUAAAUAGAACUCAGAUAGUUCCAUCAGAUCUUAGACUGUCAGAUACAGUCGCUCAAUAUCAGUUAUAUCGGUUAGGCCGAUCAUCAUAGUUAUAUCAGUUAUAUCAGUUUUUUAAACUCAUGUAUCAGUCAUAUUAGUUAUCAAAAUUCAUAAUAUUAGUAUUCAGCUUUAGGACUGUCAGACACAGUCAACUAGACCAGUUCUUCAUAAUUUGAAUUGUCAAAAAUAGUCGUUCAUCUAUUCAGUAUCUCAGUAUCAGUACACUCAUAUUGUCUGUAUUCAGACUUAGUAGUCAGCAUCUCCACGAGUUCAGUUACAGUUACGUAUGCAUGUAUGUAUUCUCUUAUUUAUAUUAGUCUGCAUUGUUCAUACAUAUAACCCUUUGCAUUUAGCCUACAUCACUCGUAUAGUCAGUGCAUUCAGAUGUACUGACGUUUUACGCUAUGAUGCUUUCUCUUAUGUUACACCAUAGGUUCAGAGGUACGAGCUCCAGAUCAGUAGUAGCAUUCCAUUAUUUAGAGUUUGUAGUGAGUAUUUCUCAUUCGAGGACGAUAUGAUUAUUUCUACAUUUACUAUUUAGUUACUAGAUGGAGUUAGUUGGAGACAUGUUCCUUCAACUCCUUAUUCAGUUCAGUUAGAGGCUUUUAGACUAGAUGUCAGAUUAUGUAUUCAGAUCUCAUUAUUUUCAGUAUUUAUGACAUUUUGGUAUUGUUAUACCCUUUUAAGAUAUUUUGUUAUCAGAUGUUUAUUCAGUUCAAACCUUAUGGACUUUUAUGUUUAUGUUUCCGCAUUUUAUGAUAUAUUAUGCAGUAUACAGGUACAGAUAUCAGUCAUGGGUUAGCUUGUGGUCCUUCGGGGUCAUGAGCACCGUGUAGCAUUCCGGUUCAGAAAAUUGGGGUGUUACAAUUAAGUUGGAAUAUCUUGUCACAACAUUACUCCCAUGCAAGGUAGGCUUCGAGGUCAACUCAACUUUGAAAAUAGGAUGGCUCACUUUGAUGGAAUUGAGACCUACAUCUCGAUUUGGGUGGCAAUUUGUAAUGCCCCAAAUGUAGUACCCGAAAAGCCACACGGUGCUCAUGACCCCAAAGGACCAUAACCUAAUCCAUGACUGAUAUCUGUGCCUAAGCACUGCAUAAUAUACUAUAUAAAUAUGGAAUAAAAAGCUAAAAGACCAUAAGGUUCAAAUAUCUGAUAUAACAUAACAUCUGGAAAUACGGUAUAUCAAUACCAAAAUAAAACUGAAAUAACUGUCUGAACAUGCUAUAGUCUAGAAGCCUCUAAACUGUCUAAAAACUAUAGAGUUGAUGGGACAUAUCCCCAACUAACUUUGGACUACUAAAAUAAUAAAGUAAUAAAAUAAUCAUGCUAUCCUUGAAUGAUGAGGACUCACUGCUAGUCUAGCUACUGAACAUCUGAUCUAUUAAGGAUGCUCUGGAGCUCGUACUUCUAAACCUAUGGUAUAAAACACCAUAGUGCAAAUGCAUUAGUAUGUUUGAAUGUACUUGUAUGAAAGUGAGGUAGGCUGAAUACAAGGGGUUUAUAUGCAUAAGCAAUACUAACUGACUGAAUAACAUGAAUGUGAGAAUACAUGUAUGAAUACGUGAACUAUGACUGAGAUCAUGGCAUCACCGAAUCUGAAUACUGAUAACAUAAGUUUUUGUAUAACUGAUAUACUAUUAUAUGAAUGACUGUGUCUGAUAGUUCUAUUUUUGAUGGAACUAACUGAGUUUUGUACUAAACUGGAUGACUAUAUCUUACAGUCCUGAAUUCUAUAACACUAUUUGAGUUUUAUUACUGAGACUGAGACUUAGGCUGUAACUGUGGGAAGUUGUCAUCUAACCAAGUUGCCCCAAAUAAGAUAAUAUACUUAAAUUGGGGUUCAAUCUGUAAUCCUAAUUAGAAAGGUUUCAUUACCGCGCCACUGGUAAGGAUAGGCUGUAAGUAAUCUCUACUCUAAUAGGUACUCUAAGGAGAAUGGUGGGAUCCUAAUAUAACAGGUUAAUCCACCUUAUCUACCCUCAACUAAUAGGUUUGAUAUCUUAACCUAUGUUGUCUAUAUAGUUCUGGGCCACAAAGAUUGCUUCUAAGAAUCACACCUUCUAAUAACAAGUGAGUUCCCAUCCCUGGGCUCAUCGGUGCUGAAUCCUACUCCCAUCUGAAUAGAUACUGAACAUGAUUAAUUGAACUAAACUGUAUCAUUGAGUUCCUUUGACCAAUGGAACACUACUGAGAUUACUGAAUUUCUGAGAUUUCUGAGAUUACUAAGUUUAUUGAGUUUUCCUGAGUCACAUGACUAACUGAGUUCUAUGAAUCAUGGCUUGAUUGAGAGUAUCUGGAAAACAUGACACUGGAUGUAGGCACACAGCUAAAUUGUCAGGUACAAGUACCCCCAGGACUCGAUAGCAUGAAAAUUACAAGACAUGACACUUCUUGACACAUGACCAUAGUCAACAAUUCAUAGUACAAUCAUUGGAGAUUUUCAUGAAGUAUUCGUAUGUUAUAAGCUUACACAUGAAUAGGAAUGCGUGUAAGCAUACCAUAAUUUCAUAAGCGUAAUCUCAUGAGCAUUACAUCAAUCCAUUACAAAGCAUAACAAUAACGUGGGAGUCAUAUCAAACAUAAGGGAGAAACAUGAAUUCAUCAGUUUUUGUCACAAAUAAGGUAUAAUUCAUAUUCUCUUAGGCAUUUUAUCAAACACCUUGCAUGAAUAUCUUUAGGCUUAGGCAUGAAUAUUGAAAUAAUACAUCAUGGCAAUAUUUUACACUUCCAAUGCAAUAAUUUCAACCACAUACUAACAUAUUUUCAUGAUAGUCAUUAAAGACUUCAACUUGGAAAUCAAACAACAACAUAAACAUGGAUAUAAUUCAAUUCAUACCAUGAAAUCCAAAGUUUAUAUUUUAGAUAGAGUUUCUUGAGCUUCAUGGGUGAAAUGAACCCAUGAAUCAACACUUGACAUACCUGGGCGGAUGAUUUCUUGAAGAUUGGUGGAGGAAAGCUUGAAUUCUAGACUUGAAAUUAAACACGUAGGGUUUUUUGUUCUUGGGGAUUGAUCUUUGAGAGAAACCCUAAUUUGGUGUAAUAGAUGAAUAAAGAAGUUAUGAGCUCUGGUAUGGUAUAAUUAAGGGUGAAAACGGGUGGAAAAAGAUACAAAUACCCUUUUAAUAAUUGCUUAAAAUAACUGAUCAGAAGUGGCGAUGAUUUGGUCGAUGUUCAUCACUGGCUCGAUGGUAUGUCGGUCCUGACCAUCGCACUUGACUAGAACCUAAACUUUCUGCCUCGUCUGCAAUAGUUUGGGCGAUGGCCCGUCGGUCCUGGCCAUCGCACUUGACCAGAAGUCGGGUUCACUGCCUUAGUCAUGAUGGCUUGGGUGAUAGUUUGUUGCUAGAUCGAUGGUCUGUGGGCUUGACCAUCGCUUCUGGGUAUUCUAAUAGUUCUCUAUAAAACAUUCAUAACUUUUCACUUCGAUAAUGAAUUUGGACAAAAUUGGUAUCAUUGGAAAGCUAAUUCAAUUUUCCAUAUGAUAAAAAGUCAAAAUUGGGGAAAUUUGUAAUUCUUUGAAUCUGGUACCCAGAAUUCUACAUGGCGCUCAUGACCCCAAAGGACCACAAGCUAACCCAUGACUGAUAUUUAUACUUGAAUACUGCAAAAUAUACUAUAAAAUGCAAAAAUAAAGGCUGAAAGGCCAUAAGGUUCAAAACUGUAACAUAACUAAUAAAACAUAACAUCUGGAUGGGGUAUGAAAUACUCAAAACAACUGAAAUAAAUUGUCUGAACAUGGUAAUCUAAAUGCCUCUAACUCUCUGAAUAAGGAGUUGAUGGGACAUGUCCCCAACUAAGACAUGUCCCCAACUAACUCCAUCUACUGAAAGUUAACUAAGAUAAUGAAAUAACUAAUAAUAUUAUCCUCGAAUGAUGAGGACUUACUACUAAAUCUAGUGGCUACUGAUGCUCUAGAGCUCGUGCUUUUGAACCUAUGGUAUAAAAAACCAUAGAACAAAUGCGUUAGUACAAUUGAAUAUAAUGGUAUGCAUAUGAGGUAGGAUGAAUUGAAAGGAUACAUAUGUAUGAAUUGAACUAACUGACUAUAUAACAUGAACGUCAUAAUGCAUGUAUGAAUACAUAAUAAUUGUAACUGAGUUCGUGAUAACAUGAUUACUGAACCUGAGUACUGAUAGCAUGAGAUACUGAUAACUGUAUAACUAAAAUAACUGAUACUGAGCGACUGUAUCUUAUAGUCUAGGUUCUCAUAGAACUAGCUAAGUUUUGUACUAUUCUGAGUUGAUUAUAUCUGACAGUCCUGAAUGCUGUAGAACUAUCUGAGUUCUAUUACUAAAAUUGAGACAAGACUAUGAGAAGUAGCCAUUUAACCGACAUGCCCUAAAUAAUGCAUUAUAGCUGAGUUGGGGUCCAAUUUGUAACCCCAAUUGUAAGGGUAUCAAUACCGCGCCACCAGUAAGGACAAGCUGUGAGUUACCCUCAUAUGACAGUGUCCCCAAAAGAGAAUGGUGGGAUCCUCAUCUGGCAGUGUUUAUCCACCUAAUCAACCCUCAUCUGACAGUGUUGAUGUCUUAACCUAUACUGGCUACAAAGUUUUGGAAUGUAAGGAUGACUUCUAAGAAUCACACCCUCAUCUGAAAGUGUGUGUUCCCAUCCUUUGGUUCACUCGAUGCUAAUUCCUACUCCCAUCUAAAUAGACACUGAACAUGAUUAACUGUACUGGACUAUACUGAAUUCAUGGAGUUCCAUUAAUUGAUGGAAUACUAUUGAGAUUACUAAAUUACUAAGCUUUCCUGAGUCACAUGACUGACUGAGUUCUAUGGAUCAUGGCUUGACUUAGGAUAUCGUGAAAUAUGUCACUGACUCUAGGCACACAACUCUAUUUUUUGGGUACAAGUACCCACAAAACUCGAUAGAAGGAAACUAACAAAGCAUGACUUUCUUGAAUAUAGGACCCACAUCAACAAUACAUAAUCCAUUGGCUAAGGCAUUUCAUCAAACACUUGACAUACAUAAAUUGUAAAUGAAUGGGGAUUUCAUAUUAUCAUACUAGUAUGGCACUUUUCCUUCACAUAGGCAUUUAAUCAAAUAUAUGGGGAGCAUGCUUUGGUUAUACAAUUAUCAACACAUCUAAUAAUCAUGGAUACAUAAACCAACUUGUAAAUUGAAGGGUUUAUCAUGAAUUUUGCGUAAAUCAUCACAUAUUAGAAUCAAUUCUUGUAAAUAAAUAGUCUAUAACAUGGAACGAAACCAACCAACAACAUGAACAUCAAUUUUCAAUUCAAUCAAAUCAUGAACAUUCAUAAAUAUAUAAAUCUUGGAUUUUGAAAAGAGAUUCUUGAGCUUCAUGGCUUAAAGAGACCCAUGAAUCAACACAUGACAUACCUUAGAAUGGAACUCCGUAAAGAUCCUUGGAGAUAUUCUUGAUCCUUUCUCUUGAAUUUUUAAGAUUAGGGUUUCUUGGGUUUGAGAGUGUAUGAAGAAAUUGGGGAAAAAUAGAGUGAAUAGUGAUAUCCUUAGGUCAUGUAGGGCUAAAUUUUGUGUUUAAGGAUGAACUAACAUCAUGGAAAAAGACUCAUUAAAACCUGGACGCGCCGUUUAAAUUUUGUGAAAAUUUCCUGAUCUGGCCCCCUGGCGCGACGUAGUGCUAUUGCGCCGUGUCACUGGAAUUCGACAUCUGGGAAAUUGGAUGACGAUGCGACGUGGGGUCAUCGUGGAGCUUCAUUGGAUUUUGAAAAUUGGCAUUUGGGAGCCCUCCGCGAUGCAGUGAAAUCACGAAAUAUUAUUGGAAAUUGAAAAAUGUCAUUUUGGCUUAUAGUACGAUGCGCCACUGACUGAGAUGAUGGUGUAAACUUUAAAUCGCCAUAAAUUCUUCCCAAUUGUCGGAUUUAGGCAAAUUUGGUAUCAAUGGAAAGAUUGUUGAAUUUUACGUACAACAAAAGUGAAAAUCUUGAAAAUUCCCCAUGGAAUAAACAUCAUUCAAAUUAGAAGCUUGUAACGCCCCUAGAUCCCAUCCCGAGAUGUCACACAGUGCUUAUAGACCCGAAGGACCAUAAGCUAAUCCUUUUUUGAUAUAUGUACCUGUACACUACAUAAUAUCUAAAAAAAUACGAAAACUUACCAUAAGGUUCAACAUAUCUAUACAUACUCAAAGCUAAAAACUGAAUACUAAUACAUCCAUCUGAAAAGCCUCUAAUUGUAUGAACUGUGGAUUUGAUGGGACAUGUCUCAAACUAACUCUGUUAAUAGAAAAUAAACAAAGUCUAAAACAAUAGUAGUAAACUGAGACUCAUCCUCGAAAGAAGAGGACUCAUUGCUACUGCUGCUGACUGAGACCAAACUGCUGAGGAUAAACUGGAUCCUGUGCCUCUGAACCUAUGGUGUCAAAUAAAACACCAUAACGCAAAUGCGUCAGUACAAAAAUAUAUCGAUUAUGUAGAUGGGGUAGGCUAAUGCAAGGGUUCAUGCAUGCGCAAUAUCUAAACUGAAUAAUCAUAAAAAUGCAGUAUGAGAACACAAACAUGAAUGCACAGAACAUGAAACCCAAUUAUCGCAACUCUAGAUACUGAAACUCAGAUACCACUUUAUUGAAAUUGAACUCACUACUGACACUGAGAUACUGAAUCACUGACUCAUCUGAUACUAAUAACUGAGGAUCUAGAUGUGGUUACAUCAAUGAUUGAAUUCUUAGACUUACUACUUUCGAUUGAUAGGAUUAGAGAUCAACCUUUCUAACAGAUGAUUUCAGAAGCUUUAUCAAUGAUAAGAAAUAUAAUUAUAUCUGAAUCUGACAACAAGAAUACUCAAUAGAAAUCUGAUACUGUGAUCAAGCCUGUCUGACGGCAUAUCUCUGAAUAUGAUAUCAAAUAAUUAGAUGUAAGACCAAGUCUAUCUGAUUGGAUGAUCCAUAAAUCAAUAGAACUAUCUGAGUUCCUCACAAUAAUAGAUGACUGUAUCUGAUAAUCCUCAUUUCUAAAGACUGAUUCUAAAAUUGAGACUGAAUCUAAAACUGAAACUAUGGAAAGUAGUCACUUAAUCGACAUGCCCAGACCUACCACAGGUGGGGUCCAAUUUGUGCCCCAGUUGGAAGGGUGUCAUUACCACGCCACUGGUAAAGACAACUCUAUGUGACCCUUAUCUAGCAGAUCCUAAAACGAGAACAGUGGAGCCCACAUCUAGUAGGUUAAGCUACCUCAUCUACCCUUAUCUAGUAGGUAUUAUAUCUCUCAUCCACCCUCAACUAACCGGUGUGAUGUCUCAACCUACGCUGGCUACGUAGUUCUAGAGCAUAAGGAUUGCUUCUAAGAAUCACACCCUCUACUAGUAGGUGAGAUCCUAUCCUUGAGCUCGCUCGAUGCUAGUUUCUACUCCUAAUUGAAAGACUCAGAACUGAAUUCUCAAUUGAACACUGGCUGAACUGAAUCUGACACUGAUCAUAUUACUCAAAAGGUUUGACUAAGUUACGCUGGGAUCACUUUGUUUCAUAUCUGAUGGAAAAGAUAUCGAAUCAUGGUAUCUGACUGACGAUACAGAGCUUGAAUAGAUUACUCGAAUUGCUUCUGAGAUUAGGAUUUAAUGACUUGAAUACUAUUAGAAUUAAGCUGAUUACGGGUCUGAGGCUAGAUUAAUAGCGAUACAGAGAUUACAGAGAUAACUGAGAUUACUAAGCUUUAUGAAGAUUCGCACUUGUCUAAGGAUACAAAGUUCUAUAGUUCACUGAGUUCUGAGAAUCAUGGCUCAAUUGGAAUUAUCGAGAAACUGACAUGGGCUCUAGAUAACAACUCUAUUUUUGGGUAUAAAUUCCCCCAGGACUCGACAACAUAAAAGUAAGAUAUAUUCAUUCUUUAUCACGAAUUAUUCAUGCAUCAUCACGAUUAUCCAUUCAUCACUACAAUCAUUUAUUCAUCAUUACAAGCAUUCAUUUAUCAUUACAAUCAUUCAUGUAUUAUCAUAAUCGUUAAAGAAUCACUUCAAGUAGUUGGUCAUCAUAAUAUACUUUCCCUCUCAAGAUCCUUAAGACAUUGCAUUAAGCAUUUAGGAAACAUAGACCUCUAUUCAUCAUCAUAACCACCAAAGGGUCACUCUAAACCUUUAAGGAUCAUCAACAUCGGUUCACUAUCAUGUAAUAGCCUAGGGAAGACAUGCUAUUAGUUUAUAUCCUAUUCAACGGGAUCUUACAUCAAGUACUUCAUACCUAUGUCGAUCUUGUCAUGUAUUUGGAUAUCACUUGAUUUGGGGGAAACUUCAUACUAACACGUCACUAUUUAUUUGCUAACCACUUGACAUGUAUUAAAAGCUUAGCAUAUAUCAAAGAGCACAAAAUCGGAGAAUUUACAAUCAUCAUAUCUCGACUUGUUCACUAGGGUCUUUCAACAACUAUUAGACACGACCGAUUUUAUGCUAUCUUGGCACAUUUCACUCACUAAGGCAUGCAUGGACUAGCUCACAAUUUGGGGGUUUCCUAUUCAACAUAUUAUAGUGGCCCUUAUGCUUCACCUAAGCUUUUUAUCAAACCUAUGGGGAACGUUCUUCACUUAUUCAACCAUUUCUACACCCAAAAGUCAUGAACACAUCACAUGGAAAAACAACUUCAAGAGGGUAUAUCACAAACAUCACAUGAAUUCCACACACUAGGGUCAAAGCUCAUAAAUUUUGUAGGAAAUCAUAAAUCAAAACUCAAAAACACAUUAAACAUCAUUUCAACUCAUAAAAAUCAUUAACAACUCAUAGACAUAAAAAUCUUUUAGUUUUAAAAGGGGCUCUUGAGCUUCUUGGAUGAAAGGGACCCAAGAAUCAACAUCUACAUACCUUAACCUUUGAAAUUGGAUGAACUUUAGUGUUUAAAACUUUAUCCACACUUGAAAUAAAUAAAUUCUUGAAGCCCACACUACGAAGAACUUGAUUCUUGAAGAAAGCUUGAAGAUUUAUGGAUGAAUUUUUGGAGAAUUAAGGUUCUUAAAUUGAAACCCCAGAUAUUCUCUCUUUAGAGUGAAAGAGAAAUGGACAAAUUAGAGUUUGAAUGAGGGUUAAUCAUAUUUAUAGAGGCUCAAAAAAGUGGGAAAUGACCAAAAUACCCUUGCAAAAAUGCCCUUGAAUUGCUAGAAAAAAUGUUCUUGACGCCAUCCAUGAUAGGCCGUUAGGUUUGUGAUAGGCUGUCAUGAAUGGUCAUCACAGAAGGGGUCCAAUUCUUGAUUUUCUGCCCAGGGCUGAUGACAUCAUCAGAUAUGUCAUCAAAAUGUGAUGAAGUCAUUAAAAAGGUCAUCAGAAAUGUGAUAGCCCGUCAGAAAUGUCGUCACUGUUUUCCAGCUUGACAUGCUGGAGUAAAAUGGGCAUAACUCUUUUCUUCGAUAUCGGAUUUAGCCAAAAUUUGUAUAGUUGGAAAGAUAAUUCAAAGAUAUUUCAUUUGAUUUAUAUAAAGACACCAAGUUCUUCAUAUACUACGAGUUAUGGUCGAUUGAAGUUGACCCAAAUUUUGACGGUCACUAAAACUUGAAUGAUAGGAAAGUUUUCAACUAGUCCAUAAGUUAGGGGACCUUUAUGUUCUUAAUUCAUGCUCAAAUAGAUUCUCACACGAUUCAAAGUAUUUCAUACUUGAGAGUAUAUUUUCGAAACAUUUUGACUCAGAUUUUGCUUUACCAAAUACACUCUAAGGCUCAGACUGGAAGAGAAUUUUGUGUGGCCUUACAUUAUCUCCCCCUUGAGAACAUUCGUCCUUGAAUGUCGCUUGAUAGACUAAGAAUACGGAUCAACAAAACUUACUCAAGAAAUGGAAACAUCUCAGAUCAGGACUACGCAACUGGAACGACUGACAUAUAGAGUUCACACUAGUCAUGCAGAUAUGAUGCAUGGAAUACUCAACUGAUGAUACUCAUAGCUGAAUUCUCAUAAUACAUAUGAAUAUCUGAUGCAUGGAAUCAUAACUGGGAUGAUAUCAUGAAUACAUGAGUGAACACACGCUGACAAGCUGAACUCUUUCUACUUAAUGUACAUAUCUAAUGAAUGAAUGUCCGGCUAAGCUGACUUUUGAAAGCACGAGUGACAAUGCAAUAAUGAUUGACAAUGCGGUGACAACUGAUGCUAAUUUCAUAAAGAAGAUCUGAACAUGCAUAUAGAUGAAUCUAAUGGCAUGCAACAUCAUAAUACUAUGGGGUAUCUCCUCCUUGGGGCUCUAUGCCACACUAAACACACUUUGCUAAAAUACUGGGGUAGUGCGCGGGACACCUACAACUGGGUCAUGACUGACCGAUCAAGAUCUGAAACUUAUGCAUGACUCAUGCUAACACAUAAGCUCAUAAUGGAAGCAAAGCAUCUAACAAUGCAUAUCAUAAAGAAGAAGGGCUCAUAACUUCCCCAGGUCUAUUUCAGGGAAUCCUUCUCGAUCAAGGCAAGUCUGAAGCGCCUGAAGUCUACCCCUUUGAGUCAGCACUCUACAUUUUUGCAUUCUAUGGCCUGAUUCACCACACCCGAAACACACAUCGCUACUGGCUCUACAUACACCUUGGUGGCUCCUGUUGAGUAAUCAUAGAUAACUCACACUAAAUUCUUUCUAACAACCAAACAAUCUAUUAUAACAUUAAAGAAUAAUAACUAGUUAAUCGGGUAAGCUACCAUUACGAUAAAUAUACAGGAAACAAGUCAACCAAUAUAUAGAAAGUAAGUAUAGAGUUUCACUUUUCUAUGCAAACGUCACACAAUCAAUUUCAAGGAUAAAAUCAAGUAGAGAAUACAAGUCAACUCAUAUCUUAGUAACUCACACUAGAGAACUCAAAUCUCAUUAGCAAAACUUGUACAUACUCUUGAAAAGGAUUAAUGCAAAUAUUGAAACUUUGGGAUCGUUUCUUUUGGAUUAUUCAUUAGAUUCAUAACUCUGGAUAACUUCGUUGUCAGUUUCCUUAUUAUUAUUAUUAUUAUUAUUAUUAUUAUUAUUAUUAACAACAACAACAACACCAUGUCACUCGUGGCAUCCGAUCCAAUCAUAUUACAUAGCAAUAUUAGAAUUUAACAUCGGCCACAUUGUUUGAAAAAUCAAUAAAGUAGCAACAUAAAAAUUUAACAUCCGCCACAUUGCUACUAAAAUUUUUUUUAUAAGUAACAUUUGUGUACUUUUAAACCUCACAACUAGAGAACCAUAUCUCAUUAUCAGCUUAUUAAACUAAAUGAUCAAUCAAAAUCAACACUAAUAUAUACACAUAUGCUAAGAGACUUAUUUUUUCCCAACUAGUCAUGACUUGUAGGGGAUAAUCUAAGUCCAUGUAUCUUUAUAUUAGAACCACCUCCACGAUGUCAUUCUAAAGUGAGUUGGAUUCUGCGUAUGACUGACGACAUGGUUGAUAAGCCAUCACCUUGGUGAUGACUUAUCAACCAAUUCAUCACACACAUGUUUACCCAUUGUGCUUGAAGCUUUUAAGAUUGAUACUGAAAAUGAUUAACUCUUUGUGCUUACUAAUUCUUAGAUACAAGUGAUUCUUUUCUUUUGAUAUAGAUAUAAUCAUUACUCCAAAAGGAAAGUCAAAGAAGGCCAGUAAGAAAGUGAAUAAGGAAAAUCUGACUCGGAGACUGACUAAUUCUGAGAAUGAAUAGGAAGAAGAAAAACUUCAAAGACGUCAUACGAGGAAAAGUCUCUUUAUAUUAGAAACACCUCCACGAUGAAAGACUGAAGGAACCUCUAGAAUCUACCAUGAGGGAUUAGUACCCAUAAGAAGAUGGAAAUUUUAGAGGCCCAUAUGUGAAGAAGUUAAAAUAAUCACAUCCGGGUUGAACAUAUAACCACAAUUGGAAAGGGCUUUCAAAGAUUAUGAUCUAGCAUGGACCACCAAGGAAGGCAAAACAUACUGUCCAAUGUUGGUAAAGGAAUUUUAUGCCAACUACACAACAACCUUGGAAAAUAUGUGCAAAAAAGAGAAAAAGUUACAGAGAAGCCCAACAUGAAUUAGAUAUCAGUUUGAGGAGUAAUAGUUGAUUUAUCCGAUCAUAAGAUCAACAAGUUUCUGUAUGGUUCUGACUUCGUACCUCCAGUGACCUCUCCAGAGUUUAUCAUAGAAUGACUGAUAAGGCAAAUCAACCCCCUUGGUUGGCAUAGGUUACAGCAAAUGGAGAGACAAAAUGGUUGAACAAUCUAAGUGUGAGGAUUUUUAAGGCUUUAUUAUCUCAAAAAACAAGAUUUUGGUUGGGAGUGGUAAGGUACAGGCAGAUGCAUACUGUGGGAGACAAUAUCCUAGGUGAGGAUAAAGUGGUGCUCGUAGCAAGAUUAUUGUCCAAUUUCCACUUGAACUUUGGGGAAACCAUCACAGAUAAGAUCAAGAUUCGGGCAACCUGACCCGAUAUAACAUAUCUAUUCCCUUGCCUAUUUACAAUAGUAUGCAAAGCGGACAAUGUUCCAAUUAUCACUGGUAUAGACAAUAAAGUCCAGGCCAAGAAAACUUACAAUCUUAACAGAUUUGAUGAGAUUAGGCCUAUGCUAGUUUUAGAUAAAAGAGUAAAUAUGAAGAGUGAUGCUGUCUUAUCAGAGGGAGAUCAGAUGCCUGUAACUGCUAUAAGAUUAACUCAAAAUGUGCAUCUGUCAGUACUAGAGUCUACUCAGGCUACUUCUUCUAUAGGUGUUGUCCCUAUUUCAGAAAAAGAAGAAAAUAUUAUAAUUACAGCACCGGUGUCUGAGUAUCCAUUGAUGCCACAAAAUUUUAGAAAGAUAGUUAUGCAGGGAAAAAGGUUUAAAGCUUAUUUGAGGUUGUUUACUGACCAAUUCGAGCCGAUUGUCAUGAAGAAAAUAAAAGUAGUUGUUCACCCUUCUUGAAUCUCCAUGGACACAUUGAUAAGAUUGAGCGUCGAAUGAAUGAAAGGCUAAAAGAGAUGUCAGUACCUGAUCUUGUAGUAUUUGAGGCAGCCUUGGAAAAGGCAAGAGCUGAUAUCAUGGCUUUAUAUAGCUAUUAAAUGUUUCCAUUCCAAGUUCCUAUUGAGGGAGAAUCAGAAGAGGAAGAAGUUGUACUGUUUAACAUCACUGGGAAACCAGUGGAUAGAAAAUACAAAGGCAAAAAAAAGAGAAGUAACAGUGAUGAACAAAAAGAGACUUGAAAAGAGAACAAAGAGGAAAGAGAAAAGAGGAAAGAGAAAAAAAUUUAAAGAAGCAUUGAAAAAGUUAAAAGCGGGUGGUGAACCUCUAGAAGAAGCAUUAAGGGCCUGAUCUAUGAGAACCUUUGCUAAUGGACCUCCUAAAAUUUUUAGGGAGUUCUUUAAUCCACCAACCGUGGCUAUAGAUACAUCGACAUAACCUGAUGCCAAUGGGGAUACUCUUCCCAUUGAUGAUGUAGCAGCACAAUUAGUAGGUCAUGAUACAAGGGCUUAAGGCGCUGCAGGUAUUUCCUCACCCUUGUUGUUAUAAUUUAAUAUAUUUGCAUUGAGGGAAAUACAUGCUUUUGUUUGUGGGGGUGGGGGUACUUGAAACCUCAAGGGUGUAUUGUCUGUGUUCUAUGCCUUGAGCACUAUCUAGGGAACCAACAUGUUUAGGAUUUAGUUUUUAGUUUGUUUUUUGUUUGUUAGUCUAUGUUAUGUAUGCAUAAGGAGUAGCAUGUAACUGAAUAGCAAUUAUGAAAAUUGUGAUUUACAAAUUGUGUGCCCAUAAAAAAAGUUUGAAUGUGAUAUUGAUUGCUAGGUGCAUGGGAAACCAUUUUUGUCUACAAAAGUAUGCAAAUAUGGCAUUCCCUACUUGAUCUUGAGUUUUGAUAAAGUUUUUGGUGAUAUCCAUACAAUUCCAUUCCAUGAGAGAGUGGGUUUUUUCUAUGAAUAUUUUCUUAAUGUGUGCAUACAUCUAGAACUUGCCUAAACCAUUAUGUUAGGAUUGCAAGUAGUCAUUUGAGAAGUGAUCACAAACCAUUAUUGAUAAGUAAGCCAUUUAGCCAAAAUAAUCAACUUUGAGGCACAUAAUAUAUCCCUCUUAGAAACUUUUUUUAGCCAUUAGAAUUCUUUCUUUGUUUCAACUAAUUGACCACCUUUCACUGAGUUCAAAAUUAAGCCUUGUUGUAGCCAGUUUUCUCUUUGGACAUUUUACACAUCAACUUAGGCAAAUCACCUAAGUUGAGAGUGGAUACAAUAAAAGGAAUGAUGUUUGGAAUGUGCAAAAGAUGUUGUGAAAGUUAGUAUGCUAAAAAAAUUAAUAAAUAAAUCAUAAUUUAGUAAUAGUAGUAAAUAAAUGGUGUAGAGUGUGAUGCUGAGAAGGGUACAAAAUUUGAUUGGGAGAAGAAUGUAAAGGAAUACGUGGUUGUAUCUAAAGUGGUGUAAGUGAUCAAAGAGAGGCUAAGUCACUAACCCUAAAUCAACCUUCCCCGCACUAAAGCCUUCACUUCAAGACGAAAAGCCCUGUAGUGAUCUUAGUCAGACUACUAGAUUAACUAAAUGGAAUGGUAAGGUCAAACUUAUGGUAUUGUAGGUUCACAAUUUGAAAAUUUAUUUUGAGAGUGAGGGCUUAAAUGUAUGGUUCCUAGAAGUACAAAGGAAUAUGUGGAUUCAGAAACUUGUUUCUUCAGUGUGAAUGGUAGUAGAUAUUGCUAAACAUUUGAUUGAAUACUUUAAGUAGUGGUUUGUUUAUUUGAACUUUGAAGAUGUGUGGAAUCUUGAUGUUUCUUGGCAGAAAAAGAUCACAUGCUUCUUAAUGGGUACAAAAUAAAGAAAGCAAAUGCUACUCUUUGAUUUAUGCUCUUGUUGUGUGCAUAAUACUGUGUUAGUUUCUUGAGGAUAAGCAAGUGUUUUAAGUUGAGGGUGUUGAUGUGCUAUCUUUAUGUUAGCAUAUUUAAGGCUUUUAGCUUGAAAUAAUUGUAAGUUCUUAAGUAACCAUUUUUGGUUUUAAUUAUAUUUCAUGUGAUUUUGUAGGGAAGUCGAGAUGCAUAAAAACCUAUGAAAACUAUGACAAGAAGGAUGAUUUAGGGUGAAGUAGAUAUGAAGCUAAUUUUUAAAGAUUUUAGUGGAUGACUUGUUUGAUAAGUCGUAACCUGUUGAUAAGUGAUCAGAGGAAGUCACCACUCAUAGACAGAAUCAUAUGCUGAAAAAGUCAAGUUGACAGCUUUUCUGAUAAGUUGUCAACUUGUUAAUAGGUCACCAACAAAGGCGGUCACCUGUAGGAAGUAUGCAAGAAUUGGAAAGAGUUAUUGAUAACUUGCUUGAUAAGUCAUCAACUGUUUGAUAAGCUGUCAAAGAAGGUCGUCAGCUGUAGGUAGCAUGAAAGAAUUAGAAAGAGAUGUUGACGACUUGUCUAAUAAGUCGUCAACUAUCUGAUAAGCCAUCACAGGAGGUCGUUAGCUAUGGGGUGGAAAAGCUGGAGUUUGAAAUUCAAAUUAGGAAGAUCUUGAGUAUUUAUAGAAAAAUCUUAGUUUUUCAUUGGCAUCUUGAACUUAUUCACAAAUAGCAUCUUUUAUUUUGGUUUCUCAAGCUUGAAUUCUGUUUUUGAAUCAUUGGUUUGGUUUUUGGAACUCUCAUUUGAAUUUGAAGGAGAACAAUCUUCAAUUCUAUCUUCUGUAAGUUAAUUACUUUUGAAUUAUGGAUCUAAUAUAUGAUAUAUCUUUUUUUUUAUGAGUAACUUAAUCCCAUACUGGAGUUUUAGGAUCUAUGGGUAUUGCUUUAUUAAUUCAAUAGUUGGUUAAGAUUCGAAUGCAUGUGGGAACAUCUUGAUAAUGCUAUUGUAAUGAAUGUUUUAUGUUGGUUUCAAACAAUAGAUUUAUCCUUACAUUGGUUUGCUUGAAUUGAGAAAUCAACUAAGGAAGGGGAUUAUCAACGGGGAUUUGGAAAUGUUAAAUUUCUAUCUAAUGAUUAAUGUUUUAACCAGAUUUAUCAACUCGAGAUGAAAUAAGUUUGAAUAUAAGGUUUUCCUAAGUUUGAAAGAAUUAAGAAAUCUAGACUCUAAGUAAGUUGAAAGACACUUGGAUGAAUCAUCACUAAUGAUAAUUUGUUGUUUCCCGCAUGUAGUUAGACUCUAAUACUACAACUAUUGUUUAAUAUGCAUAAAUACUCAUAGUGAACACAACUCUAGUGUUACUACAUCAUUGAUUUGAAAUAUUAAAAUAUUGACUUUGAGCUGAUAAAACAAGUUGAACUAUUAACAAUUGUUUGAUUGAUAAGAAACCCCCCCCCCCCCCCCCCAAAUUAAAGGGAACAAUUAACUAUUAGUUGGUUGAAUCACAAAUAGCCUUGAUUAACACCAUAUUCCCUAUGGGUCUCGACCCCAACCUUGUUAGAUAUUUGACGACGACCACUUACUCUCUCAUAAGAGAGGUGUAAUUUGGGCGUAUCAAUCAUUAUCAAAUAAGCCUCACAUAGGCACAAUUCAAUAAAUCAUCUUUAUCACCAAUUUGGCCUCUCAUGAACAUCCAAUAGAUAAAGUAUUUUUAUCAAUAUUAAAACAAGAAUAUCAUAAAAUUAAUCACAAUUUAACACUUACAAGUCGCUAUUGGAGCCUUAAUUACUUAUUAAUUAUUAAAUACCACUACCUUCUUAAAUACCAUAACUUGAGUUCUAACAUCACCCCAUAUAACGAAAACAUUCAAGCAUAACAUUAUCCUCUACCUCUUUCCACAUAAUGAAAUUCUAAUAAAGAUUCAAGUAAUUUAUCCCUUAGAUAUUACCAUGCUCAUCAAUAUUUGACCCUAGUGUAAUUCUCCUUAUUACAUUAUUCCAUAGUGUACAACUUAAUAUAUUUGUAGCUUAACUAGAUUCAUCACUAGAACAACUUAAUGACAUCACGCUUGCACACUUUAUCCAUAAAUAAUUUUCUUUCAGAUACAUAACAUAUAGUAUCACAGAAGUAACACAUAAUCAGUCGAUAACAUAAUUUUUAAAAUUAAAGUAAAGUUAUUAUGUCUUUAUCAUCCUCAAUUCCAGACCCGCGGGUCUAUACAUGGUUUCUACCAUCAAUUCUAAAUUAUGAAAAUAUGAAAUAACACAGGGUUUAGGGUUUAGGUUUUAGGGUUUAGGGUAAAAUACGAAAUAACACAAUCUUCUACUCAUUAACCUAGAUUAUAUGAAUACCAAGCUUUUGAUUGAAACAAGUUGUAACAAGGAUUCUCUUUCCUUUUCUUCAUGCCUUGGAAUAAUCAAUCAUCUAAAAAAUCAAGUAAUAAUAGGAGUAAUUAAAUAAUUACUCUUCAAAUACAAACAAAUAUUUUGGGAAUUCAAAUCCACUAAUUAUACUCUUAAUACAAGGUCUAUAGAAUUCUUCAAGGUCAAUUAGCCAUUAACUAGCUCUUUCAAGCUUAGCCUAUAUAUAUUAAUGGAGUUUUUAUGCUAGAGGUCUCAUCUUUACGGAAUUCAAGGUUCCUAACAAUCAGAAUUUAUAAUCAAGAUUACGAAAUUCACUUUAGAAAUCUCUAAUUUAUAAUUUAGAAUUAUCUCUACGUCAUAGUAAAAACACCUGUAAGUUUUUUCCCCAAAAAAAAAACUACCAUUAAAUGUCUUUCUUAGGAUUCUAAGAUGUUAAAGGAUUAUAAGACGAAGAACAUAAUGGAAAAAAUUAUCUCAACGAUGGACAUUCACCUUAAGCUUUGGGAAAUCACCUCUCUAGGGUUGGAAAAUGAAGUUUGGGGUUUUUAAAUUUAAAACAAGCUGAAACUGAUUUAAAUACCACCAGAAUUCUCGCUACUGUGAAAUUCUCGGUUUGCCCGAACAAUGCUCAAUAAACUGUCGUCACUUUUUACUCCAUAUUUGGAUGGAUGAAUGAUUUAUAGCAUUAAAAAUAGGACUCAUAAAACUUUGAUUUGGUGGGUAUUAGACCCCCUAACUCCUUAUAUUCUAGUAGAUAUGGUUGUUUGAAGUUGACCCUAAUAGAAAAUCAUAUCGAAACUCUAUCAUAAAGAAAGUUUUAAAAUUAAAUUUGCAUUAGAGAUAUUGUACGACCUUAAUUUAUACCUAAAUAACUUCCAAACUAGAGUAUUGAUAUUAGUGUUCAUGAAUAAUUAAAUUCAUUGGGCUUGAGGCUAUCUAUAGAUAUUGAAAGAUUUAAAUCUUAGCCGAAAAGCUUAAGGUGACACAAUAAAUAAGAUGAGGGCUAUUUUGAGUUCAAGUUAAUAUUAAGGAAGAAAAUAAAGAUUUUUCAUGAAUUUGUCAUGGAUAAUUUAAUAACAAAUGGUUCAUUUCAGUUUCCCUUCUCCUAAUGUAUGCCAUUACUGACUGACACAAAGAUUACAAAAAUACCCAAUUUCGAAACAUUUUUCCUAUCUAAUCUACCGCUUUAAACUUUUACCUCCAGUGAUAAUAAAUAUUUAACCUGAUUUAUGUAAUGCCCCGAGACUGCACCCUAGGUAUCACAUGGUGCUUACAAUCCCGAAGGACCACAAUCUAACCCAUGACUAGUACUUGUGUGAGCACUGAAUAAUAAUAAUAUUGAAAAUAUAUGUGGAAUUUAGGCUGAAAUUGCCAUAAGGUCAUAAACUAAAAAUAAAUAAUAAAUACGGAUCGUAAUACUGAAAAACUGAACAUUUGUCUAAAAUAGUCUAGUUCAAAAGCCUCGAACUGUCUGAAUAUGGAGUUGAUGGGACAAGUCCCCAACUAACUCUUACUACUGAACAUACUAAACUACUGGAAUGCUAAAAUAAUAACUCUGUCCUCAAAAUAUAAGGACUUACCACUAUAACUAUUGUUGAUAACCUGAGCUGCUAAGUACGGUCAGGAGCCCGUGCGUUUGAACCUAUGAUAUAAGAUAUCAUAUUUCAAAAGAAAGAGUAUGCGUCAGCACUUUAAAUAUACUGGUAUACUAAGUGAGGUAGGUUGGUAUAAAUGGGUUCAUAUGCAUGAGAUGAUAACUGACCGAAUGAACAUCAUGAAAUAACUGAAUAAGAGUACAUACAAAAACUGUAACUACUGAUCAUGCUGAAUAUGAAAUCAUGUUCAUAUAACCUAUAUCUGAAUUAGACUGAUAUUGAAGUACUAAGUUCUGAUGGCUAAGUAACUAAUAAAUGUUAGCCAUGGUUCUGUAGAACAAUUUGAGUUCUUAACUGAAUUUUAAGACUAAACACUGAUUACUGAGUACUGAAUAUUGAAACUGUAACUGUGGGAGUGUUUAUCUAACUGACAUAAACUGAUUAUAAACUGAGCUGGGAUCCAACCUUUGACUCCAGUUGGAAGGGUGUUAAUACAUUGACAAGGGAUACUAAUAAUGUUGUGUCAACCCUAAUCUGGAAGAAGAGUCAGGAAAUGUAUAUGUAAUUGUGUCAACCCUAAUUUAGAAGGAGGAUGACUUACCCUACGCUGGCUACAUAGUUCUAUAAUGCAGGGACUGCUACUAAGGGUCAAACCCUCUACUGGUAGGAAUGCCCCCAUCCCUAGGUUUGCUCAGAGCUGAAUUCUAUUCUCAAUGGAAUAGACACAGAACUAAUCACUAGACUGUACUAGGAUUGACUGCACUGAUACUGAUCGUGUUGACUGACUAAACUGGAUCGAGUUCACUGAGUUUUGUAACUGGCUGAGUACUACUGCCUGUGACAUUACUCAGACUAUUCUAUAGCUACUAUAAUUCUAGGUAAGCAACUAGAUUGUCGGGUAUUGAAUAUCCCCAGGACUAAAUAAAAUCAAUAGUAAAACAUGGAAAAAUCUUAAAGACAUUACAUGUAAUGCCCCGAGUCUGUACCCCGGACGCUACACGAUGCUUAUGACCCCGAAGGACCACAAGAUAACCCAUGACUAAUAGCUUCCAUGAGCCCUAAAUAAUAUACUAUAAUAGUUGUGGAAAAUUGGCUAAAAUAUCAUAAGGUUCAAAAUUUAUAAAUACUGAUAAAGUAUAUCAACUAAAAUAACAAUCUAUAAAACUAAACACUAUCUAAAAAAUAGUUUGAAAAAUCUCUAACUGAACUGUCUAAAAGUGGAGUUCAUUGGACAAGCCCCCAACUAACCCCACAUACUAAAAUACUGAAAAUACUAAGAAUCUAAAAUAAAAGAAUAUCCUUAAAUGAUGAGGACUCACUGCUAAUCUACUGCUACUCGCUGAAUCUUAAUUUAUCUAUGCGUGGUCGGGAACCUGAGCAUCUGAACCUAUGAUAUAAGACAUCAUAGUGCAAAAAAAGAGUAUGUAUUAGUACGUGAAAUGUACUGGUAUGCUAGAUGGGUUAAGGCUGAAUGCAAGGGUUCAUAUGACUAAGCUUGUUUGAAGCUAUGUCCUGAAUUCUGAUACAGAGUAAUUGGUAUAUGAAGUUAUUGAUAACUGAUUUGCUGAUACUGGUUGACUGUAUCUGAUAGUCCUGAUUCUAUAGAACAGAACUGAGUUCUAUUCUGAAGACUGAAAGUAAGAUUAUGAGAGGUAAUCAUCUAACCGACAUGCCCCAAAUAAGAUAAGAUAAUUGAGUUGGGGUCCAACCCAUGACCCCAGUUGGAAUGGUGUCAAAACCAUGCCACAGGUAAGGAUAAGUUGAGAGUUACCCUCAUCUGGAAGGUACAUUAAUGAGAAUAGUGGAGCCCUCAAUUAACAGGUUAAAACACCCCAUCAACCCUCAAUGGAAAGGUUUGAUGUCUCAACCUACACUAGCUACAUAGUUUUUGAAUGCAAGGAUUGCUUCUAGAGAUCAUACCCUCUACUGGCAGGUGAGCCCCUAUCCUUGGGUUCAUUUGAUACCGAAUCUUACUCCAAACUGAAAGACACUGAACUGAGUAUACUAAACUGGACUAAACUGAUAUUGAUUUUACUGAGUUUUUUUGAAUUCUAUAACUGACUAAGAGUACUACUGAUCAUGACAUGACUGAGAUUCUCUAACUGACAUUGGCUCUAGGUAAACAACUAAAUUGUCGGGUAUUAAAUACCCACAGGACUUGACAGCAUGAAAAGUAAAGCAUUGCAUAAUCUUGAAUAACAUGACAUUGUCCACUUGUUCAUAAUUCAUCCAUAGAGACUUAUUAUCAAACACUUUUAAGGCAUCUACUUAUUCAUAAAGGGGGAACACAUGCUAUCUGGUUAUAAUGGCUCUUAUUCAUUGACAUAGGCAUUUUAUCAAACACAUGGGUAGCAUGCUUAGAUUAUACAAAAAUCAACACACAUAGUUAUCAUAGAUACAUCAAUCAACUUGUAAAUUGAAAGGUUCAUCAAGAGGAUCAUGUAAUUCAACACAUAUAAUGAUUAAUUUCAUGAAAGCUUUUAAUUUAAUCAUGGACAAAAACCCAACAAUAACAUGAACAUGAAUUCAAUUCAAUUCAAUUCAAGCAUGGAGGUUCAUAACUCAACAAUCUUGUAGUUUGAAAAUGGAUUCAUGGACUCUAUAGGUGGAAGGGACCCAUAGAUGAACACCUAACAUACCUUGGAAUGUUAAUUCUUGAAGGUUCUUGGAGAAAUUCUUAAGCUUUGUUCUUAAAUUUUGAAACUAGGGUUUCUUGAUUUUGACAGAGAAUGAUGUACUUUGGGGAAAAUUGAGUGAAUAAUGAUAUAUUUUGGUCAUUUAGGAAUUAAUUUCGUGUUUAAGUCUAUUCUAGGCCAUGGAAAAAGUCUAAGUUGUCCUUGGGAUUUGAAAUACCACAAUUGGAAUGCCGCUUAAGGACCCACCAUGACGCGGUGAAUGGGUCAUCGCUAUAUCCACCGUAACGCGGUGGAAUCGCAGUGACUCUCUGGAUCGUGGCAAUUAUUGUUUUGGGGUUCACCAUGAUGCAGUGCAAUCGCGGUGACCCUAUGGAAAUUAAUAAAUGCCAAAAUGGCCUUUAGCAUGAUACGAUGGAGUACUCAUUGUGAUACUCACUGCGAUGCGGCCUAAUCGUGGUGAGCUACUAUUGUUACAUAGACUGCCCUAACUCUUCGUCCGAGUAUCAAAUUUGGGUGAAUUUUAAAUCGUUGAAAAGCUGACUGAAUUUCCUACUCAUUAGAAGGCUCUAAACUGAAAAAUGUUGAGUAUUUCAUAAAUUUUAUAUAGGAUAACUCAGGUACUUAGAGAUAUAUUAAGAUCUAGAAAUAUGGGGUACUACAUUACAUUAGUUACUUGUCCACCAUGCAUUCAUUUAGACAUUUUGUCAAACACUUGAGAGGCAUAAACUUGUACAUGAAUGAGACCACAUGAUAACAUGUCAUGAAUUCACUACUCAAUUUACAUAGUCAUUCUAACAAACACUAGGGGAGCAUAAUUAAUGCACAUGGAAUUCAUCAAGAUAUACACAUCAUGGCUAAACACUUAACUUACAAUUCAAGGGUUUAACAUGAGGAUCACAUAAUUCUACAUACUUGCUAAUUAAUUAACUUGAAACUUGUAAUGACUCUUGGUUUGAAAACCAUACAUCAAUACCUACAUGAACACAAUCCAAUUCAAACAUGUAAAUCAUGAAAUCAAUAAACUUGUAGUUUAAAAAGGGUUCUUGAACUCCAAGGGUGGAAGGAAACCCAAGGAUAAACACCUAACAUUCCUUGCUUAUUGAAUUCGAGAAGUUUGUGGAGGUUUCCUUGGAACUUGAUCUUGAUAAAUUAGGGUUUAAUUCAUUAGAGGAUUUUGAGAAUAAAGUCUGUAUUUUUCCUUUUAGAGAGUUAAAUUUCAUGUUUUAGCUGAAUUGGACGAGGGGAAAAUGACUCAAUUACCCUUGGAAAGUCAGAAUUAAAUAAGAAAAAAUGUUCCCAGUGAUGUGUUUGGCGACGCGUCGCAUCGAUAGGGUCGACGCGAUGGCCAACACAUCGCGUUGUGCUUGCAUUGGCUCAAUGGAAAUUUCACUAAAGGCUUUGCCCAUCGAUGUUGCAACCAACGCAUCGUGUCAAUAGGGUUGACGCAAUAGCCGACACAACGUGUCGUGAUCAUAUCAACUCACUACCUUGGACACCCAAACAAGCUUCUAACGAUGUCUAAAAAAUUUAAAACUCACCCAAGGUAACCUUUUGAUAUCCAUGAUUAUGAAUCAACUUAAAAAUCAACAUUUUUAGGUCGUAACGAUUGAAAAUAAGAUCAUCUUAUUACAAAGGUUAAAAUGAUUCUAAGUCUUAACACUUAGCUGAAUUUUUGAUUCUAUGUCUUAAUACUUAACUGAAUUUUUCUAAGUCUUGGAUCCCCUUGUUACAAGCUAUAUAAGAUUGAAUUGAACUAGAACUUUACAGGGUCUUACAAUAUCUCCCCCUUGGGAAUAUUCGUCCUUAAAUUAGACUGAUUAUGCUGAGACUACAUAUAGAUUGAGUUUAUAUACUGAACAUGCACAACUGAAGCAUAAUUACAUGACUAAAACUACUAAUAAACUGAGUUUUCAUACUGAACAUGCAUAAUUGAAGCAUGAGUAUAUGACUAAAACUAUUGAUAAACUGAGUUUUCAUAAUGAACAUGUAUAACUGAUACAUUAUCAUAUGGAUGAACUGAUUUAUGAAUGCAUGACUGUCAUGAGGAUGAUAUAGAAUGGUAACUGAUACCAAGUUUGUAAAGGUAAUGUGAGCAUGGAACUGAUUAAAUCUAAGAAAGAUUGUUACCUUAGGAUAAUAUGAGUUUAAGGUAAAGAGGUGAGGAUAAUUGGUUUGCAUGUCUGCUUCUGCUUCCCAAGUAGCUCCCUCAAUGGACUAAUUCUGCCAAAGAACUUUGACCAAAGGAACUUCUUUGUUCCUCAGUCUGCGAAUCUGAUGAUUAAGGUUUUCGACUGGGACUUCCUCAUAAGAGAGAAUGUUCUGAACAUCUAUACUCUCUAUAGGGACUACAACUAUUGGGUUACUAAUGGGCUUCUGUAGCAAGGAGAUGUGAAACACUGGGUGUACUGAAGCUAAGUUUGAAGGCAACUCAAGCUCAUAAGCUACCUUUUCGAAAUAACUAAGCAUUCUGUAAAGACUGACAUAUCAGGGACUGAGCUUCCUAUUCUUGCCAAACCUCUUCACUCCCUUCAUGAGAGAUUUUUUCAAGUACACAUAAUCACCAAUCUCAAACUCGAGAUCUUUUAUUCUCACAUUAGCAUACGAUUUUUGUUGACUCUGAGCUAUCUUAAGCCUCUCCCUGAUCAACUUAACCUUCUCUAAGGCAUCAAAUACUAAGUCAAGCCCCGCCAACAUAGUCUCACCUAUUUCAAACCAACCAAUAAGAGACCUACAUGUCCUCCCAUAAAGCACCUCAAAUGGAGCAAUCUGAUUACUUGAGUGAUAGUUGUUAUUGUAUGCGAACUCAAUCAAAGGUAAGUGGUCAUCCUAACUACCCUUAAAGUCAAUGACACACACUCUUAACAUAUCUUCUAAAGUAUGAAUGGUCCUUUCUGCUUAACCAUCUGUCUGAGGGUGGAAGGCAGUACUGAGUUGAACUUCGGUACCAAAACCCUUUUUGGAAGGCUUUCCAAAAGUGAGAGGUGAACAACGUACCUCUGUCUGAAAUGAUAGAUAACAGAACUCUGUGCAAUUUGACCAACUUUCUAACAUAGAGCUUGGCAUAAUCCUCAGCUGAAUAGGAAGUAUGAACUGGCAAGAAAUGGGCUAAUUUGAUCAUCCUAUCUACAAUGACCCAAACCAAAUCAUGCUGAUGACAAGUACGAGGAAAACUCAUCACGAAGUCUAUGUUCACUUCCUUCCACUUCCAUAUGGGAAUACUAAACAGAUACAUGAACCCACUAGGUUUUUAGUGCUCAAUCUUAACCUGCUGGUAUGUAGAGCACUUAGGUAUAAACUCUGCGAUGUCUCUCUUCAUCCCACUCCAUAAUAGAUUUCUCGCAAAUCUUGGUAAAUCUUAGUGGACCCUAGAUGAACCGAGUAACACACACCAUUCGCUUCUACAAGAAUCCACUACCUCACGCCAUCCACACAUGGCACACAUAGUCGACCCUAGCAACACAACACACCAUCUCUCCCCUGGGAUAAAACCUCUACCUUAUAAGUUGUAUAGAGGCAUAGGCUAUGCCCUUAACUCUCUACAUCAAGACACACCCCAAACUAACUCUGGAAGAAUCAUAAUACACAACAAAUCUGUUUGAACCAUCGGGCAAAAUCAAAACUAGGGUUGUAGUGAGUCGGGACUUCAACUCCUGAAAACUCAUCUCACAAGAAUUUGACUACUAGAAUUUGAUUUUAUUCUGAUUUAAUCUAGCAUGGGGGAUGCAAUAGAUCAAAAUACUUCAAUAAACCACCGGUAAUAGCUAGCCAAACCCAAGAAACUUUUGAUAUCUGAGAGAGAGAUAGGUCUAGGCCAGUUUCUCACUGUUUGGUCUUUUGAGGAUCAACUCUAAUUCUAUCACUGGAAACUAUAUGACUAAGGAAAGAUAUUGACCUUAGCAAAAAUCAUAUUUACUGAAUUUAGCAAACAACUAAGGGCUUUGAGGGUCUAUAAUACAAUUAUAAGGUGGUCUACGUGAUCAUUUUCACUGCGAGAGUAGAUAAGAAUGUCAUUAAUGAAGACUAUGAUGAACAUGUCCAAGUAAUAUUUGAACACGCGGUUCAUCAAGUCCAUGAAGAGGUUGGGACAUUUUUAAGACCAAAUGACAUGACUAUAAAUUUAAAGUGACCAUUCAAAUUUAUGAAAGCUAUUUUUGGAUGUCAUAUUCUUUGACUUUGAGCUGAUGAGCCUGAUAUGAGGUCUAUCUUAGAAAAGUAACUAGCACCUUAAAGUUGUUCAAACAAGUCAUCAAUUCUGGGAAGUGGAUACUUGUUCUUAACUGUGACUUUGUUCAACUAAUGGUAGUCAAUACACAUUUAGAGAGAACCAUCAUUUUCACACAUGAAUAAAACUGGUACACCCCAUGAGGAAACAUUGGGCCUGGUGAACCUCUUAUCUAGGAGAUCCUUCAAUUGUUCUUUCAAUUCUUUAAGUUCUGCUAGAGCCAUUUUAUAUGGUAGAAUAGAGAUAGGCUGAGUAUCUAGAAUAAGGUUUAUUCCAAAGUUAAUUUCCCCCCGAGAGGAGCUCCGGAAAGAUCUUCAAGAAACUCAGCUGGAAAUUCACUUGCUACUGAAACUGACUCAAUAUUAGGGGUCUCGAAACUACAGUAUUUAACUCAAAUAAGAUGAUAUACACACCCCUUAGAUCUCAAUUUUCUCGCCCUAAGGUAGGAAACAAACUGACCUUUUAGUAUUAAAGUACUACCCCUCCAUUCUAGGAUAGGUUUAUUCGAGAACUGAAAAUAGACAACUCUAUUUCUACAGUACACUAAAGCAUAUCAUUAAUAAAGAAAAUUUAUGCUAAGAAUGACAUCAAAAUCUUUCAUCUCUAACUCUACUAAGUCUGCUAAAGUAACUUUCUGAGAUACCAUAACUGGACAGUUCCUGUAUACUUGCCGGGCUAUGAUAGAAUUACCCACAGGGGUAGAGACUGAGAAGGGCUCUUCUAGGAUUUUGGGACUGAAUCUAAAGUCAAUAGCUAUAUAAGGAGUUACAAAAGAAAAAUAAGCUCCUAGAUCUGUAAUACCCGUGCUUUUUCUUAGCUUAAAACUCCUCUGAAAGAUGUUAGAACUUCCCUUGAAAUAAGAAUUCAUUCUUAUACACAUAGUAUUUAUGUAAUUUUCACUUCCUAUCAUGUGAGAAAUUUAAUAAGCUUUCCAUUGAUAUAUAAUUCGUCCAAAUUUGACACCCAGGCUAAGAGUUAGGACCUUUUAGUGAGACAGUGUUUGACCUGAGCCUUCAGCACGUCAUGAAGAUAACUCAAAUGGCAAUUGUCAAAUUCUAGUGUUUCUCUAUGAUACUGGAAAAUGGCACCAAACUUUUAGGUCACAUAUAAGGUUGCAACGCGAUAGCUUCGCGUCGUGCCACCGUGCAGUUUCCCAAUUGUCAAUUUCUAGUGACACGGUGCGAUAAUGCUGCGUCGCGCCAAGGCUCAAUUUGGGAAAUUUUACUGAAAAUUAAAUUACAUGUCUAGGGUUAAAAGGGUCGAUUCCCCCCUUAUAUAAGCUUCCAAACAUGGGAUUUAGCCCUUAUUCAUCCAAAAUAUUGAUGUUUUUCUCAAAUACUCUCAAGAACUCAAGCUAGGGUUUUUAUAGAAGGUCAAAUUUCAAGAAGGUUUCACCAUCAAUCUACACAAAAUCUCUAACAAAGGUAUGCAUAGUGUUCAUUCAUGGACUCCUUUUAUCCAUGAAAUCCAAGAAUCCCUUUUCUAAACUCAAGUUAUGGAUUUUCUAUAUGUUUUCAUGUUUUGGCUGCUCAUGUUCAUGUUUGAUAGAUGUGAAAUUGGAUUCUACUCCAUGAUUAUUGAUAGUUUCUAUGUGGGUUUAAUUACUAUAGCCAUAGAUUCAUGCAACCAUAAGAUUUAAACCCUUGAAUGAUGAAAUUAGAAUUGAAUAAUGAUGUUUGCAUGUACCAUGCCUUUCAUAUGUUUGAUUAAAUGCCUAGAUGAAGGAAUAUUGUCUAACUAGCAUGAUAUCAUGAAAUCCCCAUGUAUGUACAAGUUUAUGCCUAUUACAUGUUUGAUGAAACACUCCUAUGAAUGUAGUAUGUAUUUUGAUGUUAGUCAAGUAUUCAAGUAAAUCAUGCUAUGUAAGUUUCCUUCUAUCGAGUCCUGGGGGUACUUGUACCUAAAACAUUAGCUGUGUGCCUAGAGCCAUGUCAUGUUUUCCCAAUACUCUCCAUCAAGCUAUGAACUCUUAGACUUCAGAUAGUCUCAUGACUCAGGAAAAAUCUCCAUGAUCUAAUGAAUCAGUCAGUUGUUAGAUAUCAGUAGUAUUCUGUCAGCCAUAAAUAUUCAGUAACUUAGUCCAUGCUUAGUUCAGUUCAGUAAAUCAUGUUUAGCGUCUAUUCAGAUAGGAGUAGGAAUUAGCACCAAGUGAACCCAAGGAUGGGGACUCACCUGUUAUAUGAGGGUGUGAUUCCUAGAAGCAAUUCUUGUAUUCUAGAACUAUAUAGCCAGCAUAGGUUGACCCAUCAUAGCCUGCUAUAUGAGGGUAGAUAAAGUGGCUUAACCUAUUAUGUGAGGGUUCCCACCGUUCUCACUAGAGCUACCAAUUAUAUGAGGGUUACUCAUAUGUUGUCCUUACUAGUAGUGCGGUAUUGACACCCUUCUAAUAAGGGUAUAGAUUGGACCCCAGCUCAGCUAUAUAGAGCAUUUGGGGCAUGUCGGAUAGAUACUACUUACCACUAUUUCAUGUUUAGAACCAGGACCAUCAGAUAUAGUCAAUCAGUCUCAGUAAUAGAACUCAGAUAGUUCUUUAGAUUUUAGGACUGUCAGAUACAGUUAACUCAGAUACAGUACUGAACUCAGAUAAUUCCAUCAAAUUUAGAACUGUCAGCUACAAUCACCCAUAUAAUCAAUAUUAUGCAGAUAUAGUCCUUCAUAUUAUCAGUCAUAUGAGUUACUAGCAUGUCACGUUAUCAGUAUACAAACUCAGAAAUCACGAAAUCACGUUGUCUGUUACAGUUAUGUAUUUAUGCAUAUAUUUUCUCAUUCAUGUUAGAUAGUCAGUUAGCAUUAUUCUUGCAUGUAAACCAUUGCAUAUAGCCUACCUCAAAUGUAUACUCAGUACAUAUAUACUAACGCAUUUGCACUAUGGUUCUUUCUUUUUAUGUUGCACCAUAGGUUUAGAGACACGAGUUCCAGAUCAAUAGUAGAUUCCAAAUUCAACAGUUAGAGUAGAAGUGAGUCCUCAUCCUUCUAGGACAUAAUGAUUUUUUUGUAUCUUAUUGAUUAGCUUAUUAGUUAGAGUUAGUUGGGGACAUGUCCCAUCAACUCCUUAUUCAGAUUCUUCAGACAGUAGAGGCUUUCAGACUAGAUACAGACUAGAUACAGACACUCAUAUUCUAGACUUUAGUUUUGUUUUGUGUAUUCUAUUACCCCAUACAGAUGUUACGUUAUUUAGUUAUGUUCAUGAUCGAACCUUAUGGCCUUUCAGUGCAUGUUUCUGCAUUAUUAUAUUAUCUUAUAUAGUAUACAUGUACAAAAAUUAGUCAUGGGUUUGCUUGUGGUCCUUCGGGGUCAUGAGCACCAUGUAGCAUUCCAGUUCAGUAAACCAGGUUGUUACAAACUUAGUAUCAGAGCCUAAGGUUCAAUAGAGUUCUAGGAAGUCUGAAAGCCACAUCUAGUAGAGUCUUGUGCAUGGGUGUGUUGCGCGCCACAUUUAUGUGCAAGAGGCUAUGAGAUGUUUUAAGAACAAUUUCCUUUCUUUCAGUAUUCAUGUCAUACCUGUGAGCAUAAUCAUAAGUUAGUCUCUUAGUCUAAUCCAUUUCUCUCUUUCUUCUACAGAAUAUGACUCCUAAAAGAAGAAAUGGAAAUCAGUCAGCCCCUCAGCCCGAAGAACCUUUGGGCAAUCAUGUUUCUCAUUCAGAGUUCAGGACCAAAUUUACCACUCUUGCUCAACCAGUCACUACUCAUAAUGAACGAGCAACAGUCAUUCCAGCCAACCCAGUGGCCAACUCAAUCACAACUAGAAUUUUGGACUUCACCCAAAUGAAUCCUCCAAUAUUCCUCGGGCCCAAGGUAGAUGAAGACCCUCAGAAAUUAAUUGAUCAAGUUUAGAAAGUGACAGACAUAAUGGAGGUGACUACUAUUAAGAGUGUUGAGCUAGGUGCAUAUCAGUUAAAGAAUGUGGCUCAUACUUGGUACAAAUACUAGAAGUCUGAAAGGGUAGAUGAUGCAAGUCUUAUAGAGUGGGAGGACUUUGUCACUGCAUUCUUAGACAGAUUCUUUCCCCAAGAGCUUAGAGAAGCUAAGGUGCUAGAGUUCAUCGACCUCAAGCAGGGCAAUAUGACGGUGAAAGAUUAUUCUCUCAAGUUUACUCAAUUAGCCAGAUAUGCCCCUCAUGUGGUUGUAGAAAACAGAGCUAAGAUGAGCAAGUUUGCUUCAGGGGUAAAUAAUACAUGGUUAAUGAGUGCAGAUCUGCCAUGCUAAAUAGUGACAUAAAUUUAUCUCAACUCAUGACUUACGCUUAGCAGAUAGAAGAGAAGAAUAUUAAGAAGAGGGAAAAGCAUAAUAAGAAAGCUAGGACAGGUAGCUUCAAUUUUAGAUAGCCUAAAUCAGAAGAAGGAAACUGUUCCCAGUUUCAUCUUAAGUCAUCAGUUCCAGCUCCUUCUACAGCCAGUGCUCCAAUUUCUAAGUUUAGAGAGGGUAACAAAGAUAGAGUGCUAGGCUCUAAGUCUCAGGGCAGUAUCAGCAAUGCCUGACCUAAUCCCUUAUGUUAGACUUGUGGUAAGAACUACAAGGGUGCUUGCAGAGCUGGUAGAGAUGUCUAUUUUGGUUGUGGAAAACCAGGCCACAAAGUCAAAGAUUGUCCCCAGUCGGGUUAUCAGGGUUAGCAGAACCAUUCCGCAACUCAGUCUGAUCGCCCAAACUAGCAGGGUGCCACUUCCAAUGCUACUAGUGGGCAAUGCCCAAAUCGUCUUUAUGCUCUUCAGACCUGACAGGAUCAGGAAAAUUCUCCUGAUAUUGUUACUGGUACAUUACAAAUCUUUCAUGUUCAUGUUUAUGCUUUUCUAUAUCCAAGUGCAUCCUUGUCUUUUGUUACUCCUUAUAUUGCAGGCGAUUUCGAAGUCAGUCCUGAAAUUCUAGCAGAACCCUUUUCAGUAUCUACCACGAUGGGUAAAACCAUCAUAGCUCAUUGGGUAUACAGGAACUAUCCGGUUAUGAUAUUUCAGAAAGUCAUAUCAGCAGAUUUAAUCGAGUUAGAGAUGAUUGGUUUUGAUGUCAUUCUCGACAUGGAUUGGCUUUAUUCCUGCUAUGCCACAGUCGACUACAGAAACAGAAUAGUUUAGUUUCAAUUUCCAAAUAAACCCAUCCUAGAGUGGAAGGGCAAUACUUCAGUGUUCAGAGGUCAACUUGUUUACUACCUUUGGGAAAGGAAAAUAAUAUCUAAGAGGUGUGUUUAUUAUCUCGUGCAUGUUAAGGACUCUAGUUCUGAAUCUCCCAGUCUUAAAUUAGUCCCAGUGUUAAUGAGUAUUCAUAUGUAUUUCUCAAAGAUCUUCUAGGCAUUUCUCCUGAAAGGGAAAUAAACUUUGGCAUAGACCUUCUUCCAGACACUCAGCCUAUCUCUAUUCCACUAUACAGAAUGGCACCAGCAGAACUUAAGGAACUGAAAGAACAGUUGAAGGAUAUCUUAGAUUAGGGAUUCAUCAUACCCAGUAUUUCCCCGUGGGGCGCACCAGCCUUAUUCUUGUGCAAGAAAGACGGUUCCCUCAGAAUGUACAUAGAUUACCGUUAACUCACUAAAUUCAUAGUAAAGAACAAGUAUCCUCUUCCCAAAAUCGAUGAAUUGUUUGACCAACUUUAGGGUGCCUAUUAUUUUUCUGAGAUAGACCUCAGAUCCGGCUAUCAUCAGCUCAGAGUUAGAAAAUGUGACAUUUUGAAGACAGCUUUCCAUAGUCGGUAUAGUCACUUUGAAUUCCUAGUCAAGUCCUUUGUUCUUACCAAUUCCCCAACCAUUUUCAUGGACUUAAUGAACCGUGUGUUCAAGCAGUACUUGGACAUAUUUGUGAUAGUCUUUAUAGAUAACAUUCUUGUUUACUCUCACAAUGAGAAAGACCAUUCAGACCAUCUCAGAAUUAUUCUCCAGACUCUCAGAGAUCAUCAGUUGUUCACCAAAUUUAGUAAGUGAAAAUUUUUGCAAAGUCCAGUAGCAUUCCUUAAUCAUAUCAUUUCUGGUGAUGGCAUUAGAGUAGAUCUUUAGAAGACCGAAGCGGUAAGAAAAUAGCCUCGCCCUAUCUCUCCAUUAGGUAUCAGGAGUUUCUUAGGUUUGGCUGGCUAUUACAGAUGGUUUAUUGAGGGAUUUUCUUCUAUUACAUCCCCUAUUUCCAAAUUGACUCAGAAGAAAGUCAAGUUUUAGUGGUCAGAUCUUUGCGAGAAGAGUUUUCAAGAAUUAAAGACUCAACUUACCUCAGCUCUAGUUCUAGCUCUUCCAGAUAGUUCAAAUGGAUUCAUAGUAUAUUGUGAUGCAUCUAGACUAGGUUUGGAUUUUGUCCUCAUGCAACAUGGUAAGGACAUAGCCUAUGCCUCUAGACAGUUAAAGCCCCAUGAGAAGAAUUAUCCUACUCAUGAUCUUGAGUUAGCAGCCGUAGUAUUUGCCUUACAGAUUUGGAGGCUUAUCUCUACAGAUUUCAUGUAGAUAUCUUCACAGAUCAGAAGAGUCUUCAGUAUGUCUUUUCUUAGAAAGAUUUCAAUAUUUGUCGAAGAAGGUAGUUAGAACUCUUGAAAGAUUAUGACAUAAGAGUUCUCUAUCAUCCGGGCAAGGCCAAUGUAGUGGCCGGCGCUCUUAGUAGACUCUUUAUGGGUAGUGUUUCUUAUUUUAAGGAUAGUAAGAAGAAGUUAGCUCAAGAAGUACACCAGAUUGCUAGACUAGGCGUUCGAUUAGUCGACUCUUUAGAGGGUGGUGUAUGUGUUCAGAGUAGAUCAAAACCAUCUCUAGUUUUUGAGGUGAAAGAAAAGCAAGAUAGGGAUCCCAGCCUUGUCAAGUUAAAAGAGUCAGUUCAGGAUUAGAAAAUAGAGGUUUUCACCCAAGGGAGAGAUGGUGUUCUUUGUUGUCAGGGUCGUCUUUGUGUUCCAGGCGUAAAUGACAUAAGGCAGUGAAUUCUUGUAGAAGCACAUGGUGCCUGCUACUCUAUUCAUCCAGGGGACACUAAGAUGUACCACAACUUGUGAGAGAUCUAUUAGUGGAAUGGGAUGAAGAGAGAUAUUGUAGAGUUUGUGGAUAAGUUCUCUAUAUGUCAGUAGGUUAAGAUAGAGCAUCAGAAGCCUAGUAGUCCUAUGCAGGAGUUCGCCAUUCCUACUUAGAAGUGGGAAGAAGUGAACAUGGAUUUUGUGAUGGGUUUUUCUCGAACUCGUCAUCAGCAUAAUUCAGUUUGGGUCAUUGUAGACAAGAUGACCAAAUCGGCUCAUUUUCUUCCGAUUCAUACCUUUUAUUUAGCUGAGGAUUACACCAAACUCUACAUCAAGGAGUUGGUCAGAUUGCACGGUGUUUCGUUAUCAAUUAUCUCAGACAAAGGUACCCAAUUCAUCUCUCAUUUCUGGAAAGCAUUCCAAAAGGGUCUUGGUACCCAAAUUCAUUUGAGUACAGUCUUUCAUCCUCAGAUAGAUGGUCAAGUAGAAAGGACCAUUCAGAUGUAGAAGAUAUGCUAAGGGCAUGUUUAAUUGAUUUCAACGGAAUUUGGGAUAACCACUUGCCUUUGAUUGAGUUUGUAUACAACAACAGCUAUCAUUCCAGUAUUCAGAUGGCUUCAUUCAAAGCUCUCUAUAGUAGGAGAUAUAGAUCUCUAAUUGGUUGGUUCAAAAUUAGUGAGGCCUCAGUUAUAGGGCCUGACUUGGUAUUUGACUCCUUAGAGAAAGUUUAGUUAAUUAGAGAAAGACUCUAGGCUACUCAGAGCCGACAGAAGUCUUGCGUAGAUGUUCGUAGAAAAGAUCUUGAGUUUGAGAUUGGUGAUCAUGUCUACCUCAUAAUCUCUCCUAUGAAGGAAGUGAAGAGAUUUGGUAAGAAGGGAAAGCUCAGUCCCCGAUAUAUCGGUCCCUUCAAGAUUCCCUGUCGAUUUGGAAAGGUAGCUUAUGAGCUUGAAUUGCCUUCAGAUCUAGCCUCAGUUCAUCCAGUAUUUAAUGUCUCUUUGCUCAAGAAGUGUAUAGGUGACCCAUCAAUCGUAGUCCCUAUUUAUAGCAUUGAUGUUCAGAAUAGCCUCUCUUAUGAAAAGAUUCCAGUUAAAAUCUUAGACUAUCAGACUCGUAGAUUAAGGAACAAGAAAUCCCUCUGGUUAAAGUUCUUUGGAGAAAUCAGUCCAUCGAGGGAGAUAAUUGGGAAACAGAAGCAAAUAUGCGUACCAAGUAUCCUCACCUCUUCCCCGCCAACUCAAAUGAAGCUCAAGAUAAUAGUUCUCCUUAAGCUUACUCAGUUUCAUGAUUAGUGUUCAUCACUAACUUAUUAUACCAUGAUAAUCUUGGUAUCAAGUACCACCGCAUAUCCAGUCAUGCAUUUAUGUAUCAGAUCAGUUAUAUAGUUAUGCAUCAUACAUGCAUUCUUAUUUUGAGAAAACUUAGUUCUUCAGAACGUUUAGUUAUGCAUUUAUGAAUCAAUUACAUAUGCAUCAGAUAUGCAUAUUCAGUAUGUUAUGUUCUGGUUGUCAGACACGUCCUUCAUGAGAUCAUGUUCCAUUUAUUCAUGUUCAGUUCAUUGUUUCCCCUCUCAUUCAGUCUCAUUCGAGGACGAAUGUUCUCAAGGGGGAGAUAUUAUAAUGCCCAUGCUUUUUCUUAGCUUGAAAAUCCUCUCAAGGAUGUUAGAACUUUCUUUGAAAUAAAAAUUCAUUAUUAUACACAUGGUAUUUCCAUAAUUUUCAUUUCCUAGCACAUGGGAAAGUGAAUAAUCUUUCCAUCGAUAUAUAAUUCGUCCAAAUCCGAGACCCGAGCGAAUAGUUAGGUCCUUUUUUGUGAGACAGUGUUUGACCUGAGCGUUCAGCACGUUGUGGAGAUAGCUCAAAUGACAAUUGUCAAAUUCCAGUGUUGCUCCACGAUACUGGUGCAUCGCGCCAAACUUCGAAGUCAUAAAAAAAGUGGCAACGCGAUAGUUCCAUGUUGCGCCAUCGUGCAGUUUCCUAAUUGUCAAUAUCCAGUGACACGGCGUGAUAACGCCGCGUCACUCCAAGGGCCCAAUCAGGGAAAUUUUACUGAAAAUUAAAUUAUGUGUCUAGGAUUAAAAGGGUCAAUUCCCCCCCCCCCCAACUAUAUAAGAUUCCAAACACAUGAUUUAGCCCUUAUUCAUCCAAAAUAUUAAUGUUUUUCUCAAAUACUCUAAAGAACUCAAGAUAGGGUUUUCUUAGAAGGUCAAAUUUCAAGAAGGCUUCCCCAUAAAUCUUCACAAAAUCAUAAACUAAAGUAUGCAUAGUGUUCAUUCAUGGACUCCUUUUAUCCAUGAUGUCCAAGAAUCCCUUUUCUAAACUCAUGUUAUGGAUUUUCUAUAUGUUUUUAUGUUUUGGCUGCUCAUGUUCAUGUUUGAUAGAUGUGAAAUUGGAUUCUACGCCAUGAUUGUUGAUAGUUUCUAUGUGGGUUUAAUUACUAUAGCCAUAGAUUCAUGCAACCCUAAGAUUUAAACCCUUGAAUGAUGAAAUUAGAAUUGAAUAAUGAUGUUUACAUGUACCAUACCUGUCAUAUGUUUCAUUAAAUGCCUAGAUGAAGGAAUAUUAUCUAACUAGCAUGAUAUCAUGAAAUCCCUAUGUAUGUACAAGUUCAUGCAUAUUACAUGUUUAAUGAAACGCUCCUAUGAAUGUAGUACGUAUUAUGAUGUUAGUCAAGUCUUCAAGUAAAUCAUGCUAUGUCAGUUUUCUUCUAUUGAGUCCUGGGGGUACUUGUACACGAAACAUUAGUUGUGUGCCUAGAGCCAUGUCAUGUUUUCAUGAUACUCUGCAUCAAGCUAUGAACUCUUAGACUUUAGAUAGUCUUAUGACUCAGGAAAAAUCUCCAUGAUCUCAUGACUCAGUCAGUUGUCAGAUAUUAGUAGUAUUUUGUUAGCCACAAAAAUUCAGUAACUCAGUCCAUGCUCAGUUUAGUUCAGUAAAUCAUGUUUAGCGUCUAUUCAGAUGGGAGUAGGAAUUAGCAUCGAGUAAACCCAAGGAUAGGGACUCACCUGUGAUAUGAGGGUGUGAUUCCUCGAAGCAAUCCUUGCAUUCCAAAACUAUGUAGCCAGAAUAGGUUGAGACAUCAUAGCCUACUAUAUGAUGGUAGAUAAGGUGGCUUAACCUGUUAUGUGAGGGUUUCCACCAUUCUCACUAGAGCUACCUAUUAUAUGAGGGUGACUCACAUGUUGUCCUUACCAAUGGCACGGUAUUUACACCCUUCCAAUCAGGGCAUAGAUUGGACCCCAACUCAGCUAUUAUAGCAUAUUUGGGGCAUGUCGGUUAGAUACUACUUCCCACAGUUUCAUGUUAUAGAACUAGGACUGUCAGAUACAGUCAAUUAGUCCCAGUAAUUAAACUCAGAUAGUUCUUUAAAUUUCAGGACUGUCAGAUAUAGUUAACUCAGAUACAAUACAGAACUUCUAUAGUUCCAUCAGAUUUAGGACUGUCAGCUAUAGUCACCCAUGUUAUCAGUAUUAUUCAGAUAUAGUCCUUCUGUUAUCAAUCAUAUCAGUUACUAGUAUAUCACGUUAUCAGUAUACAGACUCAAAAUUUAUGAAAUCAUAUUUUUAGUUACAGUUAUGUAUUUAUGCAUGUAUUCUCAUGUUCAUGUUAGACAGUCAGUUUGCAUUAUUCAUGCAUAUGAACCAUUGCAUAUAGCCUACCUUACAUGUAUUCUCAUGUUUAUGUUAGACAGUCAGUUAGCAUUAUUCAUGCAUAUGAACCAUUGCAUAUAGCCUACCUUACAUGUAUACUCAAUGCAUAUGUACUGACGCAUUUGCGCUAUGGUGCUUUUUUGUAUGUUAUACCAUAGGUUCAAAGACAUGAAGUCCAGAUCAACAGUAGAUUCCAGAUUCAACAGUCAAAGUAGAAGUGAGUCCUCAUCCUUUGAGGACAUAAUGAUUUUUUUUGUAUCUCAUUGAUUAGCUUAUUAGUUGGACUUUUUUAGGGACAUGUCCCAUCAACUCCUUAUUCAGAUUCUUUAGACAGUAGAGGCUUUCAGACUAGACGCAGACUAGAUUCAGACUAUCAUGUUUUAGACUUCAGUUUUAGUUUGGGUAUUCUAUUACCCCACGCAGAUGUUACGUUAUUCAGUUAUGUUCAUGAUCUAAUCUUAUGGCCUUUCAGUGUAUGUUUCCGCAUUAUUUUGUUAUCUUAUGCAAUAUACAGGUACAUAUAUCAGUCAUGGGUUAGAUUAUGAUCCUUUGGGGUCAUAAGCACUGUGUAGUGUUCCAGUUCAGCAAAUCGGGUCUUUACAGGAUCUAGCAAAACAUAAACAUACAAAUGAUAAACUUGAAAUGUACCAUUAAUUACAUCAGGAAAACUUUCCUGAUCCUGUUAGGACUAAAGUGUAUAAAGCCUGUUUGGCCAUUGCCCACUGGUGGCACUGGAAAUGGCACCCUGCUGAGAUGGGUGACCAGACUAAGCUGGGGUACGAUUAUGCUGACUCUACGAAACUACCUGAGGGCACUCUUUGACCCUAUGGUUUGGCUUGCCAUAUCCAAUACAUACAUCACUGCCAGCUCUAUAGACAUCCUAAUGAUUUCUACUACACUUUUGGAAAAGAGGAUUUAUUCGGGCACUGCUAAUACUACCUUGAGAUUUAGAGCCUGGUGCUCUAUACUUAUUAUAUUUUUGAAUUUAGGUACCGAAGCACUGGCUGAGGAUGGAGCUAGAACUGAAGAUUUUGAGCAAAACUGAGGACGAUUACCACCCUCUAACUUAGGCUGAGUGAAGUUGAAGCUACUUAUUCUAGCCCUAUUGUUCUCCCUCUUCUUCUCCUUAGUCUUUUGCUCUUCUAUCAGGUGAGCAUGGACCAUCAACCUAUCAAAGUCCAUCUCUUUAAUUAGCAUUGUGGUCCUACACUCCUUGACUUCAUUGUCAGACACAGCAGACAUGAACUUACUCAUCUUAGAUUUGCUAUUAGCUACCAUAUGAGGAGCAUAUCUAGCUAUUUAGUAAUCUUGAGAGAAUACCUCUUCACUUUCAUAUUGCUCUGCUUCAAGUUAAUGAAUUCUAGCACCUUAGCUUCCCUCAACUUCAAUGGGAAGAACUUAUCUAGAAAGGCAGUAGCAAACUCUUCCUAUUCUAUAGGCCCACAUCUGUGGCCCUAUCUUCUUUCCACUGCUUAAACCAUGUAUAAGCCACAUCUUUCAACCGAUAUGCAGCUAAAUCAUCACUCUCACUAGAAGUUACCCCAUAAUAUCUCUGACAUUCUGCACUAUGUCAAGGAAUUCUUGUAGGUUCUCUUCAGACUUAGACCCUGAAAAUAAAAGAGGGUUCAUUCGGGUGAAGUCCUAAAUUCUAGCUGCAGCUGUAUUGGCUACUAGGAUGGCCUGAACAGCAGAUGGGCGUUCAUUUUAGGAUGCCACAAAAUGAGCUAGAGUGGUGAAAGCUGCUCUGAAUUCUGCAUGGGAAAUAUUCUCAUCUAGGGGAUCUGCCUGAACAGGCGGAGGUGUUGGCUGGUUUCUAGUUUUUCUUCUGUUACUCUUUUUGGGAGGCAUAUUAUGUAAAUAGAAGGGAAACUUAGAUUACACAGAGAUUUUAACUUGAUCUCAUGCUCACUCGCACGAUAUGAAUAAUGAAAAAAAGGAACUUUUCCUAAAAAUUCCUCAUUGCCUCUUCUCCAUAAGUGUGGCGCACUACACACCCAUGCACAAGACUCUACUUGACGUGGCUUUCAGGCUCCCUAGGACACUGUUAAACCUUAUGCUCUGAUAUCAAGUUUGUAAUGCCUUGAGACUGCACCUGGGGCGUCAUACGGUGCUUAUAAUCUCAAAGAACCACAAGAUAACCCAUGACUGGUACCUACUGUGAGCACUAAAUAAUAAUAAUACUUAAAAUAUAUACAAAUGUUAGGCUAAAAUUUCCAUAAGGUUCAUAAACUAAAAACAAAUAUUGAAUACUAAUAGUAAUACUAAAUAUUUGUCUGAAAUAGUCUAGUCCAAAAUCCUCUAACUGUUUGACUAUGGAGUUGAUGGGACAAGUUCCUAACUAACUUCAACUACUAAACAUAUUGAACUACUGGAAUGCUGAAAUAAUAACUCUAUCCUUGAAAUAUGAGGACUCACCACUAUAACUAUUACUGGUAACCCGAGAUGCUAAUUACAGUCAGGAUCCUCUGCGUCUGAACUUAUAAUAUGAGACAUCAUAGCGUAAAAUAAACAGUAUACUUCAGUACUUUGAAUGUACUGGUAUGCUAAGUGAGCUAGGCUGAUAUACAUGGGUUCAUAUGUAUGAGAUAAUAACUGAUGGAAUGAACAUCAUGAAAUAACUAAAUAAGAGUACAUGCAAAAACAGUAACUACUAAUCAUGUUGAAUAUGCAAUAUUGUGCAUAUAACCUCUGCCUAAAUUAGACUGAUACUAAAUUACUGAGUUCUGAUGGCUAAAUAACUGAUAACUGUCAGUCAUCAUUCUAUAGAACUAUCUAAGUUUUUUACUAAAUUCUGAGACUGAAUACUGAUUACUGAGUACUAAAUACUAAAACUGUAACUAUGGGAGUGUUUAUCUAACCAACAUACCUUAAUUAUAAAUGAAGUUGGGGUCCAACCUCUGAUCCCAGUUGGAAGGGUGUUAGCACCUUGCCAAGGGAUACUAACAAUGUUGUGUCAACCCUAAUCUGGAAGGAAGACUCAUGAAAUGUAUAUAUGAUCCCGUCAACCCUAAUCCAGUAGGAGGACGACUUACCCUAUGCUGGCUACAUAGUUCUGUAACACAGGGAUUGUUACAUUUCAUUUACGUUUGUGACCAAUUGCAUUUACUUUGUUGGCCAAGACUUUAGAAAAUAAUUAAAACUUGUAUAAAUUCCAAAAAGUUUACCCCUACUUAAUAUCUAUCCCUACUAUUUAAUAAAUUACAAUAAUCUCUUGUUUUGCAAAUUUUAGAUACACAAUUAGCGUUCGGGUACAUAAUUUUGAAGUUGAGAUACCCAAUUUUGAACUUAAGAAUGUAACAGUUAAUUUCUUUAAUUUUUCUCGGAUACAUAAUUAGCAUCGGAAUACAUACUUCUGAAGUAGAGAUACAUAAUUUUGAUUACUGAGAUACAUCCAUUUUUGAAAUUAUUUGGUAGAGAUACAUAAUACAUUAACUAGACCAAAGAGAGAUACAUAAUUAAAAUUAUGUAUCCGAAAAUUUAUAAUUUUUUGGAUAUGCCCGACUAUUUUUUUUAAAAAAGAAUUUAGGUAAUUAAUAAAAAAGAUAGGAAUUUUAUAUAUUUUAUUAAUGAUGAAUUGUGGUGUUGUGUAAUUUUUACUUAAAUUAUACCAGACAUGGAAUACAUAUAUGCAUCUUAUUGUGGAUAUGGAGAUCGAGGGCUAAGAUAAAAGAUUAGUGGAUAGUUGAACAUUGCCUACUUUACCUACUAUUCUUACCCUCCUAGUGUUUAUUCUUCGAUUCAAUUAUUACCUGUUGUUUUUUUUAUUAUGGUCAUCGUUAUUUUUUGUUAUUGUUGUUUUUCUUUUCUCCACUAUUCUCUACAUAACUUUUUUUACUAUUGUUGUAUUUUCUUUUCUUUCUGAUUAUUGUUAUGCUUUACUUGAGUCAAGGGUUUAUCAAAAUUUUUGCCUUAAUAACAUGAUUUUAUGGUUAUGCAAAUGUUAUGUCAUUUUAUAGUUAUGCAAAUGUUAUGUCAUAUUUAACCCAACAAAUUUUAAAGUUUUUUCAUUUUUAUUUGUUAAAUAUCAAUGAUGAGGAAAUAAUAACUAGAUCAAGUGUAAACUAAAUUAAGUGAUGUGUUCAUAAGAACGUGAUGAAGAUGUGUAGGCUAAAUCAAGUAUUUUUAGUCAUUUUUGAAAAAAGUUAGGAUAGAAAUUAAUUCGUUGUAAAAAGAUUGAAAUUUAUAUAGUUUUCACUUUACAUAUUUAUUCAACUCAUUCAGAUUUUGGAUGAUUAUUGACUAGUAUAAAUAACAUAAAUCUCAACUCUAUUAGAAGUAUUUAUACUCUCUCCCACUUUUUUAGUCAUUUUACUCUUUCUCCUGAAUCACAUACAUAAGACAGUCAAUAUAUACAUAGUAACCUAAUGCAAAUUUUUGGGUUUCUUUAAAAAUGGAAAUAACGAAUUCUCUUACUAUUAAGGACGUAAUUAACGCAACUAAUUAAAUAAAUUGGAUUACUCCAUUACUUAAAUUAUGUAACAACUACUGAAAUUUAAAUUUUGAAAACAACAAAUACAUAAGAAUUAAACCAAAACAAAAUAUAAAUCAAGAACAAUUUCAACACUAAUUAUUGAUCUUUUUGAAAAAAAAUAAUAAUUGGAAUUCAAGAAGAUGACUAUUGCUAUUCUUUUGAGGCACUCUGGUCAAUGGAGAACCGAAACAGAAUAUGUUAAUUAUAGAAGUGAAGGAAUCAUUGUCGCGGAAUCAAUAAAUUAUUUGAGGUUGAUUUCAUUAAUUGUUGCCGAAUUAAACAUUGAUGAAUCCCAAAAAAGUAUCGAUGUACAUUAUGUUGUCGCUGGCAAUGGAUUACCUUUUCAUAUACGAAAUGAUAAUGUUGUUCGGUUGUACGUCGAGUUGAAGAAAUCUCUACCAGCCUUCGUAUUGUAUCCGUUGUACAUAUUAACUAUUGAUAAAUGUGCAGAGGACAUAUAGUUUGAUAGAGAAACAAGAGUUGUUGUUUGUGUGGAGGGUGUUGAAGCUGAUGUUAUGACUCUCUCAGUUGCUGGGACACAAAAUCAAUAUGCUUUGUAUGUUCUGGAGUUUGAAGUUGAUAACUUUAUGUAUGAUAGCAAAAGUAUUGAUGUGAAAGUGAAACAGAUGUCUAAGGAUAAAAAGACUCUCAUUUCAGUGAUGUCGAAAUAUGUGGUGACACAUGAAUGCAGUUGCAAAGAAAAACGUUUAGAAAAAAAAAUAUAUUAUGUUAUUUUGUUCUGUUAAUAAAAUUAUUUAUUUAAAUUUCAUCUAUUUAAAUCCUAAUUUUACCAUUUUUAUAACAAUAUAUAUGAAUUUAUAACUUAAAUUAAUAAAAUGUUAACUGUAGCGUGAAUAUUAUUAUGAUGUGUAUAUUUGUGUUGCAUAGAUUGUUUUCAUGAUCUAAUAACAAUUUUAUAUACAAUUGUAUUAAAUUAACAGAAACUUGAAGUUUUUAUAGAUUGAAGUUGUUGCGAAAUAAAGUCACAAAAACAGAAAUUGUGUAUUCAAAUGAAGAAACUUAUUGAUAUAUAACAUAUACAUUCAAAGUGGUUUGUAUAUGUAAAUCUAUGUUAAUAUAAACAGACCCAACAAAACCUUAUUUCCGGUUACAAAAGACGAAGUGGUUAUGCGGUCACAUAUACAUAAUCAUUUUUAUGUAUAUGUCACUCUGACAAAACCCAAAAUUGUGUCAAUAGUAUAAACAUAAAAUUUUCUUUCAGUAAUAAUUCACAUAAUACAAAGACUAUUUUGUAUAAAUGUGUAAAAAAACAUAUUUUAUUCUGUUGUUUGUUUUUUAUAAAUUGUGUAACAAAAAAAAUCAUAUAUUUUUAAUUUGUUUAUUAAUGUAUAGUAGAUGAGUUGUGUUGUAUAUAUAUAUUUUUUAUUUAAGUAUAAUAGAAUUGUAACAUACAAAUCAUAUAAACCUAUAAAUUGCUACAAAUACUAAUCACAUUAUCUUUUUUUUUCUAUUUUGGCUAUAUCCUCAGAUGUUACAAUGAGAAUUGUAAAUUGUUCAGCUACACUGGAAUAUUCCUAACAGUGUAGAUGAGGAAGAAGUCUUGCCUCCGAUUUAUAAAAGGCUGCCAGGAAGACCUAAGAAAGGGAGAAAGAAAAGUGGAUGGUGUGGACAUAAGGGGGACAAUAGACGUUUCUAAAACUUUUUCCCAAAGGAGAACUAACUUGUAGUUUUUCUAUACUCUUAAUGAUUAAAUAAUAAUUUCUACUUUUAUGCUUUGAUUUGUUGAACAAUUUGAGAUGGAUGAUGAUAAUUUGAAAUAAAUAUAAGUUUCUUUAUUUUUUUAGCUGUGUUUGAUGUAUUUAUAUUUAUUGUUUGUCUUCUAUAUUUGACGGUUGCAUUAAUAAGUUGUGCCUUUUCACGUCUACAUAACUUACUAAUGCAACUGGUGUUAAUAUGUGUUUAUAUACAUAACUGGUAUGAAAUUGUGGUUGCUGAUGAGUAGUCUAUACAAUGGUUAUGAUUUUUACAUUUCUUAAUCAUAAAUGUAUAAAAUUAUGAGUUCAUAAGUAUACAUUAAUUACAAUCAACUAUUAGUAGUUAAUGUUCCUUAUAAAAUCUAUGUAUAUGUAAACAUAUAUUAUAAUUAACUGUAAGCAUACAAUAAUUUAUAGUUUAUAUGUUUUUUUGAUUAACAAUGAAUGUAAUUCUAUGUCUAUGAUAAUAUGUACAUUAAAUUUGCUUCAUGAAACCGUUUAAUGCAUUAUGUUAACGUUAGCUAUAAAAAAAUGUGUAUAUGUAUACAUAAUUACUAUGUAUAUGGAAAACAUAGACAUUGCAUUUUUUCAUUACAUCAUGCUUUUUAUACAUUUUGUUAACAUUCUUUAUAAAAUCUAUGUAAAUGUAGUUGAUAUUUCUAUGUAUGUGAAAUAAUGUACACCUAGAGAGUGGAUAUUAGGCAUAACUUUAAUGUAGUUGAUAUUUCUAUGUAUGUGUUAAAUAUCCCAAAGUAGAUAUGCUUACAAAUAUAUGUUACGUCUAUGUAUGUGCUUAAAUCAAUAGUGGUAUUGUGUAUAUGUUGACAUAUAAACUGUUAAACUUUCACAAGGUGGCUAUGCUUACAAUUAUAUGCUAUCACUAUGUAUUUUAUAAAAUAUACACUGAUUUUUGGUAAGCUAAUUUACAUGUAACUCAUAUGUUACCACCGUGUAUGCCUAUAUACAUUACUACUAUUCUUUACGAUUUUUGUUGAUUGAAUAGGUAUUGUUGUGUAAAAUCACAUUCUCAGUGUAUUUGCUUAUGAUUAUAUGAUAGGACUAUGUAUAAGACUGAAUAUACACUGGUAGAACAAUAACUAUGUAUGUGCUAUACAUCCACGUAUAUAUAUGAUAUGUCUAUGUAUAAGACUAAAUAUAUACUGAAAUUUAGAAUCAGUACGCCAAUCUAAUACAGUGAUAUAAAUAAAAAAAAAACACAUACAAAAAUAGUCAGUAAAUCCUAAAAACAUAACUCAUUAUGUUUUAAAAACUUUGUACAUACAAAAUCCAUACAUUAUUUUACUAAUCCAACCCAACAAAACUCCACAGAAAAGAAAACAAUCAUCACCAUAAAUAUCUUUGAGACUAUUCAAUGCUAAUUAUUCCAGAUUCAUGAGGUAGGAGCAUAUUUUAUUCUUGAUCUUGGAGGGUGGUCAUUGUCACUAAUCUAACAUUUCUUUACCUUCUGAAGACCAUAAUUUCGGAGAAGUGACACAUAUCGUAAACGAUGAUAUUCAGCUUCAAAACCACUUGAAGGCACAUCAAUUCCUUCGCUUAGGUAUUCUCCAUAUCCAACAAUGAAAAUUCCACAGUCCCUGUAUGUAUACAAUCUCGUAUUUUAGACCCUGUAUUGAAUAAAUAAUAAAAUCAUAAAAUUAGAGUAUAUUGUCAGUUCAUAACUGCUAUGUUGUACAUGAACCAUAAAUUUCAAAAUAGGUCAAGUACACAACAGUACUUAUGUAUAUGUCUAGUACAUACAUAGUUAUUUGUAAUGACCCAUUUCAUCGUUACUAAAUUAUUCACAAUAAAUUCAUUCCUCAAUAUUAAUUUGGGUCCAAAUUAGCCAAUAUUUUAUUUAUUAUGUUACCUUAAACUUUUUGGCAAAGAUUUUAGCCUUUGAAUGUAUCUAGAUAGACUCAAGCUCGAUGAAUUUAAUUAUUCAUGAGUUCUAAUAUCAAUAACUUAGUUUGAAAUUUUUUUAGCUAUUAAUUAAGUUCAUACAAUAUCUCUAACAUAAAGUUAAGUUUAAAACUUUAUUUAUGUUAGAGUUUUGAUAUGAACUUUUAUUAGGAUCAACUUCAAACGAUUAUAUCUCUUAGAAUAUAAGGAGUUACCAAACCCAACCCCCACCAAAUUAAAGAUAUCUGAGUCUUCUUUCCAACUCAAUAAACCGUUUCUUAAUUUGAAUUCGGAGUAAAAAGUUAUGACUGUUUUACUGAGCAUUGUCCGGACUAAUGGGUGAUUUAGCUGUAGCAAAAAUUCUGAUGGUAUUCAAAUCAUCUUCAGCUGUAUUUUAAGUCUAAAAAUCUAAAAUUUCAUGCCCCAACCCUAGAGAGGUGAUUUUCCAAGGCCUAAGGUAAAAUUCGUUCGUUGAGGUAAUUUUUUUCAUUAUUUUCUUCGUUUUUUAAUCCUUUAACAUCUUAGAAUCCUUAAAAAGACAUUUAAUGGUGAAAUUCUUUAGGGAAACACUCAUGGGUGUUUUUAAUAAGACAUAGAGCUAAUCCUAAACUAUAAACUAAAGAUUUCUACCAUGAAUUUCAUAAACUAUAUUAUGAAAUUUUAUGGUUAGGAACCUUGAAUACCGUAAAGAUGAGAUCUUUAGCAUAAAAACUCCAUUAAUAGAGAUGAGUUAAGGUUGAAAGAGCUAAUUAAUGGCUAACGGACAUUGAAAAAUGAUAUAGACCUUGAAUUAAGGGUAGAAUUAGUGAGUUUGAAUCCUCAAGAUAUUUAUUUGAAGAGUAAAUAUUUAAUUACUCUUAUAAUUGCUUGAUUUUUAGAUGAUUGAAUGUUCCAAGGCAUAAAAAAAAGAGCAUCCUUGUUGCAGCUUGCUUCUUUCAAAAUCUUGGCAUCCAGGUAGGCUAGGUUUAAUUAGUAGAAAUUGUGUUAUUUUAUAUUUUCAUAAUUUAGAAUUGAUGGGAGAAAGCAUGUCUAGGCCUAUGGACAUGGAGUUGAGAUGGAUAAAUACACGAGUACUUAACUUUAAUCUAAGAAUGAUAUUAUUCAUUGAUUAUGUGAUAUUUAUGAUAUUAUUGUUUUGAUAUUGAUAAAAAUACUAUAUCUAUUUAAUGCCCAUAAGAGGCUAAAUUGGUGAUACUGAUGGUUUUUUGAAUUGUGCCUAUGAGUGGCUUGUUUGAUAAUGAUAACUCCUUAAAGUGAUGCUAUGAAUACUUGCUGAUUGGUGUUCAGACAUGAUCGAAAUUGUUGAUGUUUGGAUUGUUACAGUGUGUAUAAAUGAUUAUUGAAAAUUUACUUGAUGGAAUUGUCUUAUGACUUUAAGUGUACUUAUAAACUUGGUACAUUACUGUAUGCUGUGAGGUUUUAUAAAUUUGAUAUUGAUAAUACUUGUGUAUGGUGGAUCGAGUACCACGCCGAUACGAAUAUAUAUAUGUUGGAUUGGGUACCACACCGGCAUGAAUAUGUAUAUAUUGGAUCGGGUACCACGCUCGGGUAACACGCCGGUACGGAUAUGUAUAUGUUGGAUCGGGUACUACACUGAUAGGGAUAUGUAUAUAUUGGAUCGUGUACCACGCCGAUACAGAUAUAUAUAUGUUGGAUUGGGUACCAUGCCGGUAUGGAUAUGUCUAUGUUAGAUCGGGUACCACGCAGGUACGGAUAUGUAUAUAUUAGAUCAGGUACCACGCCGGUACGGAUAUGUAUAUGUUGGAUCGAAUACCACACCGGUAUGGAUAUAUAUAUGUUGGGUCGUGUACCACGUCGGUAUGGAUAUAUAUAUGUUGGGUCGGGUACCACGCUGGUAUAGAAAUAUAUAUGUUGAGUCGGGUACCACGCCGGUAUGGAUAUUUAAAUGUUAGAUCGGGUACCAGCCGAUAUGGAUAUGUAUAUGUUUGAUCGGAUACCACACCGGUAUGGAUAUGUAUAUAUUUUAUUGGGUACCACGCUGGUAUGGUACAUGAUCAUAGAUUGUUCCUUGCAGGUCAUGACUAUUUGGGGAAAAACAAGUUUCAUAGCAUAUGUGUAUAUAUUUGUGUUGAGUCUGUGAAUGUUUACAGUAUACUUGAUACUCUUGAUGAUUAUCUAGCUUGUUUGUGAGCACUGUUUGAUCUGUUAUUGUUGUAUUAUUAAUUCAUUGGGUAUUUGAUUAUGUGAUAUGCAUUUGAAAAAGUUAAACCUAUACUUUCUUAUAUGUUGGUUGACUUGCUUCAUUAAUACUUCAUAUAGGUUAGUUAUAAUACUAAAAUAUUAUAAUAGAACAUUUGGUUGUUUAUGAUUAUGAGUUUGUUCCUGUGAAUAUGAGUAAUGAAAAAGAUAAGGUGAAUAAAGAGGAAUAGUGAUGUAUUAGCGUUGGAUUGUGGUUGAUUGUGUGAAUUAAUGAGGCUAGAGUAUGGUGAUAGUGAAUAUAAUAUGGAUCGAGUUGGAAGAGUUGGAUGAUGUAAGUUAUAUAGGUAAAUUAAUAAUGUUAUAAAAACCUUAGUUGAAUUAUAUUCAACUCAGGAUGUCAUUAUUUAUUUUCUUUAAUUCUAUUUUAUGAUUACUAACACGGUCGGCCGAUGAUGCCUACCAGUAUGUGUGGUUGUAUUGACCCUAUUCUUCUAUAUUCCUUCUUGGAGUGUAGACUGGAUGCAGGUUAGGUGUAGUUACUAGAUGGAUGAUGAUAUUCAACACUUACUUCUGCUUUUUCUUCCUGACAGAUGUUAGAGUCUUUGUAUUAUUUAUUUUAUUGUCAGUCUAUGUUAUAGUAGAUAGCUCUUGUACAUGUCUAACCAAGUCUUGGGAUAGUGAAUGAUACUUGUAAGAAGUUUUUUAAAAAAAUUUAUUUAUUAGUAUUUAAUUUACUUUAUUAUAUUUAAUCAAGUAUUUUCUUAAAAACAGAAGUCUUCCACAUAUUUUUAGUUGGGGAAUAAGGGUUCUCCUAGCUACUUAAAAUAGUUUAGGUGCCUGCACAAUCCAUUAGUCUGGGUCGUGACAGUUGAUAUCGGAGCAUUAGGUUCACUGGUCCCUCAAGUACAAGAGCAAUGUCUAGUAGAUUUCCAUAGAUUGGUGUGUAGGGCCCCUCACCCAAUCUUCAGAAGGCUAUGAGGUAUGUAGAAAUUAUUUUCCUUUCUUUCUCUCCAUCGUGUCAUCCUAAUCUUUGACUAUUAGAUUGAAUCCAAUUGGUAUCUAGACAAUUCUAAUUGGUAUCUUAACUGAGCUCUAUUAGAAUGUAGUUAAUCCCAAUUGGUAUCUUUGUAAAUUUGAAUAAAAAUCUAGGAGAUUUCAAUUGGUAUUUAUUAAUAAGGUCUAAAAGUUAUUGUUAAUAGGUAAAGACUUGUGAAAGUUAUGAACUUAUUGAUUGGUUGUGUUUGAUAUUUGGCUAAACUUGUGUUGCUAGAGUUUUUCAAUUGUUGUAAUUGUUUUUGUUUGAAUUUAAGUGAUGAAAAUUGACUAAGUUAUUUUUGUUGAUAAUUCUGAUGAGAUUAUAUUGUGAAAUUAGAAAUUCUAUGGUGCUUACUUAUUUUUUUUGUACUAUUAUAUUGAUGAAAUUAAUGGUAUGAGAAUAGAGAGGAUGAUAUGAGAAGAUGAUGUCAAGAAAAGAUGGUGAAAAAGUGACAUGAAUAAAAGAUUGAGGUGAUAUGUGUUUUCUGUAAUGAGAGGUUCUUAUUAAUGAUGUUGUGGAUGGAUCCUUAUGUGGUUCGUUUAUUUGAUAUUAUGUGGGGAUCCUUGUGUAAUCCGAUCAUUAGGACUAUAAUUAGAAUUUUUGUGCAUUUCUAUUAUUGAAAUCAUAAUAGGUUCCUUAUGAGGACUAGCUAAGUGACAUUAUUUUUGAGGUCCUUAUGUGAACAGAUUCUUAAUGCUUGACAAAAUAUUGAGUUUUAAAUAAAAGUAACAAAAACUAGUAGAGAUUGUUGAUACCUGCAAAAUUCGAUCGCUAACUUAUCUAGAAUGUGAUAUUGGUGAUGAGACUGUUAAUGGCCUGUAAUCAGUUUAUUUUGUUUUACCUUUCUUAUGUGCUAGUGGUGUGGGGACCACUCUUGAGGUGAUUAAGAGUUAAGUGAAGCCCGUAGUAAGAAUAUUAUUAGGUAGAUAUACGAAUGACUUUGUAUAUCUUAAAUUGGUAUUAGUGAUAUAAGAUUGGUUUGGCUUGAUCAUGAAGUGUUGGCUGUUGAAAAAUAUUUGAGUUAGUGAUUAUCUGGAUAUAAGUUAUAGUUGUGGAUUUAUGCAUUAGGGAAAAUCUUGAGUAAGAUAAAUUAUUGUUGACUUGACCUUGUGGUUGAAUUAUGCAUGUACAUAUCCCACAGAGUUGGCUGAUAUAUAUGACCCUUUUCGAGGAUAGUAAUUUCCAUGAUUGUGGCAAAGAAGAAUCAAAUGGCUUAGUUACAUUCAUAAAAUAAUUAAGAAUGAUCCUGAAUGGGAGAAUUAGUGUAUUAUUAAAUGGCAUAAUUGACCUUUCCUUAGGUGAUACUUGGUGGAUAUUGCUUGUUGAGUGAUUAAGGUAAGAUGAUUAGAUGAAUAUUAACAAAGUUGAGGAGGAGAAUGUGUUGUAGGCUAUAAUUCUUUGGAAUUUUUAUGGCCAAUUGUUGUAAGGCUGUGUAAUGAGUGGGAGGUUAUAUUAUCAUAUGUGUAUAGUAGUAAAUACUAUGCUUGAACCGUUGGUAAUCUUAAGGUAAAAACAAUAGUGUUUGUGAAAUGUUGAAGCUAGAUUUAUAGAAUGAAUUUAACAAUCUUGAUUGAGUUCAUGUGGAUAUCUAAGUUAUGUGACUUGUAAAUGGUGUGGUGACUUGCAUAUGAUCAAGAUGUAGAUUAUCCAUAUGAUAGUCUUGGCUAGAAACCGAGUCAGGUGUCUCAAAGAGAGUCUGUGUGUUAGGUGGAUUAGGUGUGACUUGUUUAGUGUUGAAAUUCAAAUAGUAAAUUUAUGUAGCAUCUCAUAUCACUUUUCAGAAUUGAAUUCGGGACUCUAGAGCUUCGGUAGAGAAAAAGAGGUGCUUUUGAAUGUUUGUCUUCAUCAAGGUGAAUCUUUUAACCAUCUUUAUAUUACUUUUGUAAAACUCAAGAUUGAGACUUAGGCCGUUGAAAGGAGAAUAAGUGAUUUAUGUGUAAAUAUUUUGCUCUGCAUCUUCGUAUUUUGAAAACCUUUAUUAGAAUGAUUGAGUAUAGAAUGUGGGUUGAUCGAUAAGGAUUCCAAGAGAGUGAACAAGGUGCAGUAUAAGCAACUGUGUUAGUAAUGUCUCUUUAAUUCCAAUCUCGUGCUUUUCUCCACUGAAUGCCCAUUCAGGGAUGAAUCGAUGGUAAAUUGGUAUCUAAUUGUAACGAUCCAUUUCGUCAUUACUAAAUUAUUCGUAAUAAAUUCAUUCCUCAAUAUUAAUUUAGGUCAAAAUUAGCCAAUAUUUUAUUUAUUAUGUCACCUUAAACUUUUCAGAUUUUGGCCUUUAGAUGUGUCUAGAUAGACUCAAGCCCGAUGAAUUUAAUUAUUUACGAGUUCUAAUAUCUAUAACUUAGUUUGAAAUUUCUUUAGCUAUUAAUUAAGGUCAUACAAUAUCUCUAACACAAAGUUAUGUUUAAAACUUUAUUUUCGAUAGAGUUUCGAUAUGGGUUUUUUUUAGGGUCAACUUCAAAUGAUCACAUCUCUUAGUAUAUAAGGAUUUACGAAACCCAACACCCACCAAAUUAUCUUUGAGUCCUCUUUCCAACUCAACAAAGCAUUCCUAAAUCCAAAUUCAGAGUAAAAAGUUAUGACUAUUUUACUGAGCACUGUCCGAGCUGAAGCGGGAUUUCACUGUAGCAAAAAUUCUGCUGGUAUUUAAAUCAUCUUCAGCCGUAUUUUAAGUCUAAAAACCUAAAAUUUUAUUCCCCAACCAUUGAGAGGUGAAAUCCCAAGGCUUAUGGUGAAAUUUCUUCAUUGAGGUAAGUUUUCCAUUAUUUUCUUUAUCUUUUAAUCCUUUAACAUCUUAGAAUCCUUAGAAAGACCUUUAAUGGUGGAAUCCUUUUGGGAAAUACUCAUGGGUAUUUUUAAUAUGACAGAGCUAAUCUUAAACUAUAAAUUAAUGAUUUCUAACAUGAAUUUCAUAAACUAGAUUAUGAAAUUUGAUGUUUAGGAACCUUGAAUUCCGUAAAGAUGAGACCUUUAGCAUUAAAAAUACAUUAAUGAAGAUGAGUUGAGAUUGAAAGAGCUAAUUAAGGGAUAACUGGCAUUGGGGAAUGAUUUAGACCUUUAAUUAAGGAUAGAAUUAUUGGGUUUGAAUUCCCAAGAUAUUUUUUUGAAGAGUGAAUAUUUAAUUACUUUUAUAAUUGCUUGAUUUUUAGAUGAUUGAUUAUUCUAUAGCAUGAAAGAAAGAAAAGAGCAUUCUUGUUGCAGCAUGCUUCUUCCAAAAGUUUGGCGUCCAGGUAGGCUAGGUUUAAUGAGUAGAAGAUUGUGUUAUUUUAUAUUUUCAUAAUUUAGAAUUGAUAGGAGAAAGUAUGUCUAGACCUGAGGACAUGGAGUUAGGGUGGAUAAAUAUACGAGUACUUAACUUUAAUCCAAAAAACUAUAUUAUUGAUUGAUUAUGUAAUAUUUAUGAUAUUCUUGUUUUGAUAUUGAUAAAAAUAUUAUAUCUAUUGAAUGCCUAUGAGAGGCUAAAUUAGUGAUAAUGAUGGUUUAUUGAAUUCUGUUUAUGAGUGGCUUGUUUGAUAAUGAUAACUCCUUAAAGUAAUACUAUCAAUACUUGUUGAUUGGUAUUCGAACAUGCUUGAAAUUGUUGAUGCUUGGAUUGUUCAUGCAUGUAUAAAUAAUUGUUGAAAAUUUAGUUGAUGGAAUUGUCUUAUGACUUUAAGUGUACUUGUAAACUUGGUACAUUGUUGUAUGUUGUGAGGUUGUGUAGAUUUGAUAUUGAUAAUACUUGUUUAGGGUGGAUCGUGUACCAUGCCGGUACGGAUAUGUAUAUGUUGGAUUGGGUACCAUGCCGGUAUGAAUAUUAUAUAUUGGAUCAGGUACCACACCGGUAUGGAUAUGUAUAUGUCGAAUUGGGUACCACAUUGGUACGAAUAUGUAUAUGUUGGAUCGAGUACCACGCCGGUACGGAUAUGUACAUGUUGGAUUGGAUACCACGCUGGUGUGGAUAUGUAUAUGUUGGAUCAGGUACCACGUCGGUACAGAUAUGUAUAUGUUGGAUCGGGUACCAUAUCGGUACGGAUAUGUAUAUGUUGGAUCGGGUACCAUAUCGGUACGGAUAUGUAUAUGUUGGAUCGGGUACCCCGCCGGUAUAGAUAUGUAUAUGUUGGAUUGGGUACCACGUCGAUACGGUACAUAAACAUAGAUUUCUCCUUGCAGGUCAUGACUAUUUGGGCAAGAAUAAGUCUCAUAGCAUGUUUGUACAUAUUUGUGUUAAGUCUGUGGAUGUUUACAGUAUGCUUGAUACUAUUGAUGGUUAUGUGGCUUGUUUGUGAGUACUGUUUGACUUGUUAUUGUUGUAUAUUAAUUCAUUGUAUAUUUGAUUGUGUGAUAUGUAUUUAAAAAAGAGAAACUUGUACUUACUUAUAUGUUGGUUGACUUGCUUUAUUAAUACUUCAUACAGGUUAGUUAUAAUAUUAAAAUAUUAUAAUAGAGCAUUUGGUUGUUAGCCUGAGAAUUUAGUGUGGGUUGUUUAUGAUUAUGAGUUUGUUCCUGUGAAUAUGAGUAAUGAAAAACAUAAGGUAAAUAAAGAGGAAUAGUGAUGUAUUAGUGUUGGGUUGUGGUUGAUUGUGUGAAUUAAUGAGGCUAGAGUAUGUUGGCAAUGAAUAUAAUAUGGAUGAAGCUAGAAGAGUAGUUGGAUGAUGUAUGUUAUAUAGGUAAAUUAAUAAUGUUAUUAAAACCUUAGUUGAAUUAUAUUCCAUUCAGGAUGUCAUUAUUUAUUUUUCUAAAUUCUAUUUUAUGAUUAUAUGGACUAACAUGGUCGGCCGAUGAUGCCUACCAGUACGUGUAGUUGUACUGACCCUAUUCUCCUACAUUCUUUUUUGGAGUGUAGACUGGAUGCAGGUUAGUUGUAGUUACUAGAUGGAUGACGAUAUUCAGCACUAACUUCUGCACUUUCUUCCUAUCAUAUGUUUAGAGUCUUUGUAUUAUUUAUUUUAUUGUUAGUCUUUGAUGUAGUAGAUAGAUCUUGUACAUGUCUGACCAAGUCUUGGGAUAGUGAAGAACACUUGUAAGAAGUUUUAAAAAUAGUUUAUUUAUUAGUAUUUAAUUUACUUUAUUAUAUUUAAUCAAGUAUUUUCUUGAAAACAGAAGUCUUCCGCAUAUUUUUAGUUGGGCAAUAAGGGUUCUCCUAGCUACUUAGAAUAGCGUAGGUGCCCGUAUGGUCCAUUAGUCUGGGUCGUGACUUUAAGGCUUGUAUGUUGACAUAUAUUAACCAAAGAGUUCAUAACUGAACAAAUACAUAGAAAUACUUAUGUAUAUGUCUAGCACAUACAUAAUUAUUGCUUGUAUGUGGAUGUGAACUAACUACAUAUUUCAUAAUACGUAAAAUACGUAGAUAGACUUGUGUACCUGUAUAGCAAAUAUAUAGUUAUUACUUGUGUGUGGAUGUACAGUAACUACAAAUUUCUCACAGACAAACUAUAUAGAUAAACUUAUGUAUAUGUCUGUCACAUACAUAAGUGUUGCUUGUAUGUGGAUGUACAACAACUAUAAAAAUCAUAGCAGAGCAAACUACAUAGCAGUAUUUAUGUCUAUGUCUAUCAUAUACGAAGUUAUUAUUUGUAUGUGGAAUGACAUUCUAGUACAAAAAAAAAUUACAUAACUAACACUUAUUACUUAUGUAUAUGUGAAUCACAUACAUAAGUAUUGCUUGUAUGAGUAUUGAUUGCUACUACAACAACCUCAAUUAAAACAUGAAAAACACCACAUUCUAUUGCAAAAACUACCAACCAUAACCAAAAAUAAAAAUUCAAAAACGCUCACAUUAACGAUAAAAACACUAUAUCCCAGUACAACUACAAAUCACAAUCAAAAAUGAAAAAAGUUAAAAACCUUUGGUAAAGUGGCCUUGAAGUAUCACCUUUUUUACUUUCUUGACGAUUCUCCGAUUUGAUUUUUUGAACUUCAUUUAGCAACUUUCUUGAUCUUCUUCAUCUUAAUGGGAUCGUUCCGAUGUUUUGAUCUGUUUUCAAUAAAAUUAGGAUCCUCGUAGUCAAAUUCUUCAGGAACGAAUCCAGUAACUCGAUUUGUUGGUUCAUUAUGAUCAAACUGAGUAAAUCCUAAACUAAAAGAUGGAGAAUCAUCCAUUUACUAAGAAAAAGGUAGAAAUAGAUUACAUGCAAAAAUUAUUUCAAUGGAAUCUAUGAAUUGGUAAAGUAAAAACUCCAAAACUAAGAAAAAACUACUAAAUGGACACCAUUCAACAGCUUAUUCACUCUGAAAAACUCUAAUUUGUAGCCUUCAUACAAAAAAAAGUCGGAAUUAGUAAAAAAAAAUUACUAACCUCAGAUCUUAAAAUCUCAUAAAUUUUAAUGGAUGUUUUGUUAAAAUUGAAUAUCAAUGCAUAAGAGUAGGAGUCAAAUAUGGAUGAAAAUUCAAAAACAAAAACCGCGACUAAUGGAUCCUUGAUUGUAGCCGUGUUCCUGGGAGAACAAACCGUAAAUAAAAUUUGAUAAAGUUAUGUAAGUGAAUUUUUGGAUAGAGAUUUGAAAAAAUGGGAUUUCUACAUUAAGUUUUAAAAGUUGGAAUUUUGUGUAAUUAGUGAUAGUUAAGUUUCUGCGCUAUGUAAUUUUUAGUAUUUGACUACCCAUAAAUUAGCCCAUCCCACUUCACUCCAAUCCAAUGUCCCCCAUCAAAAUUUGGGUUGAUAACUAGUCAAAAGUAAUUCAUGAGAAAUUUUGUCAAAAUAAUUUCAAUUUUUUUAUAUCUUAUAUAGUGUCCUAAUAAUGAAAAAUAAUAAUUUUAUAAGGUAUUAAACAGUUAUAAAAGAAUAACUUUUGAGAGAGCCAAUAAUUCGUUCAUUUAUUAACUCAAUCUAUCUUAACCAACUCAAAUUCAAUCUAAUCCACCCAUUUGCCACGUGUGGUUGCGUAUGUGGGCGCUAAAAUUUUAUUAAAUUUAAAUCCAUACAAAAUUGGAGUUAUAUUAAAUUUAAAAUAUAUUAGUCCCAUAUAAAUAUUGUACAUUAAUAUAAUUAGAUUAAUUAUUUAAGUCCAAACAUAUAUGGAUUUAAAUAAAGUUUAAUUUUUAUUGGUCUAGUCCAUUAAUUUGGGCUACUAAUGAUGGGCCCACUUUGCUAAGCCCAAGAUAUUGUUAUAUUCUAGAGGCCCAAAUAAGCGUCACGUGUCAAAUGAUAUGCCAUCCCAAGCCAAGUUAAGGAGCCAAUAGAACAUAAAUAAUUAAUCCACAUACCACAUGUCAAAAUGAUGCAGCAUGACUAGUGAAAUAAAAAACCCAUAAAAGGUGCCACGUCACUUGAAUUUGAUUAGUCAAAGGAAGUCCAUAUUCAUUAUGACUCUUCCUUUUUCACAACUAUAAAUAGGGAUCUCAUAAUUCAGAAAAGACACGCCCAGAACUCUAGCAAGUAGCAAGAGAAAGCUUGUGGAUCAAACGCCGUAAUUGCUCUAAAAUGCACAAGCAUACAAAUCAAGUUCAUUAAGAUUCAAGAUAAAGAAUACAAUAUUCAAGAACAAGCUCAAAAGACCUUGAAUUCAAGCACAAGUCAAGAUCAAGUCCCUCAAAUCAUUCAAAUCAAGUUCAAAUUCAAGAUCAGGCUUCAAGACCUUGAAUUUAUAUUUGAAAAGGCAAAUCAGAGGAUUUAUAGAGAUUGUAACACUCGCAUAUUGAAAUGACUAAAUUGAUUGUUGCAAUAUUUUUUUGUCUCCAAUUUAUUAUUAUUUUCAAUCUCGAGAAUUUUACUAUCCAAAAAAUUCUAGCACGCCCAGUGGGACAAUCUCUACCUCUCAUCUCAACUUUUCAUACUUCAUAGUUUAAGAACAACGAAAUGACUUCCAAUAAGGUUAGUUCUCAAUCAAUUACUUCCAAGGUUGUUGAUUCAAAGUUCUCUGCUGAAGUAGAAAUCAUCCUUGGUGUUACUUUUAGAAUCUUGAGAGCUGUUACGAGGAGCAAGGUAGGCUUGCUAGGACAACAAACACAUCUAGUGUCGUCCGCGCCAACUCCAGCUUUUGGAUCUUCAACCCCAAAAGGAAAGAAGUCCAAUACAAGUGCUUCAAAAGGAGAAAGCAAUGUGACAGAAUUGCUUAAUAGGACUCUAGCUCUACUUGAGCACUCUGGUUCUAAAUACUUUGGUGCAAAGAGCGGUGGUCGUUCAACGAAUGUGUCAUCUCCACUUAUACCGCAUAAGUUGAGUACUUUGAAGAUCAACUUAUGCGACAAUCUAUGUUACUCUCCAACAUCUCCAGUAAUUAUGCAAGCGAUGGUGACUGAUGCCUCGUCUAUGGAGGAGCAAUUUACGAGUUUGACAAAGGAAAUUAAUGGCCUGACCAAAUAUAUUCAGAAUCAACAUGCUUGAAUUGAUAAGAUAGUGGAUAGGAUGGAAUGCCUGAUAGACGGAGAGUCUAGGCAUGCACCUGGAAAUCUCCAGAGGCUUACAAGAUAGAGCAUCCUGUGAAACAAACACCACCAACUAAAGAGGUGCAAGUUUCUUCUGAGGGAAGAAUCCCGAUUGAGCAAUUGAAGGAAUUCAUUGAAGGGACCCUCAAAGAGAAGUAUGAUGUUGUCACCAAGUCUUCCCUUGCGUAUGUCAAGCCCUGCACUGCAAGGAUAGAUAGCCUCAAAAUACGUGCCGGUUAUCAAUCCCUCAAAUUUCGACAAUUUGAGGGCAAAGGGAACCCAAAAUAGAAUGUCACACACUUCGUUGAGACAUGUAAUAAUGCUGGAACUUACAGUGACUAUCUUGUCAAAUAGCUUGUUUGUUCCUGUCACGACCUAAACUAGCGCCUGACUAUGAUGAACAUCCCAAACCAUGAAGGUGCGGAAUGCCCUUCUCUAUCUGGUAAUCAUGCACAACAUUUAUUUAAUAAAGAAGACAUGGAAACAUAAUCUGCUACCAAAACGUGGUCAACUCUGAAUUCAACAUAAGUAUGAAAACUGUAAAUCAACUUCAUCUAAAUAACAUCUGACUCAGUCUGUGAAAUCUCUACUACAUGAAAUCUGACAACUGUCUGAAACUGGGACAAGGGCCCCAGUAGACCAAAACUGAAUUAAGUGACAAAAUCUGAGAAGACAGGCCUUCUAAAAUAGAAAAGUCUCACCACUGCAUAAUCUGAUCAGAUGUCUGAAUUAUCUACUGCUUAUCUGGAUCCCUAGACUGAGUCUUAGAAUGUGAGAGGUAGGGGGAAGAGGUCAAUACAGAUGUACUGGUACGCAGAUCAUAUCCAAAAUAAUCAUUUAUAAAUCAACAUAUAUGAGAGCAAUUUAAAACAGUUCAUAAGUAUAUCAUGUAGUAAGAAUUCACAUGGCCAUUUUAAAGACUCUAUAAAAAUCAUCUCAGCUCUGAGAAACCUAUGUAACUUCUUCACUAGGUGGUAUACCCUACAACUGUAAAAAAUUCCAUGGGCUAUAUGAAAAAUUAACUCGGCAGCGAAGUCCCCAACCCAAGUGUGCCGCAAGGGUCAGAGUCUCUGAAUCUACUAUGCCACACGGCCUUCGGUAGCAUACAAUAAUAAUCUACCCGUAUCGGCAAAUACGAUUUCAGGCUAAGAGUUGCUUUUAAAACUCUAUCAAAAUAUACAGCCUCUGAAAACAUAAUCUGAAAAUAUGCUCUGAAAAUAUAAUCUAUUAUGGCAUAAAUAUGUAUGCUAUCGUUAUACCAUUAACUUGAAAGUCACAUCUCUGAGCCAUUAUUAGUCUAUCAUAAAUCUCUAUAUUCAAAACACAAGUUUUGAGACCAGCAUUUCAUUAAUUCAAUUCAAUGAAUCUUUCUCUUUUUUAAAACCUCAUGUAAACACAUCCAAUUCUUUCUCAUACACACAAGAACAUAUUGAUAUCAAGAAACACCCUAUCAACAAUUCCAAAUCAUGUUCAAAUGCCAGGAUAUUGCAAAAUAUCUUUCAAAUUACAAAACCAUAAUCUUUAAUUCAAUACAAGAGAGGGAGUUCAUAAUUUAUGCCCUCAACAAUCUUAAAUCUCAAAUUCAUACAUAUACAUAUAUAUGUCAAUCAAUUUAGGGGAAAAGACCACAAGGCCAAAGCAAUAGUAGCAUUUAAACUUUCGAAAUGCAUAAUCAAUAAUAUAGUUUUCGAAACCCUAUAAAAUACAUGCAUCAAAACCAUUAAAUCAUGCUUUAACAAUUUAUAGCCCAUGCAGUUUUUUUGGGGGGAUAAACCCCACUUACCUUGAUUACAAAGAAUAAGGGACGAUCCUUUAAGCCUACGGUUUGAGGAUUCUGAAUCUUCAGUCAAUUUUGAAAACCCACGGUUGAAUCUUGAGUUUCUCAAAGGAGAAGUAUAUGAACUAGGGUUUUUAUUUUGAGGAAAUUCUUGAGAAUGUCAUAUAUUCUACUUGUAGAGGUCUUAAUCUAAUGUUUAGACAUUUUAAGAGGCUUGAAAAAAGUCCAAAUUACCCUUGUUAACUUUUGAACGAAGAUGGAAAAAUUAAACUAGGAACCCAAUUUUAUAGGCCACCACAAUGCGCCACUAUUGUGGUGGCUCACUGGAAAUGGACGAAUGGGAAUUUGGGAUCCUCUACGAUGCGCCACUAUCACAAGGUCCCACUGAAAUUUGAUAAUUGCUAAUUAAACCCUCUCCACAAUGCGCUAGACACCAGAAUGACGGUGAUUUACGACUAGCAAAUAAAAUAGCCAUAACUUCUUCACGCAGUGUCAGAUUUGGACGAAUCUUAUAUCGACAGAAAGCUUAUUCAGUCAUCUACGAAAUGAAAAGUUGAAAUCUAAGGGAUUCCAUAGGUAAAUAAGUAUAAAUCAUUCUAUAAUCCAAUGCUUAAUAUUUUAGGGAUAGAAUUUAGCAAAGAAAAACUUCGGGGCGUUACAAUAUCCCCCCUUUGGGAACAUUCAUCCCUAAAUGUUGAUGUGGGAUACAGAUAAGUAUAAUUUCAAGCAUACUAAGGCAUAUAAAGAAUAAGGAAAGGAUUGUACCUUCUAUUUCGUCAUCUAUUAGAUCAAAAAGGUUUGGGUAUCUAGCUCUCAUGUGGACUUUUGAUUCCUAAGUCGCUUCUUUAAUUUUUUGGUUUCUCCACAACAUUUUAAGUGAGGCAAUCUCUUUGUUCCUCAAUAUUCUAACUUGGCGAUCCAAAAUCUCUACAGACUCUUCUUCGUAGGAUAAGUAGUCUGUUACUUUGAUUUCUUCGACAGGCAAUACUAAAGAAUGGUCUCUACUACACUUCUUCAACAUAGAUAUAUGAAAUACCGGAUGCACCAAACCCAAACUAACUGGCAAUUCUAGCUCAUACGCAACUCCACCUAUCCUUCUAACAAUCUGAUAUGGUCCUAUAUAGCAAGGACUCAGCUUACCUUUCUUCCCAAACCGCAUGACUCCCUUCAUGAGAGAAACCUUGGGAAACACCCAAUCUCUGAUCUCCAACCUCAAAAUCUAGAUCUCUUCUUCUAACAUCGACAUAGUACUUCUGACGAAUCUGAGCUGUCUUUAGUCAUUCUCUAAUGACUUUUACAUCCUCUAUUUCCUAAUAAACAAGAUCAGGUACAAAUAUCUACAUUUCACCUACUUCAUACUACCCUAUUGGUGACCUACAACUUCUCCCGCACAAUACCUAAAUGGUGUCAUCUUAAUACUAGAAUGGAAACUAUUAUUAUAUGUGAACCCUAUCAAUGGCAAGUGUUCUACCUUACUACCUUUAAAAUCAAUCAUGCAGGCCCUCAACAUAUCCUCAAGGGUCCUGAUGGUGUGCUCAGAUUGCCCAUCUAUCUGAGGGUGGAAAGCUGUGCUCAACUUCACUUGGGCACCUAAACCCUUUUGAAACGAUCUCCAAAACUGUAAGGAAAACUGUGUACCUCUGUCAAAUAUGAUAGACAUAGGUGCCCUAUGCAAACGAACUAUUUCUGCAAAGAACAGCUUGGCAUAGUCCUCUCCUGAAUAAUUUGUCUUGACAGGUAGAAAGUAAGCUGACUUGGUCAACCUAUCUACAAUCAGCCAAAUGGAAUCAUACUAGUUUUGGGACCUCAUAAGUCCUAUAAUGAAGUCCAUAUUAAUCAUCUCCUACUUCUAUAAAGGCAAAGCUAUCUCUUGAGAAGAACCACCUGGCCUCAGAUGUUCCACUUUAACUUGUUGAUAAUUCAAACACUUGGCAACAUAGUUAGCCACAUUAUGCUUUAUAUUAUUCCACUAAUAAAUAGUUUUCAAAUCCUGAUACAUCUUAGCAGAUCCAGGGUGAACAACAUACCUUGACGUGUGAGCUUCAUCAAGGAUUCUCUUGCUCAUACCAUCUAUAUCUAGCACACACAACCUACCUUGGUAUCUCAAAACACCAUCACCACCAAUUUCAAAAGACAAUACCUUUUAUUGACCCACAUCUUUCUUGAUCUGCUUCAAGAUGGGAUCUUCAACCUUCUUAUCUUUAACUUCUGCACAAAGGAAAGAUUUAGCUAUCGCAUGAACAACCACUUCUCCAUCCUUGGAAUCCAAAAGUCGCACUCCUAGAUUUGCAAGUCGAUGAAUAUCCUUCACCAUCUCCAUAUUUUCUUUCCCCACAUGAGAAAGACUGCCCAUAGAUAACCUGCUGAGGGCGUCAGCUACCACAUUCGCCUUGCUCGGAUGAUAGUGUAGGCUCAUGUCAUAGUCUUUUAAAAGUUCCAACCACUGCCUCAGCCUAAGAUUCAAUUCUUUCUACGAAAAAAUAUACUGUAAACUCUUUUGGUCAGUAAAUAUAUCAACGUGUACCCCAUACAAAUAGUGCCAUCAAAUCUUAAGUACAAAAACCACAAUUGCUAACUCCAAGUCAUGAGUGUUGACACUAAUUUUUGCCCUCCAUAGCCAAGUUUAAUUUCGAGCUUCUUCGGGUUUUAAUAAAAUAAAAAAAUUUAUUUCAUUUGAAUAGAAACUUUUCAAAAAAAAAAUCAUCUGGGAAGGUUUGUCAUUUUAAGUGAUGACUAUACAUUAUCAUAUUCAAUUAUACGAAAUUAUGUAAUUAUGUUACUUAAAUAACUAUUUUAUGGAAUAUCAGAUUUUAAUCAAGGAUUAUUUUGAAAAUAAAUUCAAAUGGUUGAAAUACUUACUUAAAUAUGAUUUAUUCUAAAAAAUAAUCUAUUUGGAGAAAUAUUUAUUCAACUUUAUCGAAUCAAGACGCUCAGGAUUAAACAAGGUGUUAACUCGUAUCGAAUUUCGAUUCGAUUUAGUCAAUUUAUUAAAUUUGACUCUAAUUGAAAUCAAAUUGGCCCUAAUUGUGAUGUAAUUGACCAAUGAUAUAUUCAAUUUGGUAGAGUUUAAAUAUGUUCCUAAAUUAUAAUCUUAAUCCUCGAUUACCUUUUCUUAAGUGGGAUUAUUUUAAUCUAAUUAGAUUUAAUUGGGUUAUUAAAUAACCCCAACAUAACCUAAUCAAAACAAAAAUCAGCCCAUUCCUUUCAUUAAUUAAUACAACAACCCAACGGUCCAAACUCGUACCCACUAGGCCCAACAGAUCUGACCCAGCCCAACCUCCAAUCCACCCUUAUCUCCUCUUUCAACCUUACCCGAUCUCAUCCAACAGCAAACAAUGACAACAAAUCUCUAAUACACAACAUCAGCGAACAUAUCACGAUCAAUGAAAAAACCAUAUCUAACCCAUGAGCGACCCAAAAUCAUCCCGUUCUCAACAAGAAAUGACGUGUUUCCCCUAUUCCCACUCUCAAUUUCUCAGCAAAACCUCAAACCUUCUAAAAAGGAUAAGCUGUCUCCCCAAACGUCCCAUUCCUAAGAAUAUUGGAUUGAUUCAUACGAUUUCAUACAUAUUUAGGGGAUUUCCAUUGGGUGAGAGGUACAAUUCAUUUUGCCCAAAUUUGAUUGGUCCACCUAUUGAAAUCUCUCUGAAGAAAUUAAGAAUUGGGUGGGAUUUGAGGUUGAAAACCCAAGGAAAGAUGGAAUUUUUGAAUUUGAAUUUUGAAUUUUGAAUUGGGUGGGAUUCACGUGAUUUAAACAUUUUGCGAAUCGGCUUGGGAAUUAGUAUUCUUAGUCUUUGCAGCUUUCACCAAUUCACCCUUUUAGUUUCAAAAGAGAUUUGAAAGAGGUUAGAAUCAUAGUCAAAAAUCAGUUUUUAUGAAGGGACCCAUCUUUACUUAUGUUGGCCAAUUUGCAUCUUAUUUUUGUUCUCUUUCUCAAAUUGAUCAAAUUCAGUACUCUCAUUCUUGGGAGUUCUUCACUGAUUCUCGUUGGGUUUCUUUUGGAAACUGUAAAAAGGGAUUUGAACAACUAUUAAGGCAUUGAGUUUGAAUUUUAUGGGCUUGGAUGUGAGGUUUGGAUCCCUCCCUGGUUCAAUCAUGCUUCUAUUGCUUUUUUUUAUUCAUGCGGUUUUGAAUUUGUAUUAGGAUCAUAUAAUAGAUGUCUGUUACGUAUAGUCCUUGCUGACAAUUAUUUGUAAACACAAGGUAGCAGAUUUUGUCUUCUCUUUCUAUUUCACUUUAUAUUUUGUUCAUGCUCUCAAAAUAAAAAAUUGCUGACACAUAAUUAUAACCUCUUUCAAGUAGUAAAUUGGAUUGUAUUAAGUAACAGUAAGGUGGAGGCAACAUUCCAAAGAGAAUGUGUUAAAUUAUGUGGUAUUUUUCUCUUUUUCCAUGCCUGCCAUCAUUAUAUUUUAUGGUAUUUUAUCUUGUCCCUUUUCCAUUACUCAUAUCAUUAUGCUUUAUCGAAUGAUGUUAAAUUUAUCAAAUUAUGUGAUUCGGAUUCUAAUUUCUUGCCUUUCCUUCCUUCACAUGUCAAUUUGCAUUGGGGUCCACAAUGGACUCCUUCCUAUCUUAUUAUCAGGUGGGCCAAUGAGGCCCAUAUUCUCGAGGUUCAACUCCUACGUUGAUUCUGGGGCCAUUCCAAUAAGAAGACAGAAGUAGAUAGCGUGCCCAAGUACAUUCACAAAGUCACUAGGAUUUGGAGGCUUGAAAGCCUCAUCUUCUUUAGUUCACUUAGCAUAGUGUUGCUUGUUUUCUUUAUUAUUUUUAUUUAUUCAUUUAGGUGUUUAUUCAUUCAUUCAUUCGGGCCUUCGAAGCCAAAGUUAAAAACUUAAUACAGGUGGAGCAAGACUCGAGCUAAAGGCUCAAAAACAUAGAAUUAGGACAGGUGCAAAUGGGUCGAAAGCCCAACUAGAUUAGGACAGGGUCGACGGUUUGGCCUUAAAAAGCAUAAAUCAUUACUUUCCCACCUUUUUCCUUUUUUCUUUUCAUUUACUUGUUUGCUUGUCUCUUUGCGAACCUAGUUAAAUCCCUAACUAAGUCGCUAAAAAAUUGAUUUCGCGAAAACCUUUUCCUUAAUAAAUUACUUUUUCAACAAACCGAUUUUCCAAAGUUAAUCAAAAGAAUGUUUUCAAAUAGAACGGAUAACCACAAGUUAGCAGACGUUUUAGGUGCCUAACACCCUCCUAAUAUGUUAAUAGGAACCGCUUACUCAGAAUCUUCAACACUUGAAUGAUUUUUUGAAUCGUUUUAAGUAACUCUCUAAAGGUUUCUUAAUUUCUUUUCAAAAUUAAGUGGCGACUCUUUCAAAUAAGUCAAAAAAAAUUUUGUCAAAACAAAAAUGGCGACUCUGCUGGGGACUUUUAACUAGGUUCUAACCAAAUGUUUGAUUUUGUCUUUUGAUUAACUUUUAUGUGUUUCGAUUUUGUAAAGUUUAAACUAUCGAAUCUCAUGGCAUAUUCCUACAUAAUUUAAACUGUUUUGGGUUUCGUGGAUGUCCCAGCCCCUAUUGUUCAAUUCCAAUAAUGUGUUGGAAAUACGAACGGUUUAUUAGCACGUGAGUCAUCUGAUGUUAUUCAUAUUUUCAAAAUUAAGUUGUCUGCUUGAAAACCAGUGUUCAAACCUACUCUAGACACUGAGGAUAGAACAAAACCAAACCCCUAUUUUUAAGCCUGAUCCUAGGACGACCCAAUACCCGAGCGGGGUAUUGGGCCCAUUAGAAAACCUGCCCUGGGUCUAUUAACCCUGAGUCAAUUACAGAUGAAUCAUAUUUAUGUGUGGAAAAAAAUACAUUCUUGUCUAAUUCAAUCCAUUAUCCUUUGGGGUCGGGGGAAGACUUAUCUUUGUCUGCUUUCACGUAGGAUAUGGCUCAACUACAUUCCCACGAAAAGUUCAAGAUGGUUACUAAAUCUGACAAUUUCUUGAAACUAUGGUAGGACCACAUGAGUGCAAAAGAGAGAAAGAUUGUUAGAACACACAUUGGGUGUCUCCCUUCUUUGAUUGAGAUGGACGCUUGGCCCGAAAUGAUCCAUGUACUAACAACUUUUUGGGAUAAUCAGAAUAUGGUAUUUCACUUCGGGGAUGUUGAAUUGGCUCCUACCAUUGAAGAGGUAUUGAUUUGUUACGAGAGUACAAAAAUGUGUUUUAAGAGAAGGGAGACACGUGAUAAACAUAUUUUAGUCCCGGUUGUGUGGGAUCGUCAAAAGAUCAAGGAGGUAUUUUUAACUAACGAUAACACCUAGCUAAGAGAACGUGAUGGAGAAAAUAUUAAUUUUUAUGAGUUGUAUCAUUGAUUCGAAAGAUUCAACGCUUUUCACAAAUUUAGGCAUAAAUUUGAGUCAGAAGCAAAAUGGAAGGAGACGAGAGCCUUUGCAUUUGCGGUUGGCCUACUUGGAACCAUGGUGUUCCCACGAGGGAAAAUGGCACAAUUCAUCCGAGGGUUGUCUUAGUUACCCAUGCAAUCUUCUUUAGAAUGGAAUACAAUUCUAAAAAGGUAUUCCACAACUUAGCUCCCAUGAUUGUCGCCGACAUAUAUCGAGCUUUGGGAAGAUGUCAAGUUGAGAAUCAUUUCUUUCAAGGCUGCAAUCUUAUAUUACAAUGGUGGAUGAUGAUGCAUUUGGUGAAAAAUCCUAGAAUGGCACAAUCUAACCAUAAAACAAAGAGGAAUCUGCUAGAAUCACACAACAUGUUGUUGUUUUUACACAAGUUCAAAAGGGAAGUAUCUCAUGAAUUUUGGUUCAAGACUCUUGGAGAAUUAAGAGAUGACGAUGUCCAAUGGUCCCUUAACUAUAUUUUUUCAGGGAAAUACAUUAUUCGAGGCGGCGAGUGGCCUUUUGUAGUGCUUCUGGGUCAUAGGGGAACCCGUCCCUACAAUCCUGGCAGAGUUCUUAGGCAAUUUAAGAUUAAGCAAGAGAUGCCUCAAAUUGAUUCUAUGCUCAGAUUCUUUACCGAAUUGAUGAAAGAGAGCCCCCUCUCAGAGACUAUGUGAUAAAUGGAUGGAGAAGAACAAAGUGGAUGGAAGUCUCUUUUCGUACAGGGUAUGAACCUAAAGUCAGCAAUACUUACAAGGAGUGGUUAAAAAAGAGCCUCGCCAGAGCAUUGAUUCCAAGGCCGAACGUUCCCACUUGGGUCGUGGAUGUAGUAUCCAAGCAUCAGAUCCGAAUCCACAGGCUUCAGGAUUAGUUUCAGAAAAGUAAAAUCGAACACCGACAGAUGUGUGUGGAAGAUGAUUUAACAAUACGUAUGUUGAGGGAAGAGUUGAAAAGAUCUAGGCAAGAGGAUGAUGAUGCUAGGCAGUGUUUAAUCAAUUUAGAUGAUAUCAUGGCCUCUCAACUUGAUAGUAUAGGAGAAAUAACUUACGAAAGAAAGGCACAGUUAUGUGGGAGUCAUUUGAUAAUCAAUAGGUAUCAAAUAGCACAAGAGGUGAAGAAGGCAAAGAAGGCAAAGGAAGACGAAGGAGCCUCCGAUAGGUAGUUUUUCUAUUUCCUCUGCGCGGGAACUUAUUUUAUUUCAUGUUAUUUCCCUUUUUCCCUAAAGAUUGUAUCCAUCUUUUGUUAUCUUUUGUAGGCAUUUAUGCCCUUUUUCGUGUCUAUAUAAGUUGGGGGAUAAUGGAUUGACUUUAAGGAAGCAUAUAUUUUCUUCAAAAUCGUUAAACCUGAACUCGUGGCUUAAAAAGGUCACCCCAGUUAGGAUACACAUUAUUAUAAUAUUUUGUGAAAUAUAAUUGUCUUAUGUGCUUGUAUGUGUUUGUUUGGAUCAAAGUCAAGUUUAUCUGCUAUGCUCCUAUGGAUGAAUUUGGCUAUGACUCAAACAACUCUACGUUGUUAUUUCUUGUCAAAUAUUUUGCAUUACUUAUCACAUACGGAAACUAACACAUCUGCCUUUAAAUUGUUUUACUUUACAUAUAAUAGAAACUACUCCGCGUUGAUAUAAGUUGGCAGAACAUCCCUACUUCACCCGGUUAAAAGCGCACAAAAUCCCAUCCUCUGUUCAUUAUUCAAUAAUGACUGAAAAUGAUGAAGAAGAUGUAUUGACCAUCAGGGACAAUGUAAUAGCGGAGCAUAGUUAGAUGAUUGCAGAACUCGUAAGAAAGCUUGAAAUGCUUCAGGAGGAAAUAAAUCAUACUUGAGAUUUGUCUCACCUGGCCAUCACUGUUAAUGCUCCCGCUCCAAGAGGAGACUCCGCUCUACUCCAAAUCUCUUCCCCCAUUACGCCUAUUCUUGGGGAUCAUCUAAAUAACAUAUCAUCCGUCUCUGCCCCUCCACUUGUCCAAAAUACCAAUCAUGAAAAUAAUCCAGUUGCUUACCAUCCAUAAAAUCCAUCUCUAAUCCCACAAAACCCCUCUUUGAAUCCAUUCCCAAAUCCCCAGAACCCAAUUGUAAAUCAAAAAAAUUCAAGUCCAAAUCCACAAGAUUCACUCCCAAAUCCACAAAAUCCAUCCCUAAAUCUUCCAUCGAAUCUAUCCCUGAAUCUAUCAAAUUCAUUUCCAAAUUCACAAAAUCCUUCUCAGAUGCCACCAAACUACUCCCAAAUUCCACAAAACCUUUCUAAAUUUCGAAAUGCCCUCCCCACCUACCAACCAACUUCCUUUCAUCCAUAAAAUAAAGCCUCCCUUCCAAAUCCCCCUCAUUCCAUCAUAUCCCCCAACAUCUAUAAUCCUUUUCCUAAUCUUGAGAUGGACCAUUAUGAAGAGAAGGAUAAAGAGUGGAGGAUCGAGCAUGAAAUAAAGUUGCUAGCUAUGAAUGAACAGAUCAUAAGGAUUAAAGAAUAUCAUAGAGCGAGGGACCAUGACAGCUUAGGGUACGAUAACUUAUGUGUUCACCCUGGAGUAGAUCUACCAGAAGGGUACAAGGUCCCCAAGUUUGAAGUGUUUGAUGGUGCCAAAAAUCUAAUGGCCCAUCUGAGGAGGUACUGUGAGCAACUGGUGGGGAUUGGGAAAAAUGAAGCGUUAUUGAUGUUCCUAUUUAGCCGAAGUUUAAGCGGUGAAGCCUUAGAGUGGUUUAUGUCUCAGCAGCCAAAAAGAUGGACUGGUUGGAAAGCAUUAGCCAAUGGUUUCGCCGAUAGGUUCGCAUUCAUCAUUAAAAUAGUCCCAAACCGGUAUUCAGUAGAACAAAUCAAAUAGAAGAGUGAUGAGAGUUUUCGAGACUAUGCUUUUUAUUGGAGGAAGAAAGCUUCCAAAGUGCAACCCCCCAUGUCCGAGGAAGAAAUGGUAUCUAUGUUCUCUCAUGCUUAAGAAGGAGAAUAUUAUACCAGGAUGGUGUCCGCUGUCAGGCGACUUUUGUGGAGUUGGUAAAAAUAAGAGAAUCAUUGGAAGAAGGUAUUCAGACAAAAAAAAUUACCAAAACCCCAACAUCGUCCGGGACUGUCAUGUCCUCAAAGAAGAAAAAGAAGGAUGUAGGCACGAUUUCUGCUGAUUCUAUUGCCAAAACAAAAAAGAGGUUCAACUCUAGGAAUGUUUUAUGUUCUCCGCUGUCACCAAGACUUUAGCAUGGUUCUACGCCCACCCCUAAUACUAAGCUCCACUUUCAAAUGUCCAAACUCAGUACUAAACUCCACUCACAAACAUCCAAUCCCAAUACCAAGCUCCACUUUCAAAUGUCCAACCUCAGUACCAAACUCCAGUCCCAAAUAUCCAAUCCCAAUACCAAGCUCCAUAGACAAAUAUCUUUCCCCAAUACCAAGUUCCACCUCCAAAUUAUCAGUCUCAUAUCCAAUCCACUCUUUCAAAUAACCGAACAAAUAUCCAAGCAUCUCUAAAUUAUCAUCAAGUACCUCCUCCUGCAAACCAAAGCCAUUAUAACCCCUACGUCCAAACUACGAAAAGAAACUUCCCCAAAACUUUACACCACUAGAUGAAAGUUGCACUCAAUUGUUCGAAAGAUUGAAGAAUGUUGGUCAUUUACAAUUGAUACAAUCAAAGACUAUCAAUCCCAACUCCCAAUUUUAUCAUCCUGAUCUAAAUUGUGCCUAUCAUUCAAGAGUAGCAGGGCACAGUACCAAGGACUAUGUUACCUUGAAACAUAAGAUCCAAGAUCUGAUUAAUCAAAAGGUCAUCACACUUCAGUCAUUGAUGCCAAAUAUCAACAGUAACCUAUUACCUAAUCAUGGGGGACCUACAGUUAACAUGAUUGAAAUAGAAAGAGAAUGUGCAUCUGGCAAGACUAUUACUAAGGUGAAUUGAGAAAAGUGUAAAAGGGCAGAAGAGGUAGAAAAUAUAGAGAGAGUUGUCAUUGCCUUAAGAGUCAACAAGAAAGCCCCAUUUAUAGUGAUGACAGCCUGAUCCAAGUGUACACUCCCCCACCAAGGAAUGAAUUUAUUGUACAGAUCGCUGCUGCCCAAGGGAUGAUGCGAUCGGGAUGAUGCUACAUCCCUGAAGAAUUGAUCAAUAAAAAAAUAUUCACAAAAUAGGCCAAUCACUGAAGGGGAGGCUGAAGAAUUUUUUAGGCCUAUGAAACCAAAAGACUAUUCAAUUGUCAAAUAUUUAGAGAAGACUCCAGACCAAAUUUUCAUUUCGGCAUUAUUAAUGAGUUCGUAAUAACACCGACAAGCUCUAUCGAAGGUCUUGGAUGAAGUGUAUGUUCCCACAGGAAUGAGUGUUGAGAAUCUAGCUAUGAUGAUAUGAAAUAUUAUGGGGAAUCAUCGCAUAUCAUUCAGUGAUAAAGAGUUACCAUUUGAGCGAGCGAUGCACAACAAAGCCUUGCACGUCACUGUCACUUGCCGAGACUAUGUGAUUAAUCAGGUAUUGAUAGAUGAUGGAUCUGGUAUAAACAUUUUUCCUCUCUCCAUAUUGGUUCAAAUGGGCUAUGAUUUGGGAAAAAUUCAUCAAAGCCACAUAAAUGUGAGAGAAUUUGGUAGAGGUAAGAGAUAUACCAUAGGAGAAAUUGAUUUCUACAUCCAAAUGGGACUGCUAAGUUCAAAACUAAGUUUUAUGAUAUGUAUAUUCAUCCUAGCUACAACCUGCUAUUGGGAAGACCAUGGAUACAUGGUGCAAAGGCCGUUUCAUCACCCCUUCAUCAACUAUUAAAGUUCAUUUGGGAGAAUCAUGAAGUAGUCAUCCAAGGGGAAGGAAGCCGAGCGGAUCAUCCCAAUGGUUAUAUGAUAGUGAUUGAAGAUGUUCCAAAGGGUAGUAGUUUCUAUACGAUGGAAAUUGUAAAUGCUGUGGAGAAGGAUCUGAUGCUCAAAAUGCCAUUGCCUUCUAUCUAUAAAAUAAUUGCGACGGGAUGUUAAGAAAUAGAUUCGAGCCUGGUCAGGGUUUGGGUAAGAGUCUGCAAGAAAUUAUUGAGCCUAUUAUUAUCCCAGAGAAUUCCUCUAAGUAUGGGUUAGGAUAUCAGCCUACAAAGGAGGAUGAGAUUGAAAAUAAGUCAGAGGCGAGUCUUUUUAGGCCCUUACCUCUCCUAUACCAGUCAUUUCCCGUACGUGAGAUAUCGAAUGAUGAUGGUCUUGGGGAUGGGAUAGGAAAUCUUUUCCAGGGAUGCAAUGCUUACCAGAAGAUUUCCUAAAGUCCGGUGGGGUGAAGAAGAUUGCACCAGGGGAGGCCUUGCAAAACUGGACCUCUACUCCACUCAUAACCCGUCGCCCAUCGUGAUAGAUUAAAGGAAAAUUACUAAUAGUUUUAAAAUUGGUGAUGAUCUGGAUGAGGCCCCGCGAUCCACCCUUUACAUCUCAAUUUUCCUUUUUGUAUUUUACUUCUUUCAAAAGGCAUGGGCUUGUGUUUGCACGAGUCAUGAGCCAUAGUUUGUAAUUAUCUCUUAAAUUUUAAUGAAAAGGCCUUCCCUUAUUAUGAAUAUAUAUAUAUAUAUAUAUAUAAUAAAUUAUUUUCUGAAACACCACUAUUCGUACAUUUUAUUAUUAUCUUGUUAUCAUCUAACUUGGUUUAUUUGUUUAUUACAGUAACCGUAACUCAAAACCUACCAAUGUCAUGUCAUGUCAAAGCUUAGACGAACAAAAUAAGGGGAAAGAUGAUGACUGGAAGGGAGGUGAUGAGAAACAAUUAGUUGAAGAUAUAGAAGAGUUUGAGAAUCGGGAGAAGCCCAACCUAGAGGAAACUGAAACAAUUAACCUUGGAGAUCAUGAUGAAAUCAAAGAAACAAGUGUUAGUGUCCACCUAGCAGAAGCACAAAAGAGAGAGUUCAUUCACCUGUUGCGGGAAUAUAUUGACGUGUUUUCUUGGUCCUAUGAUGAUAUGCUGAGAUUGAGCACUAGUAUUUUGUCGUAUAAGUUGCUGAUAAAUCCAGAGUUUGAUCCAGUCAAGCAAAAAAUACAGAAAUUCAAGCCUGAAUUAAGUCUAAAGAUCAAGGAACAAGUGACAAAACAAAUCCAGUCUAAGUUUGUGGAGGUCACAAAAUAUCCAACGUGGUUGGCCAACAUCGUCCCUAUGCCGAAGAAGGGUGGCAAGAUUUGAAUUUGUGUUGACUACAGAGACCUGAAUAGAGCCAGUCCUAAAGAUAAUUUUCCAUUGCCCAACAUCCGCAUCCUCAUUGAUAAUUGUGCAAAGCAUGAAAUGCAGUCCUUCAUUGAUUAUUUUACCGGGUACUAUCAGAUAUUGAUAGAUGAGAAAGAUGUAGAAAAGACGAUAUUUAUUAUGCCUUGGGGUGUUUAUCAUUACAGGGUAAUGCCGUUUGGUCUCAAGAAUAUGGGUGCAACAUACAAGAGGGCUAUGACGGCAAUUUUCCAUAAUAUGAUCCAUAAAGAGAAUGAGGUGUACGUGGAUGAUGUAAUUAUCAAAUCCCGCGAGAGUUCGGAUCAUCUGACCCAUCUGGAGAAAUUCUUCAACAGAUUAAGAAAGUACAAUUUGAAGUUAAAUCCUACUAAGUGUGAUUUUGGUGUGCAUCAGGGAAAUUUCUGGGGUUUAUAGUCAGCAGAAGAGGCAUCGAGCUAGACCCAUCCAAAAUCAAGACAAUUUAGGACUUGCCACCGCCAAGGACCAAGAAGAAAGUUAUGAGUUUCAUGGGUCAUUUGAAUUACAUUAGAAGGUUCAUCGCUCAGUCAAAAAUCAUAUGCGAGCCAAUUCUCAAUAUUUUGAAGAAAAAUGCAUUGAAUGAGUGGAUAGAAGAAUGUCAGAGAGCUUUUGACCACAUUAAGGAAUAUCUUUCUGCACCGUCGGUUUUGGUUUCGCCAAAAGAAGGAAUGCCAUUAUUACUUUACCUAUCAGUCUCAGAAAAUACUUUUGGAUGUGUCCUCGGGAAACAUGAUGAGACCGGUAGGAAAGAGAAAUCUAUUUACUACUUGAGUAAAAAGUUUACGCUAUAUGAAGCUCGUUACACUCUUGUAGAAAGGACAUGUUGUUCUUUGACUUGGGCUGCACAAAAGUUAAGGCAUUAUCUGUCAUCGUACACAACAUACGUCAUCUCGAUAAUGGAUCCAUUGAAGUAUAUAUUCCAGAAGUCCAUGCCCAUGGGAAAGCUAGCCAAGUGACAAAUGUUGCUGAGCGAGAUUGACAUCGUUUAUGUAACUCAAAAGGCAAUCAAGGGGCAAGCUUUGGCAGAUCAUUUGGCAGAUAAUCCAAUUGAUGAUGAAUAUGAGCCACUUCGAACUUACUUUCCAUAUGAGGAAAUUCUAUUCGUAGGAGAAGACAUUAUAGAAAUUUACCCUGGAUGGAGGUUAUUCUUUGAUGGAGCGGUCAACUUCAAAGGUUCAGGAAUCGGAGCAGUGUUGGUGUCAAAAACUGGCCAACACUAUCCGGUAACCGCUAAGUUUUAUUUCCCAUGCACUAAUAACAUGGCCAAAUAUAAGGCUUGCAUCCUAGGUCUCAAACUGGCACUUGAUAUGGGUGUUCAUGAAUUGCUAGUCAUCGGAGAUUCAGAUUUACUGAUUUACCAGGUACUAGGAGAAUGGGUGGUAAAAAAUUCCAAAAUUACUCCUUAUGUGGAGCUGGUGCAUGAAUUAUGGGAAAAAUUCAAAGAAGUUGAUUUCAUACAUAUUCCAAGGAUACAAAAUGAGUUUGCUGAAGCUUUGGUCACUAUAUCUUCCAUGAUUCGGCAUCCAGAUCAGUGUUACAUUGAUCCUUUGGAGAUAAGCUUGAAGGAGCAACCCGCACAUUGUGCACAUGUUGAAGAGGAUCCUGAUGGAAAGCCAUGGUACUAUGAUAUUAAGAGGUAUUUAGAAUCUGGAAUAUAUCCUGAAGAGGCCAGUAACAACCAAAAGAAGACAAUCCGGCAUUUAGCAAAGAACUAUUUUUUAAGUGGGGAAAUCCUUUUUAGGAGGACUCCAGAUUUGGGAUUCAUAAGAUGUGUCGAAACUUGUGAAAGACAAUAAAUUGAUAAAAGAAGUACACUCUAGAGUUUACGGGCCCCACAUAAACAGGUUUUCCCUUGCUAGAAUGAUCCUGAGAACCGGUUACUUCUGGAUGACUAUGGAAAAUAAUUCUAGCAGGUAUGUGCAGAAGUGCCCAAAAUGUCAGAUACAUGGAAAUUUGAUUCGAAUGCCUCCACAUGAGCUUCAUGUGAUGAAUUUACCUUGGCCAUUCGUAUCUUGGGGCAUGGAUGUUAUUGGACCAAUAGAGCCACCAGCAUCGAAUGAGUAUAGAUUUAUUUUGAUUGCUAUUGACGACUUUACUAAGUGGGUCGAAUCUGCUUUAUAUAGAGCCAUCACCAAGAAAGUGGUUUCAGAUUUCAUCAUGAAUAGCUUGAUUUGCCGAUUUGGAGUGCCAGAAUCGAUCAUCACUGAUAAUGGGGCAAACUUGAACAGUGACUUGAUGAAUGAUAUUUGUGACCAAUUUAAAAUAGUGCAUCACAACUCGACUGCAUAUCGUCCACAGAUAAAUGAAGCCAUGGAAGCUGCCAAUAAAAACAUCAAGAAGAUCUUAAGAAAGAUGAUCGAAAAUGAUAGAUCAUGGCAUGAGAUGUUGCCUUACGCUUUUCUUGGGCAUCGUACUACAAUUCGAACCUCCACCGAGGCGACUUCUUAUCUAUUCGUUUAUAGGAAUGAAGUUAUGAUACAUGUUGAGGUUGAAAUACCUUCCCUAAGGAUUAUUCAGGAAGAUGGACUAAGCAAUGAAAAAUGGGUUCGCGCUCGCUACGAACAACUCACGCUGAUUGAUGAAAAAAGAAUGGUUGUUGUAUGUCAUGGUCAGUUGUAUCAGCAUAGGAUGGUUCAUCCCUUUAACAAAAAAGUAAGAACUCAAACAUUCGAAGUUUGGCAAUUGGUUCUCAAACGUAUAUUUCCUCACCAAGAGGAGUACAAGGGCAAGUUCGCUCCAAAUUGGCAAGGGCCAUAGAUAGUUCGCAAGGUAUUAUAUGGAGUGAAUCUGAUUUUGUUUGAGAUGGAUGGUCAAGAGUGGACCAAACCAAUCAAUUCUGAUGCAGUAAAAAGAUAUUAUGUUUGAAAGACGUGCUAAUUUUUGCAUUCCUUAGUUUACUCAUAAUCGCCUUUGUAGUAAUAUUGCUUUAUAAUUCGUAAUUGCCUAGAACCAUUUUUCCUUUAUGUACAAACUACGUUUGACCUAAAUUCCCAAAGAGGGAUACGUAGGCGGCCUAUAUCUGCUUCAGUGAAAAGUUUUCUUAGUUCUUCAUUUUCCGGUAGCUGUCAAGUUUUCAGGGGACUCCCGAAAGGGAAACCUCACUUCUUCCUUAAGACAUGUAAGUAGUAGUUACAUAUAUCUUUGUAUUGUUUUUUCAAGUUUGUAAAUUAUGUUUGAAUUAAUCAAGUUUAUUUUCUUUCACAUGUGUUUUAUUAAGAUCUGGAUCACCAACAGUUUUCCGCCAGUUUUUCUGAUCUUGUAAAAUUUGUAAAUUACUUAUAAAAAUACCCUCAGUAUAUGGUUAUUCCUUUAGUAUUUUAGCAAUAACGAUGGAUUAAUCUGUAAAUUCCUAGGGACUUGAAAAGUCCGAAGAAGAUUAAAAAAGAAUGUUGUUAUUAUUCUAGGGUGUGAUUAAAUAAGAUAUUGCUAAAAUACCUAAAACUGAGGAGAAACAGAUGAACAGGGUAUAAAUUAAAAAAAAAUUAAAAAAGCAAAAAAAGCAAAAAAUAAUUUAUUUUGGGAGAAAAUAUACUUGGACUCUUACACUGGACUAAGGAUAACGAAGGAGGGAGUACUGAGUAGGACUUUACACCAUGUUAAAACACAACUGUGAUAACACUGAUUUAAUAACUUAAAAUUACUUACCUGCUUUAAUAACUUAAAAUUACUUACCUGCUUUAAUAACUUGUUAUAAUAAUUUGCUUGCUAUAUUUAUCUGUCUAUAGUAUUAUACUAACUAUAUAAUCUACUAUAUAUUAUAUUAUAAUACAUAUACUAAAGAAUACAUACAUAUGCAUAUAUAAGUAAUAUACAUUCUUGCUUAUUAUUUUUACUACAUACAUAUGCAUAUAUAAGUAAUAUACAUUCUUGCUUAUUAUUUUUACUAGUAGUAGUUAACUUGUCCAUAUAUAAGACUAUAAUAUAUAUAUUCUUGUUAAUAUUAUAUAUAUUAUGAUUCCUAAUAUAGAAUAUAUAUCUAAUAUACAUACUAACAUAUAUAUAUAUAUAUAUAUAUAUAUAUUCUUAGACUUAUAUUGCUAGUUACUAUUUAUUAUUUUUGUUUAUAUUACCCAUUUAUUAUUAUUAUUAUAUAUCUGUCUUUAUUAUAACCACUUGUCUAUUUUAUUUUUAUCUGUCUAUAUUGCCUUUUAUUAUCUAUCUAGCCAUAUUACAUCCACUUGUCCAAUAAAAUAGACAAGUGGAUGUAAUAUAGCUAGAUAGAUAAUAAUAGGUAAUAUAGACAGAUAAGAAAAAUAAAAUAGACAACUGGUUGGCUAGAUAGAUAAUAAUAGGUAAUAUAGAAAGAUAAUAAUAAAAAUAGACAAGUGGUUAUUUUAUUUUUAUUAUCUGUCUAUAUUACCUAUUAUUAUCUAUCUAGCUAUAUUACANNNNNNNNNNNNNNNNNNNNNNNNNNNNNNNNNNNNNNNNNNNNNNNNNNNNNNNNNNNNNNNNNNNNNNNNNNNNNNNNNNNNNNNNNNNNNNNNNNNNNNNNNNNNNNNNNNNNNNNNNNNNNNNNNNNNNNNNNNNNNNNNNNNNNNNNNNNNNNNNNNNNNNNNNNNNNNNNNNNNNNNNNNNNNNNNNNNNNNNNNNNNNNNNNNNNNNNNNNNNNNNNNNNNNNNNNNNNNNNNNNNNNNNNNNNNNNNNNNNNNNNNNNNNNNNNNNNNNNNNNNNNNNNNNNNNNNNNNNNNNNNNNNNNNNNNNNNNNNNNNNNNNNNNNNNNNNNNNNNNNNNNNNNNNNNNNNAUGUAUUAUAAUAUAAUAUUAUAUAUCGUAUAAGUAUAUAUAUAUUUUAGAAUGAUAAUAAGAUAGAUAAAUAUAGUAAGCAAAUUAUUAACGCGGGUAAGUAAUUUUAUGUUAUUAAAGCAGGUAAGUAAUUUCAAGUUAUUAAAGUAGAGUUAUCGCGGUUGUGUUUUAAUAUUGUGUAAAGUCCUACUCAGUACUCCCUCCUUCGUUGUCCUUAGUCCAGUGUAAGAGUCCAAGUCAUAAAAAUCUAAGUUUAUUUUCUCCCAAAAUAAAUUAUUUUUUACAUUUUUUGAUUUUUUGAUUUUUUUAAUUUAUACCCUGUUCAUCUCUUGCUCUUCAGUGUUAGGUAUUUUAGCAAUAUCUUCUUUAAUCACACCCCAGGAGAAUAACAACAGUCCUUUUUAAUCUUCUUUGGACUUUCCAAGUCCCUAGGAAUUUAUAGAUUAAUCCAUAUUUAUUGCUAAAACACUGAGAGAAUAGUCAUAUAUUGAGGGUAUUUUUAUAAGUAAUUUACAAAUUUAACAAGAUCAGAAAAACUAGGGGAAAACCGCCGGCGAUUCAUAUCUUAAUAAUAAUAAAAUACAUGUGAACGAAAAUAUAAAAUUGAUUAAUUCAAACAUAAUUUAUAAACUUGAGAGAAAAAUACAAUGAUAUAUGUGACUACUACUUACAUGUCUUAAGGAAGAAGUGAGGUUUUCCUUUCGAGAGUGCCCUGAAAGUUGACAGCUACCGGAAAUGAAGAAACUAAGAAAACUUUUCACACUUUUCACGCACUCUUUUUUUUAAGUAACUUACUAACUUUAGAAACUAAGAAACUUAAAUAAUUUAAGAAAACUAAAGAACUUUCUCACUCUUGAUUUUUUCUUGCUUUUUUUUUCUCUCUUUGGUACAUGUUUUAGUCUUCCAUAAAGGGGGGUAUUUAUAGGCAUUUGUGGACUUCAAAUCUUAACUUUUUUGUAGAUUUCAAAUUAUUUCUAAAGACUUUAGCAAGACUUUAUCAACUUGGGUGGGCCCGACGGCUAAUAUCUUUCUUUAAUUCUCCUCCAUCCAUUUAUUAAUCUGAUAUUGCAUACGUCUAUUAUUUUGUAUUUUGUAUUUAUCAUCAUUGCUUACGUAUCCAAAUUGUGUAAAGCUUCUGAGUCAAACUCGAUUCCUGAAUCAUCGUCUGCGUUUGGGUCUUGGGCAAAUUGAUCCAUGGCUGAGUUGUAUUCUCGUUCAUACUCGUCACUGUGUCCGUCUGAUAAUGUCAGUCUUGUUCCAGUUCUAGGUGAUCUUGUUUCUUCUCUUGGAAUUAAAGAAAUUCUGGGUCUUUGCUCUGGUGGUUCUGGAUUCAUUUCUAUCUCCUUAGGCAAUUGUUCUGCUAACAACUUCUUAAUCUGCUACUAUUUUUUCUAUAUAUUUUUUUCAAUUUUUUUUCUUAAUGAAAAUCCCUUCUUAUUCUGAGAAGAACUUUCUUCAUCUGUUGUCUGAGUACCUGUGGUUUUAAAACUAGCGUGGAGUAUUCUCGCUACACUUUUUGGUAAAGUGUCAGUCGUCAACGGAUUUGAUAAGUCUUUACCAGCUACCAUUUAAGCUGGACUAGCUAUAUCAUUACCCGAUACAGUAGGUCUUUCUAUAUUCAUUGGGGAACACACACCAAUAACGGAUUUGAGAAGUCUUUACCAGCUACCGUUUGAGCUGGAGUAGCUGUAUCAUUACUCGAUAUAGUGGGUUUUUCCAUUUUUAAAGAAUAUGGAGAACUCUUUGGCUGGAUCUUAUAAAUUGGCUCAGUCUGUUGUGAAAGUUCAAAAUAAAGGAUUUUUAUAUGGUCUUGUAAAAUACCUAUAUGUUCUAACAUCUGUCCUUUUUCUUUUACAAGGUUUUUAUUAUCUUGUCUUAAAAGUUCAUUGGCUUGAUUCAGUCUUUUAAAAGCUUCGGUCAUAGAGGAACAAUGAUCACAAAAUAUAAUUUUGUCUGCCUCUUUGUUAAUAUUAUAUUGAGGAAUUUUUUGUGUUUCGGGUCUUAAAGCUGGAGUAAUAAAAUAAUUUGGUCCCAGUUUUCUCCGAGCAUAGUCUAGAGUCUGAAAGAGGUCAUAAAAACCUUUAUAAAGAGGUGUUUUAUAAUCUUUUAUGGCAUCCAUUACCUCUAUCCAAGUCUGGAACACGCCUUGCUGAUGUCCUCUGAGAACAACAUAGAAUUUAAACCUAUUAGUAGUAUUUUUCUAAGUAAAAUAAUAACUUAAUGCAUUUAGAACUGAAACAAAAUAACUAUUGUCUCUUCUAUUAUAUGUUAUUCAUAAAUUAUCUAGUAGACAUAUCUGUGGCUUAUCCACUUGUACUUACGGCUUUUGUCUGAAAGUUAAGUUGGAUGGUUCAUAACAUACCAAGUUGUGGGGUCCAAAAAUUAUUCAAUCUAAUUUUGGCUGUUUUAGCAUCGUAAGUAGUUUGAAACGAGUGUUGCUCAUUAGUGUCUUUAGAUAAUCUGGUGAUGAUGAGGCUUCUGCCUUGCCUUUUCCUUUCAAAAAUCAAUUAGUUGUCUUCUUCAAUUAAUCUACUUAGUUGAUCUGCUAAGUUAUUAUCUUUUCCUUUAAUAUGUACUAAAACAAUAUUAUAGAUUGAAGUAGCAUAUAGGAAAUUUAACCAUCUCCUUUUACUACUAUUCUUAUCUUUUAUUUUCUGAUAAAAUUUUACUAUAUCCUCGCAGUCUGUUCUUACUAGUAUUCGGGCUUAUUUAAUAUAUAAAGUUUAAAACUAUUCGAACCAUAAAUUACUGCUAGUGUCUCCGCAUCUAUGCUAUGUAACUUUCCCUUUUCUUUAUAUUUUCCACUUGAAUAAGUACAAUUUUUUUCAUCCUUUUUAUCACUAUAUUUGUUAGGCUUUGCUUUAAAUACUACUCCCCAUCCUUGAAGGCUUUCAUCUGUCUUGACUAUUAAAUAAUCAGUUUCUAAUGGUAAUGGUAAGUCUGGGAUAUCUUGUAUCAUGCUUUUAAGUUGUUGGAAUAAUUUUAUUUCCUUAGUAUUAAAAGUUUUUUGGCCUGUUGAUCCUCUUUGAGAAUGUAACGGUCCUACUACUUGUAAUACCCAUGCCUUUUUCCUAGAAAGAAAUAAUCUCAAGGAUGCUAGGACUUACUUUAAAAUGCAAACCUAUCUUUGUACACUUGGUAUUUUUGAUAUUUUCAUUUUCUAUCGUGUGGGAAAAUGAGUUAGCUUUCCAGCAGUACCAAUUUUGUCCAAAUCCAACAUCAGACGAGAAAGUUAUGGACGUUUUACUUGGAACUGUCAGAAACGCCUAGGUAUGAUGGCCAAGUUGACGGACUGCCACUUUGACAGUCACAGCUAAGGAAUUUGAGCCACGUACUGGAUAAGGACUGACGGACGAGUUGAUGGAUCGUCAAAAUUGUGACGGACCGUAAUCCAGGCCGUCAACUCUUAUCCAGUGAACCCCAUUUCUGGUCCACGUCUAACGGGCUAAGUGAAGGACCUUCAAGUGUCUGACGCACUGUCAAGUUUCUGAUGGACCUUUAGUCGGACCGUCACACACCAUAUUCAGUUUAUUUCUAGGUCAUUUUAAUAGGGGUAUUUUGGUCACUUACCACUCGCCUAUAUAUACCUAUAUAAGUCCGAAUUCAUCCAUUAUGCUCAUUAUUAUUUCACAAACAAAAACUAGGUUUCUCUUUGAAUUUAAUCCCCAAGAACAAGACCCAAUCUUCUUCAAGAAUCAAAGAAUUUCAAAUCCUUCAAGUUCAAAAACAUUAAGAACCUUGAGUCAGGUAUGCAUAGUGUUCAUUUAUGGACCCCUUUCGUUCAUAGAGUUCAAGAACCAUGCUUUUAAAUGAGAAACUUUGAUUUCCUUGUUGUUAUGUGAUGUUGUUCAUGUUAAUGAUCAUUGUUUAAGCUUCAAGAUAUUAAUAUAAGUUGAAUUCCAUGAUGUAUGCAUGCUUGUAGUUAAAACCCAUAAAUUUGGGUGGUUCAAGAUGAUUAAAAUUGUUGAGAAAACCUAUGCCCCAAAGUGUGCAUGCAAGGUGUUUGUUAAAAUGCCUAGAAUGCUAAAAAUCAUGUUCCCAUGACCCCAUAGUAUUUAAAUGACAAGCUAUGUUAACUCUUAAGAUGAUUCCACAUGAACUUCCAUACUAUUAAUAUGUGUUGCCAGUAUGAUUAUGCAAUGAACAUGAUAUUAAGGUUGUGCAAGUACUUCCAGGUGACACGAAAUCCUUUCCAUGCAAUACAUUGUUGAUAACCAUGCUUAGUAUGAAAUCCCUUAUGUACGAUAUUAUAAAUUGUGGACUCAAAUCUUAUGAUCAAGUCAUGUCAUGUGCGUCAGUUUCCUUCUAUUGAGUCCUGGGGAUAUUCGUACCCAAAAAAUAUAGCUUUGUGCCAGCGCCAAGUCACUUUAUCCUAAUAAUAUCAGUCAAGCCAUGAUCUAUUGAACUUAGUCAGUCAUGUGACUCAGGAAACCUCUGAAAUCUUAUGAUCUCAGCAAAAUCUCAGAGAGUAGUACUAUUCCGUCAGUCAAUGAAAGUCAGUUACCCAGUCCUUGUAUAGUUAGUUAAUCAUGUUUGGUCUCUUCAAAUAAGAGUAGAAGUUAGCACCGAGUGAACCCAAGGAUGGGAACUCACCUGCCAGUUUAGGGUGUAAUUCUUAGCAGUUAUCCUUGUGUUCCAGAACUAUGUAGCCAGCGUAGCUUGAGACAUCUUAACCUGUCAGACUAGGGUUAAUGAGGUGGAUUAACCUGUCAUUUUAGGGUUCCCACCAUUCUCAUCUGAGUACUUGCCAGUUGAGGGUCACUCACAACUGUCCUUACCAGUGGCGCGGUAUUGACACCCCUCCAAUCGGGGCAGAGAUUGGACCCCAACUUAGCUAUAUGUAUUAUUAGGGCAUGUCGGUUAAACAACUACCUCCCACAGUUUUAGGCUUAGUCUCAGUAAAAGAACUCAGAUAUACAGAAGUUUGUUAGGUCUAAAUAGGCAGAAAUAUCACAUUAACAUCUAGUUAUACUCGUUCAAAUAUGACCCUUACAAAAUCAAACACUAAAACUUGAUGGAUUCAAAAACUCAUAGCUUGCUCACACUUGGUACAAACAGUGGAAGUCUGAGAGGUUAGAGGAUGCAGGUCCUAUAGAGUGGGAGAAAUUUAUCACAGCUUUCUUAGACAGAUUCUUUCCCCAAGAGCUGAGGGAGGUGAUGAAGCUCAAAUUAAACUCUUGAAUGGGUGUAAGUGAUUGUGGUCAAUAUAAAACCAAACUAGGUUGGGGUCGAAUCCCAUAGGGAAUAGGGUGUGAACUUUGAUUUGUUUACAAAAGACUUUACUGGUAGUUUACUGUUUCUGAAAGAUGGAGGUUUAAGUUCACAGUGUGUUAAAUAUCACUUUAAAUACUUCAGUGUUUGUAAUCAAGACAAAUGGGAAACCAGAGCUAUGUUCACCAUGGGUUUCAGGAAUUUCCAUAUACUACGUAAUGCUAGAGAUUCUCAGAAUGAGUAGAACAGCAGAAUAUCCCUAACGAUUAUACUAUCUGACAUAUCUCUCAACCUCAUCAGAUAAUUUAUUAGCUAAUUUUCUCGAACAUAGAUAACUUAUCUAUUUCCAAUAGGAUGUUAUCUCAGGUAGAUUAAUCCAGUUGUGGCAUUAAUCAUUAACCAGAAGGUUGGUAGCUUUCGAGUCCCUAUUGAUAAUUCACGUCCCCUAGUCUAUUUCUCUGUUAGAAGCAAAUAAAACCUAAGGCAUAAUCUAAUGUUUGCAACCACUAGAUUUCAGUUCAAACAACAGAAUUUAAUGAUGUUCUACUACUCUUUGAAUUCGUUAACCACCUAGCAUCAUAUCAAACCCUAAUCCAUGGAUCCUAUAACUCCGGCUAAUGAAAUUAACCUCUCAUGAUUUGAUAAACAAAAUAACAAGUUGAAUUAAUGAUUAUAAUGAUAAAUUUACGAAUGGACAGAAAACAACUAGUUCCUCCGAUUUAAUCACAAGGUAGAAAUCCCAAAAAUAGUUGAUACGAAAACACAAGAAUAUUUUAUGAAAGAGAGCAAAAAUGUGUGUCUCUCUUCUUAGAGUUGAUGUAUGAUAGAUAAUGAUUCCCCCUUUAAAAACUCUAAAAGAUGCUAUUUAUACUAAAUCCUAAUUAAGGAAAUAAAAUAACUACAAUUAAUAAAAUUCUCAGAAUAGGUGAUGCCCAUGCUGACGCCCUGUCAAGAGUCUGACGCCCUAUCCCGGAUAGCGUUAGAAAUACUUCAGUUGCCUUCAAAAUCUGUCUUAGGCUGGCGAUGUAGAUGACGCCACGUCACCGAUCUGAUGGCAUAUCACCAACGUUGUCAGAUUUCUUCUUCAAACUAAUUUCUCUGGUUUAGGUUAAUGCCCUUUGUAAUGCCUUAUCACUAACUUGACGCCUUAUCACUAACGUCGUCAGAACUUCUUAUCAAGCUUCAAGUUUUUGGUUAAGGUUGACGCCAAUGCUGAUAAGCUAUCACAAGGCUGACGACGUAUCACAGAGGUCUUCAGCCAUGAUUUCUUCUCUAUUGCUCAAAUUUUCAACUCUUUUUCUCCAUUGUCGUUUGUUUUUAUUCCUCCACCCUUAUACUGCAAUAUCAUGAGCAAACACAUCAAAACAACAAGAGUUGCUUCAGAAUUCACAAUUAUUUUAAGCUAAAAAGCAUUAAAUAUGUUAGAUUUUGCUCACACAUCAACACUCUCAACAUAAAAUAAUUGCUUGUCUUCAAAAAACAAACUAACUAAGAGAAUACAAAGAACAUUCAGCAGUCAACAACCAUUUUAGCUCAAAACUCAGUUACCACCUCUAAAGUCAACCAAUUUAACUUACUGUGUAUCUGGUUGAAAAGAAGCAAUGUAACACAAAGGAUUCCAACCAUGGCAUCGACUAAGUACCAAUAAUCAUGCUUAUGUCAAUAUGACACUACUCAAACAAGUAAGUCACCUAGCAACAUACUAGUGUGCCCUCACAACAAAGAAUUCCCCUUUUUUCUCUCAUGAAAAGUCACAAUAUAAUCACGGUGAUAAUCACAAAAGCACUCACUCUCAGAAUGAAGUUCAAACCAAUGCAUGCCAAAUACCAUAUGCUUUCCCUUAUCAUCAUUACCAAAGUGUCUGGACCGAUAAUCUAGGAUCACUAUAGGUCUUUCUUUGGCUGGUAACAUAGGCUAGGGGCUGGUAUGAUAUUAGAUGGCAUUUAGAGUAACUAACCUCCUUGGCACUACCUUAACUUGUGGGGUCCACUUAUUAACCUCUUUUUCUCUCUUUUUCUUUUAUUUUCUUUUUGUUUUUAUCACACAUUCAGAAUGGGUGUGGUUAUUCUUUUUAUUCAAACAAACUUCUUUUCUUCCUCUUUUUUACCACCACCCAAUUUUUUAUUUCUUUUUAACUUAUUCUUUUUCUUCUACUCUACCUAUCUUCAUACCCAAUUUACAUCAAGCACCCCUAUGAUAGCCACCCUCAACUUAGGCUGUUUGCCUAAGUCAAGGUGCACAGUGUCCAAGGAGGACUAGGGCCAAAACAGGUUCAUUAUAAUUUUAAAAGGGAAGGUGAUAGGUAUCAUAGAAAGAAAAUGGUCAAUUAAGGCUCAAACCGGGAUCAAGGGAUAUCAUACAUUAGAGGAAGGUCAUUUAGGCUAAUAGUGACUUAAAUUUAAAAAUGGCCUAUGAUCCUUUCCUAACCCCUAUAUUUCAACUAUGGUAAGAUGAACUGGGCAAGUUCUAGAUUUGACACUACAAAGAGAACUCGGCAUAGUCUCACACGCACAUGGUACACAAGCAAUAUCACUGGCUACUACCUAUCUGGUUCAUGUAAUUGUUUAGCAAUGAUGAUUAGGUAACUAAACUAAUGCCAUUAUGAGAUGCAAAGUGGUCAUACUAAGGUUCAAUUCAUACAGUCAUGCAAAACAAACCUUCGGAGAGGUGUUCAAAAUCACAAAAUUAGUUAACUACCUACAAAAAUUGCACUACUCCUAGUUAUUUACAGAAUAUGCUACAACAACAUGCUACCCUACACCCUGAACUUAAAAUAAAAAAAAAACUGAAACUAAGGGUUAGGGCAUACCUGGAGUCAAUCAAGUCUCAAAUCAUGGAUCCUCGACCCUAUAAUAGUGUUAUCCUCAUCAGGAGCUUCUCCAGUUGUCCUCUUGGGAUGGUUACGUUGCCCUUUUCAGAUCCAUUUUCUCCUGUUCUGUCAGCUCAUCAUCUGCCUGCAGUGUCUUUUCUGCCUUCUUCUUCUUCUUCUUCUUUACCUUUUUCUCGGCCUUGCUCUCAUUCUCAUCAUUUGAUUGUUUCUUUCUCUUACCUUUUUCAGUUUCUUUAUCUUUUUUCUUUUUUCUUUUUCACUGGCUCCACAAUAAGAUCAAGGAUUGGAGGUUCAUCCUCAGACUCCUUAGUUGUUUACCCUGUAGGAAUCAUAAACUGGUGUUGUUGUACUACCACCAUCUUAGCUUUUACCUUUUCUAGGGCCACUCUAAAUUCAGAAAGCUCUGCUUUAGUUAGCUCCUGUGCCCUUGCAUCAAAAUGGUUCUCCAGAUCUACAAACCAUCCAGGAAAAGUAGAAAAAGACUCAAGAGAAGCCCCGAUUCUUUUAUCUACAGCAGCAGAAAAAUGCUCAGCAAAGGCACCUAGCUGGGUCUCACACCAUGUAGCCUGUUUGGCCAUUUUUUUUAUAUCAAUAGGCUGGGAUGCAGCUUUUGCUGGUGCUGUAGGAACUGAUGGACCUGGCUUUUCAUCAGAAAAUGAGCCUACCUGAGCUGUAUCAGAAGCUUGUACCUCAACUUCAGGUACUGAACUAAGGCCUGCAAUUGAUGGAUUUACCUCACCCCUUACCCCUCUAUCAGGUGUCAGCCUUGGCUGACUUUUCUCAUAGAGAAUAGGGUUGUGGGUCUUGGUGGCAUAUAAAGUCUCAUCAAUCCCAGCAACCUGGUAAUCAGACAAGGGAAGGAAUAAGCUAUGUCAAACCUCGUUACCGAAUCUUGAUCUUUUCAGCAAUAAUCUCCCCAAAAUUCAGCUUAAGGUUGGCCACAAGACAUGCGACAAAUAUUGCUCAAUCAUCACCCAAAAUGUUAUCUCCGUCGGUUGGCAUCAAAUGGGUGCGCACAACACCUCACCAAAAUUUUUCCUCUUUAGUCAAAGAAGUCUUGUAAGUAUGCUCACUGGGUUGGGUCAUCCAUAAAGGGUCUCCCUCAACUAUAAGUGUAGCUAACCAAGGACGCUGGUCAUCCUUACUCUUCAGAUGAUGGUAGAAUACAGGAAUUGUGACCUGAGGAUUAAAGUUGGGUCCAUGUAGAAACCUAUUGAUAGUCAUAUGAUAAAUAUCUAUAUUUACCCCACGAACCAGAACUCUGGUCAGCAAAGGCUGGUCUGCUGUGGUCUCUCCACUCUUACACAUGCUCUCUAAUCUAGCCUGGUAGUUUGGAUAGAAUUCCCGAACUACUAUAGGGAAAAAUGGUUUACCUACCUUAGAAGUCCAUCACAACCCAUAAUCUCUAAAUUUCUUCUCAACUGCAGGAUACCCAGGAAAUCCUGUGAUGAUGACUCUCUUCUCUGGAAACACCGGCCGCCUAGUAGAUCUUCUUUUUGUUCUAAUCAACCCUUUGAGGAAAAUGUCCUUUGCUUCAGGGAUUUUCUAUCUAGCAUUCUCUCAAACCUCCAGAUUCUUGCAUUUUAUCAAAGUUCCCUGAAAUGGGGGUUCCUUCUCAUCUUGAAUCUCAGUCACAGGAGUUUCAUAGGAUGUUUCCUCAGAAUCAGCUUUGUUAGACUCAUGUUCUUCCUUUGGUUCUUCAGAUUCAGCCUUCUCAAACUCAGGUUGUUCGGACUCAGUUUGCUUAGAACCUUCUUGCUUAGAAGAUUCACUCUCAGCUAGGGUGGUAGUCUCAGUAUAAUCACUAUCCUCCACCACAAUGGGUUUAGGUGGAAGAGGUGACUUUGGACUAGGUUUCUUUCUCCUCCCCUGAGCAGUGGUUCUUUAUCUUCAUAAUCAAAGUCUUCAUAAAUAAGCUUUUGAACCACUUUAGUCUUGGCAGCUUUUUUUGUAAUGUUAGGAUUCUUGCUUUUAGGUGCCAUUAGAAUGUUCCUGGACUAUAAGACAAACAAAAGUUAAUGAUCAAGGUAUAACAUUCAAAACAUGCUAUUCAAGUUCACUUAGCAUUAUCAUCGAACUUGUGACGACGUGGCUAAUAAGGCAUUAUAUUUGUGAUAACCUAUCAGCUAUGUCAACAUCCUUAAACAGAACUGCCAUACUUUUUUCAAACUUGUGAUGAUAUUCCUGAUAAGGCGUCACAGUUGUGAUAGCCUAUCAGGUAUGUCAUCAGCCUUAAAUAGUGAACGCUCUCUUUUUCAAAGUUGCUGACAAUGUAGCUGAUAAGGCGUCACACUUGUGAUAGCCUAUCAGCAAUGUCAUCAGCUCAGAAUUUCCCCCCACUCAAUUUGCACUCAUAAUUUUGGGACCAAAUUCUUCGUAUAAUCACAUGGAAUUUUUAUUUUGUACUUAGGGUUUUUAAAUUUUUGCAAUUUAGGCACAACCCUAAUUUCUGAUUUCCAUGCUAUUACAACUUGAACUCAAGUUUCUUCCUUUAGAGAAUCAUGUUUUCAACAAAUUUACCACUUCAAUGAUAGGAGAACAAAGUUAUGAGCAUACCUGAUGAGUUGACUAUACUUGAUUACGUGAGCGAGAAGAAAAGAUAAGAGAUAGACUCUAAUUUUCCUUGCAAUCUCAUAACUAUCAAGAAAGAGGUUUCCUUGAAUACUUAGGAGUGUUUUGAAAGGAACUAAAUAUCCUACUAAGGAAAUAAAAUAAUACUUAAAUAAGGAAAUAAAAUAAAGUGGGAAUCUGAAGGGUUUGGAUCUGGGUCGGGUCAGAUUCGGGUCAAUUUGGGCCCAGAUUUUCAAAAACAAAAUGAGGGCCGACGACAACUUGUGAUAAGCCAUCACAACUGUGAUAGCCUAUCACGGAGGUCAUCAGCCUUAACAAAGAAGGUCUCCAUUGCUGGUCUUUCUGACGACAUUGAUGAUAAGCCGUCAUAGUUGUGAUAACCUAUCACGAAUAUCGUCAAGACCACUUGGCUUGUAUUCUUCAUUUUUUACCUUGACCUUUUUGUACCUCUUCAGUUCCUUCCUAUUACUACCUAAAUGAAUAAAAACAAAAUGCAUGAAAAUAAAAUAUUGGUUUGCCUCCCAAUAACGCCUGAUUUAGUGUCGCGGCACGACUUGGUUAUUUUGACUACUCAGACUUCAUCAAGAUACCAUAUCACUACCUCAUUACCAUCUUCCUGGAAUACAUCGACAACUGAGAAGAUAUUCAUCUCCUCCAACUGCUUCAUAGGAGGAUGCAUUUUGAAUAUGGCCUCCCUUUUUCCAUACCUGAACUUUAGCUCAUUGAGCUCCAUAUCAACCAAUACUCUUCCCAUGGCUAAUCGUGGUCUACCCAAGAUGAUGGGUACCUCAAAAUCAACAUCAUAAUCCAAUAUCACAAAGUCUGCCGGCAGAAUAAAGUGAUCCAUCUUUACUGGCACAUCAUGCAAUAUACGAACUAGUAGUUUCACCGAUCUAUCUGUUAUCACAAGACACAUCUUCGUGGGGAUAGGUUCCCCCAAUCCUAGCUUCUUGUAGAUAUCAAGCGGCAUCAGAUAAAUACUUUCUCCUAAGUCAUAUAAAGCUUUGGUAAACUUCAUGGACCCAACUGUGCAUGAUAUAGUAAAUGCUCCAGGGUCAGGCUUUUUUUGCACUAAGGUUUGUGAAGAAAUGGCACUAUAGUGGUGGAUGUUGUCCACUAGAUCAUAGCUUACCUUUUAUUUUUAUGUUAGAAAUUCCUUCAUAAAUUUAGCAUAGUUUGGCAUUUUCUCAAGUCCCUCCAUCAGUGGCAUGGUCACUGUCAAUUGUUUCAGUAUUCCCAUGAACUUGCUAAAUUUCUCAUUAUCUUUUUUCUUUUUCAAUCUCUGAGGAAAUGGAGGUGGUGGUCUUGGAAUUUGUUUCAAUAAAACUUCCUCUUUCUUUUCGUCUUCUUUCUCUGAAAUAUCAAUAAAGCCAUCCAGCUUCUCAUACUCCACUAUAUUGCAUCCUUCUGAUUCAUCAACACGUACCUCCUUCUCCACAGUUUUGCCCAUAGAAGGGCUAAAUAUCACCUUAACACUCCAAGUGGUAAUCCCCAUACAAGAGCCAUCAGUUUGUGGGUACUAAACCAUAUCACUAGGUAAAGUACCAGCUUUUCUCUGAUUUAGAGUAGCCAAAAGUUGGCUCAUCUGCUGCUCCAACUGCUUAAUGGACGCAGAGUGUGAGCUAACCAACUGACUGAGGGUAGAAAACUCACUUUUCAUAUUAGCUACCCCCGAGUUGGUUGCCUCAAAUCCCUUCAAUAACUUUUCCUUCAUGUCCUCUAUGGACAUCUUGCUAGAACUAGUUAUCGCAAUAUCCUGACUUCCAUGAGGAAUAUACAAACCACUUCUGUCAUUAUUAUUUCUCUAAUGUCCCUGCUCCCUAUCUUUAUAAUCAGGCUUGUCAUAGAAAGUCCGACCCUUUUUCCAUUGGCUAUUGCCUCAGAAACGCUCCUAAUUACUCACAUAGUUUGGCUCAGCCUCAACACCUAUAGACACAGUACCCUGAGAUUCCACAGCCUUAACCAUCUCAGUCUUGCCUGAUAGCAAGUGUUUUGCCAGUAAGUCCAACUGCGUCUUCAAGUGAGACAUGUACUGAUCUCAUUCGUUAUCCCUUUUACACUGCUCUGCAAUAAUACCACCAGUAAUAAUUGGUCUAUCCACUACAGAAUCCCUAAUGUGCCAAGCUCAACUCUGCUUGGGCAUUCUAUUCAGUAUGCCGAAAGCAUCCAGAAAAGAGAGGUCAAUAAAUGAACCACCUGUAGCGUUGUCCACAAUAGGCUUCGUCACAGAGUUGAAAGCUCUGUAAAAAGUCUCCAUCAAGUUCAAGUCUGUCAUAUUGUGGUUCAGACAUUGUGCAAGUUUCUUCUUAAAUCUUUCCCAGGUUUCGUGUAGUGCUUCAGUCGGAAGCUAUCUGAAGUUGAUAAUUUUGUUCCUCAACUGUACUUUUCUGAAGGGUGGAAAGAACCUUUCUAGGAAUGAAUCUUUAAACUAUCUCUAGUUGGUUACAGAAUUAGGCUCUAACUCAUUAAGCCACAUUGUUGCCUUCCCAGAUAGAGACAAAGGAAGUAAUCUCAACCUGAUCGUAUUCUGGCUCACCCCCGGAUUGUCAAAGGAUUUUCAAAUGGUGAUGAAAUUCACCAAAUGCAUAUUUGGAUUAUCACCAGGCAAACCUCCAAAUAACCCCUUUAGAUUCAGGAGUUGGAUCAUGGUACUUGUUAUGCUAAACUUUGCACCUGGUGCCAACGGUGGAGGAAUGAUAGCACCUGUUGCACCAGCUCCAUCCAUUCCUUCAUCAUCUUCAUUAGCCUUAUAUUGCAUAGGCUUUUGACCAUACCUUCCUCGAACUGGACAAUUUUUGUUGAUGUUUCGCUGCACUGGUGCAGCAACUUGCUUAUCUCUCAUUGGGUUUUGAGGAUUCAGCAAUUCCUCAUCACCCAAGUCUUCAUCAUCAUGGUUUUGGUGACGUGCUUAUUGACCCAAAAUUUUCACAUUCACCUGAGCCAUGGCUAAAGUAGCUAGUCUUUCUGCUUCCUAUUGUUCAGCCAUUCUUCCAAUUAGUUGAGGUUCCGAAUUGAUUGGUAAUAGAGGUUCUCCGAAACUUCUCAUGCUUGGCAUAUACAACACAGUACCUACAAUAAACAAAAACAAAAAAUAAACGUAAAUCACGAAAACUUAAUUAUCAGUAAAUUUUUGCACACAAACUUUUAGUCUACAACCGUAUUCCUCAGCAAUUGCUCCAUGUUUUAUAACGCUCAAAUUACACUCUUGAAUGGGUGUAAGCGAUCCUUGUCAAUAUAAAACCCAACUAGGUUGGGAUCGAAUCCCACAGGGAAUAGGGUGUGAACUUCGAUUUGUUUACUAAAGACUUUAGUGGUAGUUUACUGUUUCCAAAAGAUGGGGGUUUAAGUUCAUAGUGUGUUAAAUAUCACUUUCAAUACUUCAGUGUUUGUAAUCAAGAUAAAUGGGAAACCAGAGCUAUGUUCACCAAGGGUUUCAGGAAUUUCCAUAUACUACGUAAUGCUAGAGAUUCUCGGAAUGAGUAGAACAUCAGAAUAUCCCUGAAGAUUAUACUAUCUGACUUAUCUCUCGACCUCACCAGACAAUUUAUUAUCUAAUUCUCUCAAACUUAGAUAACAUAUCCAUUUCCAAUAGGAUGUUAUCUCAGGUAGAUUAAUCCAGUUAUGGCAUUAAUCAUUAAACAGAAGGUUGGUAGCUUCCGAGUCCCUGUUGAUAAUUCACGUCCCCUAGUCUAUUUCUCCUUUAGAAGCAAAUAAAACCUAAGGCAUAAUCUAAUAUUUGCAACCACUAGAUUUCAGUUCAAACAACAGAAUUUCAACCUAAGGCCUUUCUGAUGUCUUAUCACCAACUUGACGCCUUAUCACCAACAUCGUCAGAACUUCUUCUCAGGCUUCAAGUUUUUGGUUAAGGUUGAUGCCAAUACUGAUAAGCUAUCACAAGGUUGAUGACAUAUCACGGAGGUCGUCAACCAUGAUUUCUUCUCUUUUUCUCAGAUUUUUCAACUCUUUUGCUCCAUUGUCAUUUGUUUUUAUUCCUCCACCCUUUUACUGCAAUAUCAUGAGCAAACGCAUCAAAACAAUAAGAGUUUCUUCAGAAUUCACAAUUAUUUUGAGCUAAAAAACAUUAAAUGUGUUAGCUUUUGCUCACACAUCAGGAGGCCAAAGUUCUUGAGUUUAUCAACCUCAGGCAGGGAAAUGUGACGGCUAGGGAAUUUACCUUUAUGCAUCAACACGCAACCCAACCCAACUCUAGAAGCAUCACAGUACACCACAAAAUUAUCUACACCAUUUGGAAGGGUCAACACAGGGGCCGAAGUGAGUCGAGUCUUCAACUCUUGAAAACUCUUCUUGCAAGAAUCAGACCAUAGGAAUUUAACUUUCUUUUGGGUCAAUCGAGUCAAAGGAGACACAAUAGAGGAGAAACCCUCAACAAAAUAACGGUAGUAGCCAGCUAGACCUAAGAAACUCCUAAUAUCAGAUGGCGAAAUAGGUCUAGGAUAAUCUUUCACAGCUUCUAUUUUUUGAGGAUCAACUCGAAUACCUUCAGAAGAAACAAUAUGACCCAGAAAAGCAACUAACCUUAGCCAAAAUUUGCACUUUCUAAAUUUGGAAAAUAGUUGAUGAUCUUUAAGGAUUUGCAAGACUAUUCGGAGAUGAUCUGCGUGGUCGUUCUCACUUCGGGAGUAUACAAGAAUAUCAUCUAUGAACACAAUAAGAAAUAUAUCCAGGUACUAUCUGAACACCUGAUUCAUGAGGUCCAUAAAAGCUGCUGGGGCAUUUGUUAGCCCGAAGGACAUGACUAAGAACUCAAAAUGACCAUAUCGGGUACAAAAAACUGUCUUGGGAAUAUCACACUCCCUAACUUUAAGUUGGUGAUAACCGGAUCUCAAGUCUAUUUUCGAGAAGUAACUGGCACCUUGUAGCUAAUCAAACAGGUUAUCAAUUCUAGGAAGAGGGUACUUGUUCUUGACUGUGACCUUGUUAAUCUGACGAUAGUCAAUGUAAAUCCACAAUGAACCAUUUUUCUUUUGCUCUAAUAGAAUGGGUGCACUCCAAGGAGAUAUGUUAGGCCUUAUAAAACCCUUAUCUAGAAGAUAUUUGAGUUUCUCUUUUAAAUCCUUACGUUCUAUGGGGGCACUACGAUAUGGAGGAAUAAAAAUAGGUUGCAUGUCGGGGAGAAGAUCAAUUACAAAUUCUAUCUCUCUAUCGGGAGGUACCCCUGGGAUAUUUUUUGGAAAAACAUCGCAAAACUCAUUAACAAUGUUAAUCUACUGAAUGGUUGGAGUCUCGAACUUAGUAUCUUUAACUAGAACCAAAUGAUAGAUGCAACCCUUGGAUAUCAAUUUCCUAGCUUUAAGAUAGGAUAUAAAAUCACUCCUGGGAGAUAUAGAAUUUUUGGACGACUCAAAGGCUGGCUCAUUGGGAACUGAAACUUGACUACACGACUAUGAUAGUCUAUAAACGUAUAACAAGAGUGAAGCCGCCAAUCCAUACCUAAAAUAAUGUCAAAAUCAACCAUGUCUAGCUCAAUCAAAUCUGCAAACGUUACUCUAUGAAGGACAAUGAUAGGACACUUCUUAUAUACUUACUUUGCAAUAACAGGUUUACCUACUGGAGUAGAAACUACAAGAGGAUCAGGAAUAUUUUCAGCAUUGAUCUCAAAAUUCACAGCCAUUAACGGAGUCACAUAAGAAAGACUUGACCCAGGUUCCAUCAACACAUCCACAUCAAAAUGAAAUACACGGAGUGUACCAGUAACAACAUAUAGUAAAUCCUUCUGAUCCUGGCAGGGUAGCAUAGCAUAAAAGCAAUUUUGAUGCUGACCAACGGUAGUACUAAAUGAGGCACCCUAAGGAGGAGUAGAACGAACCAAAGGGCUGGAUUACUAAUAUCCUGACUCUGGGGACGAACAUCACGGCUCCCUUGUCUAGCAUAUGGGCAAUCCCUAAAUUUUUGGCCCAACUUAUUGCAACCAAAGCAACCCCUCUGACCGACUAAGCACUCAUUGGGAUGGUCCCUACCAAACUUUUUAUAUGGGGGAAGCUGUUACUCACACUAUCCUGAGAUCUGGACACAAUAGGUCUAUCAUCUUGCUCCUUCCUAAAUCUGGAUGCGGGAGCACUAGCUGAUGAUGGUGCUAGCACAAAAGAAAAGCUUUGAAACUGAGGGAGGAUCCCUCCAAAAAAUCUACUCUGACUAUACCCCUGCUUCUCUGAUCUGACUCUCUUAUUCCCUCUCUCUCUCUCUCUCUUUCACCUUGUCUGCUUCAAUCUGCUGAGCAUGUAUCAUUAAUCUAGAAAGAUCGAUAUACCUAUUGAGAAUAGCGGACCUACAAUCUUUCACAACAUAACUCGAUACGCCAGUCAAAAUCUUACUCAUACUAGUCCUGGAAUCAGCCAUCAUACCAGGAGCAUACUUAGACAACUGGUUGAAUUUAAGACAAUACUCCUUAACUAUCAUGGAGCCUUGUCUCAAGUUCAUAAAUUCUUAUAGUUUUGCUUCCCUCAGCUCUGGGGAAAAGAAUCGGUCUAAGAACACAUCCUAGAAUAACAACCAAGUCAUGGGAGCAGCAUCCUCCCAUUUACUCUUCCUUCACAACUCCACCCAAUCAUAAGCAACAUCUUUCAAGUGAUAGAAAGAUAGCUCUACACUUUCUUCCUCCGUUACAUUCAUAAUUUACGUGAUCUUUUUCACCUCAUCAAGAUACAUUUGGGGGUCCUCACCUGCCCUUGACCCAUAAAACUCUGGUGGAUUCAUCUGCAUAAAAUCCUGAAUUUGAGCUACUACAGAAUUAUCUUCUUGUGGAGAUGGAACAUCAGCCUAAACAUUGGCCUGAGCAUUGGCAGUAACUGCCUGGGCUAGCGCCUAAAAAGCCGCCCAAAAUUUGGCAUGAGUCACCGUCUCAUUUAAAGGAUCAACGGGUUGAGGUCAUUCAUUAUUUCUGUAAGCUCUACGAGGAGGUAUUUUCUGUCAUAAGAGAGCACAUAUUAAUAGUAAAGAGAAACAGUCGUAGGCACGAAAGACUACUAAAAGAGAGAAAUGACUUUUGCUAAAACAUCCCACAACCUCUUGCUCAUAGAUGUGGAGAGCUACACAUCGAUGAUCAAGACUCUACGUAACGUGGCUUGCCAGACUCCCUAGGAUUCUUUUAAAUCUUAGGCUCUGAUACCAAGCUUGUAAUGCCCCAAGAUCCCAUCCCAAGAUAUCACAUGGUUCUUAAGGCCACACGUGGCCUUAAGCUAACCCUCUGAGCCUAUCAUUACUUCUUUAACUCACUAUGACAAUAAUCAAUCUGUAAUAAGGAAGAAUAGUUAUGUCAUAAACAUACUGGAAUACAAAGAGAUACUAUCUUGUACAAUCAAAAUGGUAAAGUUCUAUACAUACUGGUACUCUAGUCUGACAAAGCCUCUACUACAUAAGACUAAGGAGCCAUUGGGACAGAUCCCCAACUGACUCAUACUGAACUGGGAAUAAACAACCCUAUACUAUCAUGACAAAAAUUAGGGACAUAGGUCCUCAAGCCAUGAAGACACCAACUGUACAAAUAUAGAUGGAGGUACUCGAAGAUCACUGCCGCUGCUGAGACUGAGCACCUAAACCUAUAUCACGAGAAAAUGUAGAACACGGAAGAGUAUGGGAAUUAGUACUUGGGAAUGUACUAAGUAUGUGGAGGUGGAUGCAACAUUUUAAAUAAUAUCAUAAAUGUAUAAGAAAAUCAUGCAUGCUGACAAUAAUACCUCCCUCCACUUGAAUUAUCUGAAACAUUAUUCCCAUAAGUCAUCAGUAAUAACACAUGCUUCAUAAAUCUCAUAAAUCAUUUAAGUCAACUCAAACUCUUUGACUCAUGAUUUAGAGUGACUCGGUAACUCAAGGUACUUAGAUCAUCAUAGAUGUGGGAGUUUCUUAUAACCGACAUAACUACACUAUGUGAGCCGCAUGGAGUCCAAUGUUUUGCUCUCCUAAGGAGAGAGCCCCACAUUAGCGGGGGUGUCGUACUCUUGCCAAGGAGUACAACCUUAAUUUCUCAAUCAUAAUCCCAUACUCAGCCUCUGGCCCACAAUCAUCAAUAUCAAUCCUAUGGUGGUAUGUAGUUUUGGAGAAAUACCAUAUUUCCCGCUUGGUGCUAAAUACUCCUAUCAAACUCAGCUCAGAACGCGGUCGGAAAUCCACCUUAAUCAAUAUCAACUCAUGGGUCUAUUAUAAAGACCAUAACAUAAAUAUAUAUAUCUCAUUUGUAAAUCUUAAACAUCUUGUAGAUUCCUAACUCGACUCAACUCAACACAAUCUUUCUCAACAUCAAGUACAUUUGCUUAUAAAAUCAUUUCAAAUAUCAAAAGAUUCAAGGAAAUAUAAUAGGACUCAAUUCUUGACUCUCAAGUUCAAUAUCAAUACGUAUUCAAUAAUCAACUUCUCAUGGAAGGCUUAAAUCAUGAAACUUAUCUCAACUCAUUCGGAAAUCAUCAAUUCAUAAUAAGAAUAUUCAACUCAUAGCCUAAAUCCUCAAUUCAAGAAAUAUGAUGGUAAAUAUAUCAUAAUAUCAAACUUAAUCAACUCAAAUCUCAUAAAUCAUUAAUAGAUAAUUUUGGGUGUAAUCCCACUUUGCAAAUUCAUGUAAAUCAAUAAUAGAAAUUAAAUCUUUAGGCACAAGAACGAAAGGAGUGUUCUUGUUCAAAGCCCACAUACCUUGAUUAUGGAUUGGAAUGAAUAAACUUGUUAUAGACUCCUUUUCCACUUCUUGAGUUAGGGUUCUUGAUAUUAUUGACUUGGGUACCUUGAAUCUUGAACCAAUUUGUGAAAUUUAUGGUCGGAUUCUUGAUGUUCUUGUAAGAUUUGGAUUGGAUUUUGAGAGAGAACCCCUAGUAUUCUUGAUGAAAUGGAAGAAGAAUGAAUUUUUAUUCUUUACUUGGAUAUAUAGAGAGGGUAAAAAUAGGUGGAAAAUACCAAAAUACCCUUUUAAAAAUGCCCCUUAAUUGCUGAAAAAAAAAUGGUUGACGACAUUCGUGACAGGCCGUCAGACCUGCGAUAGGCCUUCACGAAAUGUCGUCACAAAAGAAUUGAAUUUUUGAUUUUAUGCCUAAGGCUGAAAAAUUUGUCAGAAAUGUCAUCAGAAAGUUACGACUUCGUUAGAAAUGGCAUCAAAAAUGUGACAGCCCGUCAGAAACAUCGGCAGCCUUUUCCAGAUUGAUAUGCUAGAGUAAAAUGGGUAUAACUCUUUGCUCCGAUAUUGGGUUUUGACAAAAUCGGUAUCGUUGGAAAGAUAAUUCAAUUAUGUAUCUUUUUAUAGAUCAUGAGAUCAAAAAUUCCAAGUAUAAUGAGAGAUAUUCCCAUUUAAAGUUGACUAUAUCAAUAUCCUUCCCAAGAAUUCAAUCGGUAAGGAAUGUUUUGAUUCACCCAAUUGUUAGGACAUCUUUAAGGCCUUAAUACACACCAUACUUAAUAAUAAAAUGAUCCAAAACAUUAUAAUUCAUUUCUCAUGAGCUGGAUUCGUGGUUGCACUAUUGUUAGAGUCUCGAGGUAUUACAAAAUAACAACAUUUAUUCCAACAUCAUCAACAAUAAAGAAACAACAUCCUUUGUUCCAAAACCAUCAACAACACCACACCAUAACUUCCAACAAUACCAACGUCACCAAUAACAUCAAUAACAGCAUAAACAAUAAAGGAAAAAACAAAAUACAUACCAAAAAAAUAAUACUGCCAACAAGGCUUUUAAACUUCUCCCAAUAGAAUACUUUUUUUGCAUAUUGUAAUAAAAAAUCUCGGUUCAUUUAUUCAACACUAAAAGUUUCUUCAAAUUUUUUAAAUAAAUAUCAUAUGGGUAAAUGGUAAUUAAAUAAAAAAUAGAUGUAAAUAACUUGCAAAGAAGAAGACGAGAAUGAAAGAGCAAUAGUGAACCAUACCUUAGAAUUAAAAGGGGAUAAAAACAGUAAUUUCAAUUGAGGAAAAUAUGGAUCGAUUUAGAUAUGAAAGGAUCUUUAUGAGAAAGAGAAGUGAAAAGAGAGAAGAGAGAAAAAAGGUUGUGAACCCUAAGCUAAAGAGGAGAGAAAGAAAAAGAUGAGAGAUGAAUAAAAUAAAUUUAGGACUAAAGCUAAGGAGAUGAGAUAAUUCUAGAUGUAUCGUGUACGUAGACGUGGGUUUCAAUAUUCAUUAAUUAAUAUAAUUAAUAUUCAUUAAUAAUUUGAGGGACACGAGGAAGACUUAGUUUAGUUACAUUCAAAAGACAAGAUAAGACUACUCAAUGAACACAUUUUUUAGUUAUCCAAGAAAAAGAACCUCUUUAUUUUUUAUCGUAUUUUGUAAGUAGUACUUACUACUUUAUCUACUUGUACAGACGCUUGCUUUAAAAUUGAAAUAAAAAAAAUAUUUUCAAACAAAUAUGUCAUCUAUUGCAACAGAUAGUAAUAUUUGUUUAAAAAUCCCAGCAGAAGUCUUCUGUUACAACAGAUACAAAUAUCUGUUUAAAAAACUCUUUCCAUUUGAUAAUUAAAUAUGUCAACUGUUACAAUAGAUAUCAAUAUCAGUUUAAAUAUCUCAACUGCUCAGUCAUCUGUGAUGACAAAUGCAAAUGUCCAUUUGAUAAUUAAAUAUAUGUAGGUAUCUAUUCUAAUAGAUGACUAGUGACAUUGAAAAGACAAGAUAUGACUACUCAAUGAACACAUUUUUGAGUUAUCCAAGAAAAACAAACUCUUUAUUUUUUACUGCAUUUUGUAGUACUUACUUUUACAAGUUACUCUUACUCGAAUAGAAACUUGCUUUAAAAUUGAAAAAAAAAAGAUUUUUAAACAGAUAUAUUAUUUGUUACAAUAGAUACCAAUAUCUAUUUGAAAAUUUCCAACAGCUUAAUCAUAUGUCCCAAUAGAUUCAAAUGUUUAUUUGAUAAUUAAAUCAGAUAUGUCAUCUGUUGCAACAAAUGUGAAUAUCAGUUAGAAAUUGUGUUCAUCCUAACCCGGGUCGUUGAUCGAUUAGUCAGAGUUGAAAUGAGCUCUCAUUAACUUAAUAUUGGGAUUAACAUUAGCUAUAUUGAUUUAGGUGGAAGUAGGGAUGAAUGAAUGAGCUCAUAGGGUCAACUACAACUUUAACUGAAUCUUUGCAAUUGGCGUUCGUAUUGCGUUUAUCCUAACCCGGGUCGUCGAUCGAUCUCAUUAACUUAAUGUUGGGAUUAAUAUUACCUAAAUUGAUUUAUGUGGAAGUAGGAAUGAAUGAAUGAGCUCAUAAGGUCAACUAAAACUUCAACUGAGUCUUUACGAUUUUUGUUGGCAUUGAGUUCAUCCCGACCAGGGUCGUCGAUCGAUCUCAUUAACUUAAUGUUGGGAUUAACAUUACCUACAUUGAUUUAGGUGGAAGUAGGGAUGAGUCAAUAAGCUCAUAGGGUCAACUACAACUUCAAAUAAAUCUUUCCAAUUGGAGUUGGUAUUGCGUUCAUCCUGACUCGGGUCGUCGAUCGAUCUUAUUAACUUAAUGUUGGGAUUAAUAUUGCCUACAUUUAUUUAGGUGGAACUAGGGAUGAAUGAAUGAGCUCAUAGGAUCAACUACAACUUCAACUGAGUCUUUGCAAUUACCGUUGAUAACGCGUUCAUCCUGACCUAGGUCGUCGAUCUCAUUAACUUAAUAUUGGGAUUAAUAUUAGCUACAUUGAUUUAGGUGGAAGUAGGGAUGAAUGAAUGAGCUCAUAGGGUCAACUAAAACUUCAACUGAAUCUUUGCAAUUGGCGUUGGUAUUGCGUUCAUCCCGACCUGGGCCAUCGAUUGAUCUCAUUAACUUAAUGUUGCGAUUAAUAUUACCUAAAUUGAUUUAGGUGGAACUAGGGAUGAAUGAAUGAGCUCAUAGAGUCAACUACAAAUUCAACUGAGUCUUUGUAAUUGGCGUUGGUAUUGCAUUCAUCCCGACUCGAGUUGUUGAUCGAUCUCAUUAACUUAAUGUUGGGAUUAAUAUUAUGUACAUUGAUUUAGGUGGAAGUAGGGAUGAGUGAAUGAGCUCCUAAGGUCAACUACAACUUUAACUGAGUCUUUACAAUUGGCAUUGGUAUUGGUUCAUUCCGAUCUGGGUCAUCGAUCGAUCUCAUUAACUUAAUGUUGGGAUUAAUAUUACCUACAUUGAUUUAGGUAGAACUAGGGAUGAAUGAAUGAGCUCAUAGGGUCAACUACAAUUUCAACUGAGUCUUUGCAAUUGGCAUUGGUAUUGUGUUCAUCCCGACUCGGGUCGUCGACCGAUCUCAUUAACUUAAUGUUCUGAUUAAUAUUACCUACAUUGAUUUAGGUGGAACUAGGGAUGAAUGAAUGAGCUCAUAGGAUCAACUACAACUUCAACUGAGUCUUUGGAAUUGGCGUUGGUAUUGCGUUCAUCCCGACUCAGGUCAUCGAUCGAUCUCAUUUACUUAAUGUUGUGAUUAAUAAUACCUACAUUGAUGUAGGUGGAACUAAGGAUGAAUAAAUGAGCUCAUAGGGUCGACUAUAACUUCAAUUGAGUCAUUGCAAUUGGCGUUAGAGAUGUGUUUAUCUCGACCCGAGUCAUUGAUCGAUCACACUAGUUGAAAAUCGCUCUCAUUAACUUAAUGUUUUAAAAACUAGUACUCCCUUCAUUUCGUUUUAGUUGGCCCUCUUUAUAAAAUAUUUAUUUCAAUUUAGUUGUUCCUUUGAUAAAAUCAAGAGGAUUUUAUUAUGUUCUUCCAAUAUUUUCCUCAACAUUAAAUGAUUAAACAAAGUGUAUUUACUAAAAUUCAUAUUUUCAAUGCAUAAUUAAUAGGGUUAUUUUAGUAAAAUAAGCCUAUAUUAAAUAAUUUUUUAAGGGGUGUGCCAAGUCAAUAAGGGUCAACUAAAAUGAAAUAGAGGGAGUAUAUUUUUUGAAAUUUUAAAAUAAUUAAAACCAAUUCGGACCAAAUUAACAAUUUCAAAACUUGUUAUUCUUUUCUAAAAUUACAAAUCAACCCACACAAAUCAUCCAUUUGUGAGAAAAACUUUUUCUCAUUUCAAAUCUCAAGUUCUCGCUCCCCUUCAUCUCUCUCUCUAUCACACAAUAAUACAGACAAUAACUACUCAACAUAUUGCUCAACCCUUUAAAACAGAUUGAUUUUCUUCCCAUUUCCAACCACAUAGUUGUUAUUUUUUACUUUAUUCUGGCUUGUAUCCAUCGUUUUCUCUGUUUUUGCAGGUAACAGAGUUCGAGAAGAGUUCUACAUUAGUUCUUUAUUCUAAAAAUUAGGAAUUUUUAGUUAAUAAUGAAAAAAAGACUUUUAGUUGUAUUAUCUGCGAGAAUGGGUUACCAAUUUUGUGUUUUUAUGUUAAAAAAAUUGGAAGCACCCGAGAAAACCCUAGUUUCGUCUCAGUGUUUUGUUGACUGUCAUGAUAUUUUUUUAUGGUGUUUGUCGUAUUGUUGGUGGAUGUUGUUGUUGGUAUCGGUAUUUGUGUUUUUGGUGGUAUUAUUGGUGGUCUUGGUGUUGGUAUUGGUGCAUUGGUGGUGGUCUUGGUGACAUUGGCAGUGGCAUUAGUUAUGGUGUUUGUGGUCCAUCUGUUGCAAUAGGUGGAAUAUCUAUUGGGAGAUAUUAAAUAGGUCGUCAAACAAAUUCCCCAUCUGUUCCAACUGAUGGCUUAUCCGUUGAAGUAUUUUUUUGUCGUAAUGUGGCGUAGAAUAAUUUUUUGAAAUUUGUCUUAGCUUUUUUUUUUUAAAUUAUGCAGACAUCAAAUGCAAUGUAUUUUUUGUUUUCUAUUGUUUGUAGUUAAAAUAUGUCUCCCAAUAGAAAAGAAACUGAAAGUGGAUCAACUUCUGACCACCCAACAAUAAUGGCUAGAGUACAGAUAGAUUCAGAGGAACUUCUUGAACAAUCUCAAUCGGGGAAAAUGAAGUCAAGGAAAGUGAUAACUCCUCCUCACCAAUGGGGCGUGAAAUAAUAUCAAAAUCCCAGCAUGAUUUUGUCAAAAUCAUUAGUAUUGACAAGUUUCAAGUUGCAAUACCGAUGGUAGCCCUGACAAAGUAACUAGUGAUCUUGUACUUAAAUGUCAGUUGGGGAAAUAUUUUAAUAAAUUAAGGAGGAUUAUGAAGAAUGAAAACAUAGAUGAACUUUUUAACAAGAGUUGCUUUGUAUACUUUCUUGAGCUGCCUAAGAAACGCACUCUCAAUUUCCUAAUGAGCAUGGUAUAUGGUCUUCUCAAGCACAAGAUCAAGUAUGCGAGGGAUGAUAAAGAUCUGAAGGAGGUCGAAAAAAAUAUGGAUGAAAUCUAGAUCAACUACUGUUGCAUGCCAGUUUGUUUUGGGUUAAAAGAGUUUACCAUAGUGAUGGGCGUGAGAUACGAUCGUACAGAAGAACAUCUCAUCAAGGAAACACCCCAAAAAGGGUCCAAAAAAUGCAAGGGGAAAAACAUGGGUUGUUGGGCAUUAUUGGACGUAGUAGCUAUAAAGCGGCAGAUUUGAUGGCAGAUCUUGAGGAUAAAGACAUACCAAAGCACUGUAGGGAGAAAUUGUGCUUAGUUUGGUUAGUCCAUUCUGUUUUAUUGGCAAGAGACGUCAGGAAAGUCAUAGAAGAUGAUUUGUUGGCGCUUGCUGUUGAUUUUAAAAAAUUCAACGACUAUCAUUGAGGAUUUGACAGCUACUACUUGACUGUCGAAUAUUUACUGACAAAGCUAUCCACAGGGACGAUCACAAUAUACGACUUUCCCUAGGCUUUCAUGAUAAAAUUGAUCACUAUUUUUACUCAUCCAUUAAUUUAUAAUGACUAUAUACUUAUUAUGACUUUUCUUUUCUUGCUUCAUGUUUACAUUUUCUAGGCUUAGGCAUGUGAAGCCAUUCCUCCCCUCUGAAAGCAGUUCAAUGAUUAUCCAGAUGAGCUUCCUCAUCUAAGGAUCCUUAGGUGGUUGGCGGCUACAAAAGAAGGAAAAAAAUAUUAAGGAGCAAGAUGCUGAUCUAUUUAACCCUCCGGAUAGUGCAGUACAUCUUCUUUUAACUAAAAUAAUUUUCCUCAAAGAAAGAUAUUGAAAUAGAUGUUCUAUCUAUUGCGACAGUGGUUUAUCUAUUGCAAUAUAUUACACGUCAACUGUAUCUGGUGCAACAAAUGGGUAAUCUAUUGUGACAGAUGAUCCAUAUUUCGUAAUAGAUUAACCAUCUAUUGCUCUGGUUCUCUGAACCUGAUUCAAUGUAUUACCCAUCUGAUGUAAAUUAUACAACAAAUGUAUAAUAUAAUGCAACAUAUUGUCAAUCUAUUGUGACAUACAGAUUAGCUGUUGUGGGAUCUAGAUCAUCUGUUGCAUAAGUUGGAUGUGUUAACAUCCAUGUAACCCAACUGAUUGCAUAUUAUUUUUAUAUGAUUUAAAUACCUUCUGUCUUUUUUUUAUAGGUUGUGCAUCCUUGGAUCAUGUCUACCGAUGAUAAGCUAGGGAUGACUUUUUUUCUUACUCUGGGUCUUGUUGAUACAAAAGAAGACCCAACGGUAGAGUUAAUAAAGAAGAGAUUGGUUGGAGCAACAUCCAUAAGAAGAGCAGUUAGGCAUGGUCUGCCUAAUGUUUAAGCUCUUCACGACCAACCUCAAACUGUAACAGAUCCGGGUGCUUUUUCUGGGGGUGUUGCUGAUGGAGUUGUUUGUGAUGGUGGCAGUCAUCCUUCCACUGUUGUUGCUACUGCUAGUCAUGAUUAUGUUCAUGCUCAGCAAAAAAUAAAUAAUUUUAAAAAUACCCCUUGCAAAGGUCCCUCUCACCCUUACACUAGUCCCUUUCACACUUACAAUGGUCCCUCUCAUCCCUCCUCACCCUCAUGUUCUCAUUGAAAAUGAAAAUUUUGCAAGGAUAGAGAGGAUAAACUCCUUGAAAAGCUAGAAGUUAUUGCUGAAGCUACCGAGGAGUUAAAAUCUAGGAGGGGUGUCAUACUAUCCAAUAAGGUGAACGAGCUAUGCACUCCUAUAAUGGCAGUUAGGAUGAAGAGAAGAAAAAUUAGAUAAAUUCUCUACGUUAUGAAAAUAACAAAAACUAAAACUCCUCCAACUCCAAGAGUUGUUGAAGUUCAGGGGCCGCUAAAGAAGGUGGACAUAUUCGUGGUGCUUGGCAAGGAGAAGAAGGAGGAACUGUAACAAAUCAUGAAUGGCAGGAGGAAGGUUAAAAAAGAAUACACCAUGCAUUCAUUUUCCGCUAAUGACUUCAAGAAUAUGACAAAUAAACGUGUACGGUACGAGGACAAUGUAAGUUUACUUUUACUAACCUAGCCAUCCAAUCUACCCCAUGAAGAAGAAUCUACGCAACAUAUGUGUAAUCUGUUGCAAUAACUUGGUAUUAUGUUGCAACAUAAUACACAUUUGUUGCAUGAGUUGCGUUGGCUGGGUAAUCUAUAAACUGAUUCAGAGAACUCUAUGUAUCGGAUUCUUUCCACUGUGUUUUUAUUAUUUGUAAUUACUAACCUAUUUAAAUUAAUUGGAUUCUUAUACUACUGUAUGUUGAUGAAAUUCUCUGCCUCAUGAGGGACGGGCAAUUAGUGUAUUCAGAUGCUUAUGAUGCUGCCGAUAGGAUAAUAGACCUCAACUUCUAGAAUAAUUUCAAGGAUAUGUACGCUGAUAUCCAUAAGUAAGCUGAUUUUGGUGGGUAAGGACUUGAUCAAAUAUUUUCUAUAUUCCAAUGGGAUGAAGAAGCGAUUAAAUAUGCUAGAGAAAAGAGGUCAUAUCCACAUGAAAAGAGCUGGACCAAGGCAAAGAGAAUCCUUGCAGUCAUGAACGUAGAAGUCAAAUAUUUUCUCACUGUUGAGAUACUAAUCUACGAGGGAAAGAUUAAGGUUUAUGAAUGCAACUUAACUGUAUUUAGCGAGGACAAAUUUUUAGCCCACAUGAAACCACUGUUGAAGUUGUUGCCCAAGUUGUUGACGCAGAGUAAGCUGAUGGAUCAUUUACUGGCUAAAGUCUUGAUGAAGGAAUCAUGGGAUUUUGAAGGUCAAAAUAAGAACAUCAAGCUCCAUAAAAAUAGAACUGGUGCAGCAUGCGGGCCGUACUCUCUUGCAUACAUCGAGUGUUUGCUGAUCGACACAGAAAUGAUCAGUAUAUGCGACACUCUUGUGGGGAGAUAAAAUGGGUCAGGUCUUAUGAGGUACUAACUAAAUGGUUGGAGCCUGUGUAUAAAGAAGAAAAUGUACAAAUAUGGAGACGAACACAAUAAUAAUUUUUUAUUUUAAGCUACCUCACUUUACAUGUAGUGGCAAUAAUUUUUACGUCUGUGGAUAGUUAAAUUUUUAUUAUGCAACAGAUAGUAUAUCUAUUGUAACAUAUAUAAUACCUGUUGUGACAGAUUGAUUAUCUGUUGGAGUAGGUUGGUCAUCUGUUGCAUUAAUAGAUGUUUCCCAAUCUGUCUGUCGCAACAGAUAUCAAAUCUAUUGCAACAUAUAAUCUAUCUGUUGCAACUGAUAGAUAAUAUAUUGCAAUAAAUCAAGAAGGUAGGAAGACCUAUUAUAUAAUUUCCAGUAGAUGACCUAACUAAAUGGUUGGAGCCCGUGUAUAAAUAAGAAUAUGUACAAAUAUGGAGACGAACAUGAUAACAUUUUUUUAUUUCAAGCCACCUCACUUUACAUACAGUGGCAAUAAUUUCUCUGUCUGGCAAAAGUUGAAUUUUUAUAAUACAACAGAUUAUAUAUCUAUUGUUUUAGAUAAAAUACCUCUUAUGAUAGAUUGAUUAUCAGUUGGAAUAGGUUGGUCAUCUGUUGCAUUAAGCAGAUGUUCCUAGUCUGUCUAUCGCAUUAGAUAUACAAUCUAUUGUAACAUAUAAUCUAUCUAUUGAAAUUGAUCAAUAAUCUAUUGGAGCAAAUAAAAAAAGUAGGAAGACCUAUUAUAUAAUUUCUAGCAGAUGACCUACGUAUUGCAUCUCAUAUUACAACAUAUGUCAAAAUCUGUUUGACAAGAUAUGUCGUCUGUUGCAGCAGAUGUAUUAUCUGUUGUGAUAUUUGAAUCUAGUAUUCCAUUUCAAUUAUCAUGUUCAAAACUAAGGAUUAAAUUAUAUUCAUAGACAACAUAAAAUAAAUUGAAGCUUUUGAAAAUUACAUGAAAUAAAUGAAAUGUAAAAAAAUUAUUAUGGGCAGAAAUGAUCUACUCUACAAAUAAAUCGACACGUUAAAACAAGGAGGAUAGGUUAUUACAUUGACGGACUCAAGAUAUAAAUAUCUAAUCAAUAUGAACAAGUUGUUCUUCAUCCGGUAUUAUGAAAUUCGGCUUUGGUCAUCGUGGAUCUUUAGUGUUGCUUACGUAUGGCUUCUGAGCUUUCGCUUUUCCGUAUUUUCAUAAAAGAGCCGCAUAUUUUUUAUGGAGUAAUCCUUUAUCAAGUCCAUCAUUUGGUACUUGUAAUCCAUCACUCAAAUACUUGGCAUAAGUGGCAACAAAAGGACCGCAGUUCCUGCAUUUUAAGAAAAACAGAUAAUAAAUAUCUUGCAGUUCAUGCAAGCAUUGUGAAAUUUAUAAAAUGAAACUAAAUCAUGACAGUUAUACUUACAGGAUACCAAUGGUCUGUUGAGAAAUUCCUCAAUAUAAUGUACAUCAAAUGGAUUACACAUUUUAUCCCGGUAUGCUUCAAUUAUCGACCAAUCAGUACGAACCUUUUGGUCCAAAAAACACUCAUAUCAAGGUAAGUAAGAAAUAUUUUGGCCAGAUUUUGUAUCGCAGACGAAGGCUCGGAAUGUCUCCUUUGCGACAUUGAGUCAUAAACUUGGUUGCACCUCUCUUUUAGAACGACGACAGCCAAAACCCAAUGUAAUUUAUCACCACAAUUGAUUGGGAUGUACAUUUCGUUGACCAAAUGUCAAGGUAAGCCAGCCAGAAUGCUAAAAACUUUGAUGAUGUUGAUUAAGCAUUCCUCAUUUUGGGAAACUUUCAGCUAUUGUUGACAAUACCCAUCAUAGGCAUUAUUGAUGUAAACUUUGUACAAACAAUUGCUUGUCGUGUAUCUUUAUUGUUCUUGUGUUUGCAACUUGGCCUUCUUUCAGAGGUAGAAAAAAUGGCAUCGAUGUGCUGCACAUAUUAUCAAACAUUUCAGAUUAUGUGAUGAAAAAAUUAAUAUGCAGAUGCAAUUAAAUAAAGUAUUAAAUAAUAGUAAUAUGUAUGGCAUUUAAAACUCAUCAUUCCAGCAAGUUUAGGGCUGUGACAUCAAAUAAAACCAAUUUUUUAUUUUGGGAUGUGCAACAAUAAAUUUGAACAUAUUAAAACCAAGACUUGAUUCAUUCACUUUGUAUCGUUCGUCAUUUUAUUUUCUACAUGAUGAUUUAUAUGUGUUAAUGUCACGUUUUUACAAUAAGAAUCGUAUAAACCAAUAUCUUUUAAAAUUGAUUUAUCCUGCCAGCAUGAUGCUUUAACAGCCCAUCGGCAAUCCAUUCUGAAUAGUCGUUGAUCAACUGUGUUAGUUUUUUUGGAGUCUCGUCCGAGAUGUUGAACCCUCCAAAUGGGUAAUUCUUUUGUUCUCCUGAACUGACAGGCUCUACGUUUUCUUCUUCUUUGGAAGUAGUUGAUGGAUUAUAAACUGUGAUAUUGUGGUCUUAAGAAGUGGCUUGUACCGUGACAUCCACCUGGAAAGCUAGAAUUGUCAAUACUAAUUACAGAUAAACAACAGAUUGUCCAUCUGUACCAACAGAUGAUUCUUAUAUUGCAACAGAUGGAUCAGCUGUCGAGAUAAAUUUGAAUAGGUAAAUUAGAGCAGUAUGAUAAUUUUAAAUAAAUAAUCCAUCUGUUGCAACAUAAGACUCAUCUAUUGCAACCGAUAACGCAUUUGAUGUAACAGGUUAGACAAAAGUUGCAACAGAUGUAUAUAUCUAUUUGGUAAUUUUUAGCAGAUGUAUCAUCUGUUUAAAAUAGAUAUGUUCCUAUUUGUUUGUUGGAACAGGUGAUGUACCUUCACCUUCUUCAGCUUAUUCUUCUCUCCUGUGGCCCUUGCACACAUAAUAUCGGUGCAAGACAAAGACAGAGGCACUGUAAUUUUACUUUUUUCGAUACUUGAUGAUGCCUUGGAAGUAUCUUUCCCUCUCCCCUUAGCCACCUUGAUCUCUAGUGGAGUGUAUGGAUAUGAAAUCCUCUUUGAUGGAAUGACACCCCUCUUAGAUGCUAUUUUCUUUACAGAAAUGGUUAGUGCAUUAAUAGUAUUAAUCACUCCAUCGUGUUUCGCCUUGCAUUCUUGACAUUUACAUGCAGAACAUUCGCUAGAUGUGGCAAAAUUUGUACAACUAGUAUGAUCAUAAUCAUAAUGGCUUGUUGUUUUAAAAAUGGUAAGAGGAGCACUAUUAGACCCAACAGCAGCACCACUCCCACUACCACUACGACUACCAUCAUCAACAACAACAAGCCCACCCUCUAAAAUUGUUUUUAUUAUGAUUGUUGUUGCUCUAAACAAUUCUAUUUUUAUUCCAUCAACAACCUUAUGGUCCGGUAAAGUUUGCACAGAUCGUAAAGUAAGAAACAAUGGCAUCUUCAACUCUCGGUUGGUCGGAAUAAGCCACGGAUGGACAAUCUAAAAUAAAUUAGAACAUAUAUUAGAAUGAUGAUGAACUCAUUUAAAAUAAUCAUUAGAUAAAAUAAAAACUUGAUUAGAAUUGGACUCACUGCUUCAUUGGGGGGAUUGAAAAGAUCAAGAAAUUUUGCAUUUUUAUUGGUUUUGGCUGACAAGCAUCUCAGGAUCUUGGACAGGAAACUUCUUCCUAGUAGUUCACUUGUUGUCUCAAAUAAGGAAUGGCUUCAAAUGCCCAAGCCUAUAACAUAACUCCAAUAAAUCAAAAGCAUUAUUGAAUACAAAAAUGAUGAAUCAUAUCAUGAUAAAAGAAAUAUUUUCCAUGAAGGCCCAUGAAAAGCCAUAUAAGUUGACUAUCUUUGGCGUCAACGGAGUCAACAAAUAUUGAACAGUCGUUUUGAAGCUUUCAUAACCCCAAGGAUAGCUGUUAAAUGCCUCAAGAUCCUCGGAGAGAUUUAUUAAACCGGGGCUUAUGUCAUUGUUAACGUCUCUCGCCCCAAGAAUACUAUGUACAAACCAAACAAAGUACAAUGAUUGCUUGUGAUUCUUUGAGAGCCUUUACCUUUCAAUGUUUCUAUCAAAUUUUUAUUUUUAAAGCUUGGACCAACAAUGGACACUAGGUCAUCACGAUCACUUGACUUGUCUUUGCCUUUUUGGGUGUGCGAGGUGCUUUGUUUGGGAUCAGAGUAGGUAUAACUUGAGAAGGAGAAGGAAGAUAAAAUUUUAGUUCGAUAACUAUGGAAAAAUCCUUCCAACCAAAACAAACAGGCAUGCCAUAAUAAUAUAUCCACAUGUCAUCCAUCUUGUCUUUAUUUUCAUACAUAAACCUACGCUUGAGAAGAUUGUGUACCAUUUUCAUCUGGAAACGAGCAUUGUUGUCCUCUGAAAAAUUAAGAUAUUGCCCAAAAAAGCUUUCCCUAAAAUAAGAAUCCAAUUUUUAUUCUCAGAGUAUUUUUCUGAAGGCAUCGAAAGAUUUUUUCAUGGCUGAAUUAAUCACAAAAUCACCCGUUAAAUCUGUGGCACCAUCGCACUGCAUUCUCAUAGGAUAAUGAUCAAAGCUGAAGGUUUUGAUCAACUCUUAGGUGGAAGGUCUAUUAGCAUUUGAAUCAUCUCUUUUGAGAUAUUCCUCCUUCUUGUGUUCAUUAUCUUAUGCUCCUCAUUGAGAUAACGCUUGUAAAGCAAGCUCAUAGAGUGGUUGAUGUAGCCGAGCUGCUACACUUGUUCCUUUACUUGAACUUGAUUUGGUUUCUUUUUUUUUGGAGCCAUAUUAUCUUAGAUUAACAGGAACAAAAAAUAGAUUAUAAUUGAUUAAUGCAUCGUUAAAAAGGAUAACAGUAAUUCUAACAUGCACAACGGUAAAAAAAUAGUUCCAACAGAUAACACAUUUGUUGCACCAGGUAUGUUAUCUAUUGUAAUAUAUAACUGACCUGUUGUAACGGAUGAGUAAACCCUUGGAAACAAUAAAAACAAAUCUCUAAUUUAUCGGACCCAGAUGCAAUGGAUAAGUAAACCAUUGGAAACAAUAAAAAUAGAUCACUAAUCUAUAGCACCAGGUAUGUUAUCUUAUGCAACAUAUAACCAACCAUUGCAACAGAUGAGUAAACUAUUGAAAACCAUAAAACAGAUCACUAAUCUAUUACACCAGGUAUUUUAUCUGAUACAAUAUAUAACCAACCUGUUGCAACGAAUAAGUAAUCCAUUGGAAACCAUAAAAACAUAUCACUAAUUUGUUGUACCAGGUUUGUUAUCUUUUGUAACAUAUAAAUGACCUGUUGCAACGGAUGAGUAAUCCAUUGGAAACAAUAAAAAUAGAUCACUGAUCUGUUGCACCAGGUAUUUUAUCUGUUGCAACAUAUAACUGACGUGUUGCAACAUAAGUAAACCUUUGGGGAGAGUAAAAUUAGAACACUGAACUGUUGAAACAUAUGACUCAUCUGUUGGAAAAUAAGUUAUCUGUUGGAUUAAUAUUGUUCAGAUUUCUUCCAAACAGGACCAUAAAAUAGAUCACUGAUCUGUUGGACCGGGUUUGUUAUCUAUAGCAAUAUAUAAAUGACCUGUUGCAAUGGAUGAGUAAUCCAUUGGAAACAAUAAAAAUAGAUCACUAAUCUAUUGCACCAGGUACUUUAUUUGUUGUAAUAUAUAACUGACCUGUUACAACGGAUAAGUAAACCUUUGGAGAGAAUAAAAGUAGAUCACUAAACUGUUGAAACAUAUCACUCAUCUAUUGGAAAAUGAGUUAUUUGUUGGAUCAAUAUUGUUUAGAUUUAUUCCAAACAGAAGAGUUGUCUGUCACAAUAGAUGAAUGAUCUAUUAGAUUAUUCAUUUGUUGCAUCGAUUUUCAGAGUUGUAUUAGAUUUUGAUUUGUUGCAUCAGAUAUUAACAUCUGCUGUAUCAGAUGUCUUCAUCUGUUUCAUCAGAUGUCUUUAUCUAUUGCAUCAUAUGUUUCAUCUGAUUCAACAACAUUUUUAACUAGACAAAUAACAAAUCAACCCAGCAACACCAACACAUCACACACACGCACACUAAGAACAUCAACUAUGAACAAAAAUCACCAAUAAAUUUGAAUCAACAGUACGACAAUAAGAAGAAGAAAUGCCAAAAUUUAGGGUUUUAUUCAGUCCACACUUUACUACUAGGAGAGUAGUUUACUUAAGUUCCUCUGUUUCUUCAUAAUGUUUUACCUAUGAAAAAGGAAAUGGGACAACGAAGAACUCGAAGUUGUUAUCGCCGGAGAAGUCUUCAUGUUGAUUGAUGGUUGAAAUUCAAAAGGAAACUUGCCCGACUAUUUUUUGCCGAUUGAAGGGAAAAUUUUGCAGAAUUGUUGGUUGGGAGAGAGUUGAGAGAAGCCGUCAAGAGAGAGACAGGGAGGAGAGAGACUAGCUGAUUUGGAUUGAAGAGGGGUGUGGGUUUGGUUGAUUUGUAUUUUUGAAAAGAUUAGAAAGUUUUGUAAAUAUUAAUCAACUCCACAAUUAACUUAAUCAAGUUUCCAAAUGAUGUUUGACCCUUUAAGUUGGUCAAUGUCACCAAUGCUUCAUUCAAGACUUAAAAGACACCUUUCCUUCAAUUUUCUCAAGUAACAUCAAGUCAAAAGAUGCAAAUUAAAAUCUUUUCCAACAAUAUGUAAAGAAGAUACCUUUAUUAAACCUUAGGAAAAACAUAAAUCAUGAUUCAAAUUUGCACAAUAAAACAAACAUAGAUUAGUUUUGAUCAGUCUUUCCAUGUUGAGCUGGUGGAUCUUGUGGACAGCCACAUUGAUGUGUAGCCAAGUUACAUAUGGGAUGUGCAUCUAUGCAUCUCACAGUCUUUGCACAAUCUAUAUCCUUAGUGCAUCCUGCCGCUUGCUUCCUUGUCCUAGCAAAAUUGACAUAGUUGAAUAGGUUAGUGACAUACGUAGAAUUUUUGUUACACGAUAUUAAUAUUUGAAAAAGUGAACUAGUGAAUGAAUUACUAAAAUAAGAGGUUGAUCUAUCUAUCUAUCUAUCUACCUAUAUCUAUCUAUCUAUCUAUCUAUCUAUCUAUCUAUCUAUCUAUCUAUCUAUAUAUAUAUAUAAAUAUUCCUUCUAUUCAAAUUUAUGUAGCACAGUUUGAAUUUUGAGAGUCAAACCGUUUAAUUUUAAUUGUGAAUUUGGGCAUGAGAUCUUUAAAUUUUUACACUUGGAACUAAAGUACUAUGAGUCACAAUGAUUGACAAUUGUAAAAUAUUUAACAUGUAUUUUAAAAAGUAGGUCAAAGAUGAAUUUUUCUGAAUCUUGAAAUUCAAAUUUAUCAGAUAAAUUCAGAUCGAGGGAGUGUCUAGUAAAAAUAUUUGAUGAAGUAGUGUCCUGUGACACCGCUUGGGACAAGGUAUAUUUCUCCCUGGAAUAAGUUCAGUGGUAUAAUCAAAAAUAAAUGAUAAGCGACAUACUAUACAUGAUAUGUCAAAUUAUCUAUAAAUAGCGUAAAAAUCAUUGCAUUAUCAAUGUAUAUAACUUAAAUUCUCUUCAUAAUAUAGAAAGGAUUUUUAUUUUAUUUGUCAAUUUUAACGAAAAUAAAAACACUUGAGCUAAAAUAAAUAUACAUAAAAAAUGACUAUUAGCUAAACCUAUCAACUGGGUUGGGCUGGCCCGUUCCGGCCCGAUAAGUCCGCCCAUUAAGAGAACCUAACCCGGCUUGACCCAGACUGAUGAGCCUUCAGGCUAGUGGGUCGCCGGUUUCGGGUUGGGCCAUCUACGUUGACAGGUCCGGUGGACUGGCCCAGUUUCAAACUCGGACCAGGCCCACCGGUCACCCGGACCAAGUCCAAUUACAUAACUUUUUAUUUUAAUAAUUGGCAAUUGUGGGUUGCUGACUUCCAACGGUCAAAUGGAACAUUGUCCCAACGGCUAUAAUGUCGUUUAGGUCCAACGGCCAUUUGGCCAAAGUUUGCUAUUGAAAAAAAAAAUUAAAUUUUUUUCUAUAAAUACCCUACAAUUUCAAAUCAUUUUUCACACAGACAACUUCUCUCAUUCUCAAAAAUCUCAAUCUCUCUCAAAUAUUCCAAUUAUCUCCUAAAGUGCUCAAUUUUAUUUUUUAGUUUUACAAUUACAAAUAUCAAGUGGAAGUUUUCUAAAGUGACAACUUUUGAAUACUUCCAAAAUUUGAUAUUAUCAUUCCAUCUCUUAUAUUUAAUUUUUAAUUUGUGUAUUAACUGUUGAAUAUUUAUUUAAUUAUUUUUGUUUAUUUUAAAUAUUUUUUGUUUGAAUUAUAAUAGGGAUAAAUUAAGAAACAACGGUAAAAGUGUCAAAAAUAUUUGUUCCUAAAGUGGUAGUGGUAGUAAAAAAUAAAUUGGUGGCGGUUCUGGUAAAGGUAGUUCAAGUACUAGAUAUAUCUGUGUGCCUCCGGUACCGGUUAGUCAACCUUUUGAGGAAGAAAUAGGUGUAGGUGCUCACGAUCUGAAUUAUGCAGAAGCUCAGAAAAAUUAUGGUAUAGAAGUAGAAAAUGAAGUAGAUGUGGUUAAUUUAGAUGUUGACAACGUCCAAGUGCACACGUAAGUGUAUGUGGCCUUAUCAAGUAGUAAAGUAGCUUUCAAGAAGCCAAGUAUCGAUCCCACUGGGACUUGGUUAAACAACCAUUCGAUUUCAGUUCACAAUUUAGAUUCAGCUGGUGCAAAAGUAACCAAAAUAGAGAUUUGAGUUUGUAAAUUGCAAGUAAAGUAAAUAGUGCGUAAAGUAAAGAUCUUGGACAAUCAAUAGGAGUAAAACCUAGGGUUGAAGCGCUUUAAACAAUCGUACUAUGUUGUUGACUUUCAUUCAUAAAUUCACUUAUCUUGUUUGUCGAUUCGUAGGGUUAAUCUCAUGAUCAUGGUCUCCUGGCCUCUAACCAAUUACUUGAUAUGGACAUUACAACUACAUCAUUGAGCGGGGAUGUAAUGAUCCAAUUAAGUUCUUUAAGCUAUCAUCCUACGUUUGAAUCAAGUAAGGUAUCUAAGUACAUCUCUUCCCUGACACAAAUUCGUAUUUCUUAUUUCAUAAACGACUACGAACCAUACUUUGUUCAAUCCCACAUUCUAUCUCCCUAUUCCCUCUCCCGAGUUCAUAAGGUUGGCAAUGGGUGUAUUCUAAGGGUGAUAAAGCCUCAAAAUAGUUAAAAUAAGAUUGAGAACAAAACAAACAAUGAUAAUCAAAUCAAUGAACUAAUAUCAAAACCAUAAUACACACGUAUUCGGCUUCAACCCCAGAAAGAGGGUGUUUAGCCACGCAUAGUCAUAAUCGUAAUCACUAGAUUGUAAUUAACGACUAAGAACAUGAAUGAACUAAAUUAAAAUGAUAAAAACCUAAGUUAUGAAGUUUUAGAAGCAUCAUUGAUGUUCCAAGUCGUCCAAAUAUCAUUAACAAUAUGUACAAAGAUGUAUUUAUAAUGGACAACAAAACCCAAGCCACAUAGAUUUCAAAGUGCAACUCUUUGCCGUGUUUGGAUGGGGUUGCGACGUGAGGCUGGCUUGACUUGACUAGGGGUCGCAAUGAUAGGAUUUCUUGGGUAAAAUAGGGGUCAUUACCCGAGGCUGGAUUGAGUCAAAUGGGGGUUGAGAUGCGCCCCUAUCGCGAUACCUCCCUGGAAUUUGCUUCUCGAAAAUUGGUUAAGUAUUGGACGUUCCUCCAUUCAUUAUUAACUUUGUGGUGUAUUUACCUUGGUUUUACAUCCUAAAAUUCAACUAUAUAUAAUCAUAAACAGCUCAAAAAAGAUCCUAAAAGAACACACCACCCAUAUUAGAGGUUCAAACAACACAACAUCUAUCAUAACGAAUCAAAAAUAAAAGCUUAGACUAGGUUGAUCUCCAUGAUCUUCUACUUCAUGAUUUGACUCUAUACUUGACUCACUAGAACUUUGUACACUACAAAAAUGUUGUUUCUCAUAUAAUGACAACAUUAAAACCAUUUAUAACACAUUAAACACCAUAGAUUCCAACAAAAGAGACUAGACAAGCACCUAGCUCAAGUUUGUUACACUAGUUUCAUCGAUUGUACUCUAGGUGUUCCAAUUAAACCCAAACUUGUUUGGAAUACACUUUGCACAUUUUAAUCACACACUUUAUCAAUUAGAUGCUGAUUUAUAUCAAUAUCAACACCUUAAGAACUCAAGUUAUCCUCAAAACAAGGCAAAAUAAGCUAGAAUAGUAACACUUGGGUGCAUAAAUACACCCAACAUUACCACCCCACACUUAAACCUUUGUUCGUCCUCGAAAAACUAUUUAAUUCAAGCAUCCUAAGUUGUGGAUACUCUACACUUCUACUAAAUGUAAGACACUCAAUAUAGUACUACAAAGACUAAACAGAAUGCAAGUUUCUACACUAAGCAUGUUAUAUAGAAAAUUUAAAGCUCAUGAACACUACUCUAAAACAUCCUAGCCUCAAGAAUUGACUCACCUAAGUGGCAAACUCAUUCUUAUAAUUCAAUAAAGGACAUAAUAUAAAGCACCCACAUUCAUCAAAUAUGUUCCCCUCAGAAUAAGAGAGUUACCCAUAAUCACUCACAAUUAAGCAAUUCAUAACAUAAUGGGUACAAGAAUUAAAUUAUGCUCACUCUCACAAAGAAUUCACAAGUUACACACAUUGACCCAUAGGUUUACCCUUAGUGUAGUGCUCCACUAAUAUAAGAAUGAUGAACUUAGGAUCAAAUAAGUCUUUUUUGGGUUACAAUGUAGGCUAAGGGAUUGGUAGGAACUAUUUGGGAAUAGUGAUUAACCUCUAUAAGCACUUUAAUACACUACAUUAUUCAUUUAAAACCAAACUCCAACAACUAAAUUACACCAUUUUGUCUACCCCUUUCUUUUGUUUUGCCCUAUCUCUUUUAAGCAUUUUCACAAACACUUGGUGGACACAUAGUUUAUUACCACAUGAAUCAAUUUUUUCUCUUUUUUCACAACCAUGUCAAUAUUUCUAGAAUAAAUUUAUAUCACACCCAUCCACCAUACAUCAAUUAUCAACACCAAUAACUAUUACCGUGGGCAUCUAAUUCACCUUUUUCUUCUUCAACUUCUCAAACUCCUUACUAAAUCAAUUCUUCAUUAAAGUGCUUAGGAGCUUUUUGGAUCAAAUUAAGGUCCAUAGAAGAAGGGAUUAAGGUACUUAUGUGUCUACCAAAGAAGAGGCUAAAGGCUCAAUGGGGGUUUACUAGGAUAAUGCACAAAGGGUAGGACAAAUAGAAGGUAUAAAACAAGGCUAUCAAAGAAAUGCCUAAAUCAUCUCCUAAACCCACACUCUUUAUUUUGCUUUACACACAUACCAGAAAAGUUCUAGACAUCACAUGCAACAAGGAAUAUACAAACACCUUACAUCACACAUGGUACAUGCUCAACUCAAUAGGAUCAUCAUAGACUCCGAACCAAAUAAUAACAUGAAUUCAAAUUUAAGCCACAAGUACAAGAAUCAUAAAAUUGUGCCUAAUAGUUUCAAAAAUAGUAAUUCACUCAUUCAACAUGCUUUUAUCACUAAAAAACUUGCACCAUGCAAUCAAAAAUAUAACCAACAAGAAUAUCUCACUUAUUCCUAACCUAAAAUUUUUUAAAUUGAACCCAAAAUUUGGAAUUUCUCCACCCCACACUUAAAAAUCUACUUUGUCUCCAAAGUGAACUUUAAAGUAAGAGAUAGAAAUACUCUCUGAGGCCUCUAGUCCUAGCUAGUAGCCUCUUUUACAAUUAUGGGAUUCGUGAGACCCCACACUCAGUCUUUGCCAUGCUUUAAGCUCAGAUUUUCAGUACUCCGACUUCCCAUUAACCUGUGACUCAAUUAAAAGCAAAAACUACGUGAAGUAAAAAAAUAAAAAAUAAAAAUAAAACAUACCUACUGAACUUGGGUUGCCUCCUAAGCAGCAUCUGGUUUAGUGUCGCGGCAUGACCUAACUACAACUUAGUCAUUCUCUUUCCUUUUCUUUCUCACGCUUGGUCUCCAUCUUCUUAUUCUUUUCACCCUUCUUGGGUGUGAAUUUUCAAGAGCAAUAAAUUUUUCAACUUUAGCCUUUUUAGGCUCAUUAAUUAGCAUCAAACCAGGCUUAGGCAGUAGAAGCUUAGGCUACUCAAUCAGGUAGUCAAAAGAGGUCUUUAGUGGACUAACCACCCCACACUCGUCCCCUUCAAUCACAUUGAUCAUACAUAAAUCUUUAUAGUGGGACGUUAUUGUGGGUGCUUUGUAUACAUCAAAUACCACCUCUUCAUCCUCUACCUUCAUUUUGAGCGUGCCUUCUCAAACAACAAUCAACGCUCCUCCAAUUUCUAAGAAUGGUCGCCCUAAGAUGAUUGGUACUUGUUCUUCUUCCUCAAAAUCAAGAACAAUAAAGUUAGCAGAAAUAACAAAUUUACUAACUUUUAUGAGGACAUCCUCAAUGAUUCCUUCUGGAUAGGCCACCGAUCCGUCUGCCAGCUGCAAAACCACCUUAGGUGAUUUAUGCUUUCCCAAGCCUAAUGUUUCAAAUAGAGAUAGGGACAUCAUAGUUAUGUUAUCCCCUAAGUCACAUAAUGCAUAGACCACUUUACUCCCAAUUUGGAUAGGGAGAGUAAACUUCUCUAGAUCUCUCAAUGUCUUGGGGAUUUUCUAUGUCAUCACAGUGCUACACUCUUUAGUGAAUCUUAUUGCGCCCACAUACUAAAAUUUCACCUUUUUGCCAAUCACAUCCCGCAAGUACUUUGCAUACUUCGGCAUACCCUGCAAAUUAUCUAACAAAAGUAAGUUAAUGUGAAGCUCUCUGAAUAUAUCGAAGAACUUCUUGAACAUUGUGUCCUCCUUCAUUUUAAUUUUCCUCUGAAGGAAGGGUAGUGGCGGUGUCUUCUUCACUUCUUCUGCAAUAAUUAUUUCUUUCAAGUACUCAGACUUUCUUUCUUUUCUAGUAACUUCUUUGGGAACUUGUUGGGUUACCACAUCAGCAUCUACCUCCUUAGUUGCCUUUGGAGGUUCUUCUUGAAGCUCUUUACCACUCCUAAAGGUGAUUUCCAUAAAUUGGUUUAGAUUUUCUAUAUCUGUUGGCAACCCACCUUGUGGCCUAGUAUUCCAUGAUUGCUGCAAUUUCCCCACUUUGAAUCUCCAAGCUUCUCUUAGCUAUUUGAGAAUUUUUUAUGUCUGCAGCCAAUUAUGUUUGAUUAGCUAGAAGUUGCUUCAACAUCUCUUCUAUGUUGCUAGUUGACUAUUUUACUUGUGCCUAUGGUUGCUAAAUUUGUUGUUGUUGUGCAUUCCAAGGUUGAGUCUGCCACUUCAUUUUGUAGGCAUUACCAUAAUUUGGCCUUUGAGCAUUGCCUACAUACAUCACUAAUUUUGGAUUUGAUGCACACAUAGCCGUUAUGUGACCACUAUUACCGUAAAUUUCACACCAACCUGGAGCUUGUUUGAUGGCAUUGACUUUGGCUAUACGUUGCGGAGCUCCCAAUUUCAGGCUGUUGAACUAAAUAUUUACUAUAUUUUGCAAUGUUGCAACCUGAGAUGAUAAGACAGUAAAUAGGUCUACCUCCAAUAUACCCAUAAUUCUUUUUAUGGCACUUCUAGAAUCUGAAUGCCACUUUGGAUUUCCUUGAUCUAUAUGGUUCAACAAUGUGUAUAGCUCAUCAUAAGUUAACUCCAGCGCUUGACCACAUAUGGCUGAAUCUAGUAAACUCUUUGUAUUAUGAUCAAGUGUUUCUACAAAUGUAUGAGAAAGUACCUCAUUGGAUUGUUGGUGAUGUAGACAAUCCCGAAGAAGGGACUUAAAGUGUUCCCAAGCGUGAUAUAGAUUUUUAUUAGUCUUCUAUUUGAAGCUCAUUAUCUCACUGCGAAGUCUCAUAGACUUGCCUGAUGGAAAGAAUCUAAUGAGGAACUUUUUGUCUAAGUCAUCCCAUGAUAUGAUUGAAUUGGUUGGCUCCGCAUUCAACCACCUUUUACCUUUCCCCAAUAGUGAAUGGGGAAAAAGUGUCAGCCUCACAUAAUCUGUACUUACCUUAGUUGGAAUAAAUGUGGCAGUAAGAUCAAUCAAAGUCUGCAAGUGGACUUAUAGGUCCUCAUGUGAAAGACCUACAAAUUGUCCACUGCUGAUAAGAAGUUGUACCAUGUUGUGUUUUAACUAUAAAUUCCCCAGCAGUCGGCCUUUGAAUUAGGGAAGUCAAGUUCGUAGGAAGUGGGACUGCCACUUCCCUGACUAUCCUAUAUGCUUAUUAUUCUGCAACCAUUAUCAUAAGAUUCUCUUGGUCUUAUUAUAUUUGAGGAAAUUAUGGGAGACGGAUUACAUCUCUCCUUCUUUGAUGAAAGUUUUGUUUGGGUUUGGGGCUUGGUUCAACCAAAUCCCUAUCCCUUGCCAGCUUUCUAACCUUAAAAUCAGUUUUCUGCAAUCACAAAACCAAGACCAAGCAUAAACACACCAAAUAAAUUUAAAAGUAGAACUAAAAUAAAUAAUUUCCAAAUAAAAAGUCACCAACAACAGUUCCAAAAACUUGACAGUGCCUUGUAAUACCCGUGCCUUUUUCCUAGCUAGAAAUCAUCUCAAGAAUGCUAGGACUUACUUUAAAAUGAAAACCUAUCUUGGUACACAUGGUAUUUUUGAGGUUCUCACUUUCUAUCACGUGGGAAAUUAAGUUAGCUUUCCAACGGUACCAAUUUUGUCCAACUCCGACAUCAGACGAGGAAGUUAUGGAUAUUUUACUUUGUUGGAAAUGUCCAGGUAUGACGACCAAGUUGACGGACCACCACAUAAGUGAAGGGAUGCCACUUUGACUGUCGCAGCCAAGGCAGUUGAGCCACGUACUGGAUAAGGAUUGACGGACGAGUUGAUGGAUCGUCAAAGUUGUGAUGGACCAUCAUCCAGGCCAUCAACUCUUAUCUAGUGAACCCCAUUUCUGGUCCACGUCUGACGGGCUAAGUGAUGGAUCGUCACACGCCAUGUUCAGUUUAUUUCUAGGUCAUUUUAAUAGGGGUAUUUUGGUCACUUACCACUCACCUAUAUAUACCCAGAUAAGUCCAAAUUCAUCCAUUAUGUUCAUUAUUAUUUCACAAAUAAAAACUAGGGUUUCUCUCUAAAUUUAAUUCCCAAGAACAAGACCCAAUUUACUUCAAGAAUCAAAGGAUUUGAAAUCCUUCAAGUUCAAAAACAUCAAGAACCUUGAGUCAGGUAUGCAUAGUGUUCAUCUAUGGUUCCCUUUCAUUCAUAGAGUUGAAGAACCAUGCUUUUAAAUGAGAAACUUUGAUUUCCUUGUUGUUAUGUGAUGUUGUUCAUAUUAAUGAUCAUUUUUUAAGCUUCAAGAUAUUAAUUUAAGUUGAAUUCCAUAAUGUAUGCAUGCUUGUAUUAAAACCCAUGAAUUUGGGUGGUUCAAGAUGAUUAAAAUUGUUGAGAAAACCUAUGCCCCAAGGUGUGCAUGCAAGAUGUUUGUUAAAAUGCCUAGAAUGCUAAAAAAAUCAUGUUCCCAUGACCCCAUAGUAUUCAAAUGACAAGCUAUGUCAACUCUUAAGAUGAUUCCAUAUGAACUUCCAUGCUAUUGAUAUGUGUUGCUAGUAUGAUUAUGCAAUGAACAUGAUAUUAAGGUUGUGUAAGUACUUCCAUGUGACAUGAAAUCCUUUCCAUGCAAUACAUUGUUUAUAACCAUGCUUAGUAUAAAAUCCCUUAUGUACAAUAUUAUGAAUUAUGGACUCAAAUCUUGUAAUCAAGUCAUGUCAUGUGUGUCAGUUUUCUUCCAUCGAGUCCUUAGGGUAUUUGUACCCAAAAAUUAUAGCUGUGUUCCCAGAUCAAAGUCAUAUUAUCCCGAUAAUCUCAGUCAAGCCAUGAUCCAUAGAACUCAGUCAGUCAUGUGACUCAGGAAACCUCGAAAAUCUCAUGAUCUUAGCAAAAUCUCAAAUAGUAAUGCUAUUCCGUCAGUCAACGGAAGUCAGUUACUCAUUCCUUGUAUAGUCAGUUAAAUCAUGUUCAGUCUCUUCAGAUAGGAGUAAAAGUUAGCACCGAGUAAACCCAAGCAUGAGAACUCACCUGCCAGUUUAGUGUUUGACUCUUAGCAGUCAUCUUUGUGUUCCAGAACUACGUAGCUAGCGUAGGUAGAGAGAUUUUAACUUGUCAAACUAGGGUUGAUGAGGUGGCUUAACCUGUCAGUUGAGGGUUUCCACCGUUCUUAUUUCAGUACCUGCUAGUUGAGGGUCACUCACAACUGUCUUUACCAGUAGUGUGAUAUUAACACCCCUCUAGUCGGGGCAGAGAUUGAACCCCAACUUAGCUAUAUACAUUAUUGGGUCAUGUCGGUUAAACAACUACCUCCCACAGUUUCAGGCUUAGUCUCAGUAAAAGAACCCAGAUAGUUCUUCAGAUAUCAGUAUACCAGGACUGCCAGAUAUAGUUAAAUUCAGUUAUAGUAUGGAACUCAGAUAGUUCCAUCAGAUGCAGGACUGUCAGGCAGAUUCACCCAUGUAUCCAGAACUACAGUAUCAGUCAUGAUCAGUUAUCAUUAAACUAUGUAUCAUCGUACAGAUUUAGCUAUCAUGUAUUUUUUAUCUCAGUUUCUAUGUAUCCAUGUUUGCACUCUCAUGUUCAUAUCAGUCAGUUAGUUAGCAUUGUUCAUGCAUGUAACCCUAUUUAUAUGUAGCCUACCUCACUCAUAUACCCAGUACUCCAGUUUUACUAACGCAUUCGUGCUAUGAUGCUUUCUCUUUAUGUUACACCAUAGGUUUAGAGACACGAGUUCCAGACCAGUAGUAGCAGUCGUAUUCCAGUAUACAGAGUUGCAGUGAGUCCUCUUCAUUCGAGGGCGAUAUGAUUCAAUUCAUUUAUUAUUUCAGUUAGUUCUCAGUUUACGGAGUUAGUUGGAGACAUGUUCCUUUAACUCCUUAUUUAGUCAGUUCUUCAAGGCUUUCAGAUACAGUUCAGAUUUAGUUCAGAUUUGAUUCAGUUUUCAGUCAUUUUGGGUAUGUUUCACCCAUAUGGAUGUUAUUUUACCAGAUUCUUUAUUUCAGUUGAACCUUAUGACCUACAUGUUCAUAUUUUCCAUAUUAGUAUGAUAUAUAUUAUAGUGUACAGGUAUAGAUAUUAGUCAUGGGUUAGCUUGUGGUCCUUUGGGUCAUGAGCGUUGUAUAGCAUUUCGGUUCAGAAAAUCAGGGUGUUACAUGCCCAAGCGCACACGCAAGUGUACGUGGUCUUAUCAAGUAGUAAAGUGGCUUUCAAGAAACCAAAUAUCGAUCCCACAGGGACUUGGUUAAACAAAGAUUCAAUUUCAUAAUUUAGAUUCAACUGGUGCAAAAGUAACCAAAAUAGAGAUUUGAGUUUGUAAAUUACAAGUAAAGUAAAUAGUGCGUAAAGUAAAGAUCUUGGACAAUCAAUAGGAGUAAAACCCAGGGUUAAAGCGCUUUGAACAAUUGUACUAUGAUGUUGAAUUUUAUUCAUCAAUUCACUUAUCUUUGUUGUCUAUUUGUAGGGUUAAUCACAGGAUCAUGGUCUUCCGACCUCUAACCAAUUACAUAAUAUGGACAUUACAACUACAUCGUUGAGCGGGGAUGUAAUAAUCAACUAAGUUCUUUAAGCUAUCAUCCUACGUUUGAGUCAAGUAAGGCAUAUAAGUACAUCCCUGUCCUAGACACUAAUUCUUAUUUCUUAUUUCAUAAAAGACUACAAACCAUACUUUGUUCAAUCCCACAUUCUAUCUCCCUAUUCCCUCUCCCGAGUUCACAAGGUUGACAAUGGGUGUACUCUAAGGGUGAUCAAGCCUUAAAAUAGUUAAAAUAAGAUUAAAAAAAACAUAAACAAUGAUAAUCAAACCAAUGAACUAAUAUCAAAACCAUAGUACUCAUGUAUUCGUCUUCAACCUCGGAAAGAGGGCGUUUACCCACCCAUAGUCAUAAUUGUAAUCACUAAAUUUUAAUUAACGACUAAGGACAUGAAUGAACUAAAUUAAAAUGAUAAAAAUAUAAGUUAUGAAGUUUUAGAAGCCUUCUUGAUGUUCCAAUUCAUCCAAAGAUCAAUAAAAAUAUGUACAAAUAUGUAUUUAUAAUGGACAACAAAUCCCAAGCCACAUAGGAUUCAAAGUGCAACUCUUUGCUGUGCUUGGAUGGGGUCGUGACGCGAGGAUGGCUUGACUUGACUAGGGGUAAUGAAGCGAGUCUUGCUUGGUUAAAAUGGGGGUCACGACGCGAGGCUGACUUGAGUCAAAUGGGGUUCGCGACGCACCCCUAUCGCGACACCUCUCUUGAAUUUGCUUCUCGAAAAUUGGUCAAGUGUUGGACGUUCCUCCAUUCAUCCUUGACUUUUUGGUGUCUUUACCUUGUUUUUUCAUCCUACAAUUAAACUAUAUAUCAUCAUAAACAUCUCACAAAAUAUCCUACAAGAAUACACCACCCAUAUUUGAGGUUCAAACAACACAACAUCUAUCACAAAGAAUCAAAAACAAGAGCUUAGACUAGGUUGAUCUCCAUAAUCUUCCACUUCAUGAUUUGAGUAUAUACUUGACUCACUUGAACUUUGUAAACUACCAACAAGUUUUUCCACAUAUAAUGACACCAUUAAAACCAUUUAGAACACAUUAAACACCAUAGAUUCUAACAAAAGAGACUAGACAAGCACCUAGCUUAAGCGAGUAACGCUAGUUUCAUCGAUUGUACUCUAGGUGAUCCAAUUAAACCCAAAAUUGUUUGGAAUACACUUUUCACAUUGUAAUCACACACUUUAUCACUUAGAUGCUUAUUUAUAUAUAUAUAUCAACACCUUAAGCUCUCAAGUUAUCCUCAAAACAAGGCGAAACAAGCAAGAAUAGUAACACUAGAGUGCAUAAAUACACCCAACAUUAGAUAUAGAUGAUGAAAAUAUUAUGAGAUGUCCGUAGUAGAAAAUGCUAAUGUUAGAUCUGAAUUGGUUAAUCUUCCUCCCCAUCCUCCCGGUGCCCCAAUACCUUAUAGAAGAAAGUAUUGCAUAUGAGUUUUUUGAAAAUAGAAGGAGAAAGUAAGGUGCAAUGCAAUAUUUGUGAAAUUGUAUAUGAGCAUAAAAUCGGAGGCAAAAGAAGGGGUAUGGGUUCGUUUAUGAGACAUUUAAGAGAUAGACACGCUAGAGAGUUAAGUAUUGCAUAAGGUGGUGAGGCUGUUAGUGGGCCAGCACAAACUCGAUUGAACCCAACCACCGGUCAAUUAAUUAAGAAUUAUAAUAAAAUGAAGAACCGGAAAGAAAUAGAAAAAUGAUAGCUGUGGUUGUUUACCUUUCACUUUUUCUUCUUCAGAUACUUUUAUUCAUUAUAUUCAAGCAAUUUAUAAUCCUAUGUUUAAUGGUAUUCCUAGAAGUACUUGUUGGGCCGAUAUUUUUAGACUCCAUGCACAAUAUGUUUAUUAUUUAUCUACAAUAUUAAAAAAUAUUCCAUGUAGAAUUGAUCCAACUUCUGAUCUUGGUCGUGCUGUUAAUAAAAAUGAUUAUUUGAUAAUUACUUGUCACUAAAUAGAUAAUAAUUUCGUUAUGCAAAAACGUAUUCUAGCUUUUUUGUAUGAUGAAGGUCGUAGACAUACUAAAAAUUUAUUUCUGAAUCUAUUACUAAAGUUGCAGAAUAUUACGAUAUUGAUACAAAAUUUUUAUGUAUUGCUUUUGAUAAUGCAUCUAAGAACAAGACUGCUAUUGACAACUUAAAAGUUGACCUUUCUCCUCCAUUACUUGAAAUAUUUCAUGCUAAGUAUUCUUGUCAUAUAUAGAAUUUAAUUGUAAGAGAUGGCCUUGAAUUUUUUGAGCUUUAUAUUGAAAAGGACCGGUAUGCUGUUGAAUUUAAUUAGACCGAUAUUAAUGCCUAAAGAAUGUGAUACUAGAUGGAAUGCUACUCAUAUUUAUUUUAAAACUUAUCUUUCUUAUAAAGUUUCUAUUACAAUGACUUUUAAUCAAUAUUCUAGUUCUUUUUUCGAGUGUAUGCUACGUGAUUCUGAUUGGGCUGCAAUUGCUGAUCUUGUUCAGUUUUUGAAAAUUUUUUAUAUAUCUACUGUUGAAUUUUCUAGUGCUUAUUAUCCUACUGUUUGUAAUAUUUUAGCUUAUUUAGCCGACAUUUCUUGUUUGCUUAAAGAAUAUAUGAAUAGAGAAGGUUACAAAAAAGUUGUUACUGUUAUGUUUGCUAAUUUUAAAAAAUAUUUUUUUCGCUUUUCUCAAUUUACUUGGUUGGUGCUAUAAUAAAUUCAUAGAUGAAUAUAAUACUAUGACCGAGUUUAGUUCUAUUAUUUAUACUACCUUAGAGAUAAAGCCUGAAGAAGAACGUUCUUUGUUUAUGGCUAUGAGUGAUGCGAAAAGUUACAUGAAAGCAUUAUAUAACCAUUAUGUCAAUUAACUUGAUGUAGUUGUACUGACAAAUAUCACUCAAACUAUCUCUCCUCAUGCUCCCGAGGAGCCAUCAUCUUCUAAAAGGCCAACACAUAGUGGUUUUACUGAUUACUUUUAUGAUUUAAAUGUUUGGGACAGGAUUGCAACUUCAACAUACAGAACAAGUUCUCGGAAAGUGCUUAAGUAUUAUCUUCGAUAACUGAUAGAGGAUUAUAGAUCAAGGAUCAACGCGUUGGAUUGGUGGAAGAAUAAUGAAAGACAAUAUCCUGUGCUUUCAAGGUUAGUUAGAGAUAUAUUGAAUGUUCCAAUGUCAAAUGUUGCAUCGGGGAGCGCUUUUAGUCAGGAGCGACAACAGCUUGGAGACAACCGACACUCAUUGAGAAGCAAUGCUAUGAAUGUUCUAUUUUGCCUUAGACAUUGAAUUAGAAAAAAUGAAGAAAUCAAGGAAUAGAGGUGGAGCCGAAAGACAAAUAGAAUCUUGAAGAAAUUAUGACUUCAAGGGAGAACUCAGCACAAUCAAGUCCAAUGCAAGGUUUUGCCCCAUUGAUUUUGACUUUCUAUGACAGUUCCCGUUAAUAUUAACAUGCAUGAGUUGAAAAAAAUGAUGCAAAAUUUGUAGAUUUUUUAUUCAUGUAAAUUAUAAAUUUUGGAUCUUUUUGCAAUCAAUAAAAUACAACAUUCAUUCACUCCUUAGUUUGUAAUUUUUUUCAUUUAAAUUGAAUUUCUAGUUUGAAUUAAAUACUUUUAAUACAUUACUAUCAAACUUUACACUAAGUAAUAAACAUAACAAACAUAUCUACAUAUAAUGAAAAAAUAAAAAUAAUAUUAGCAAAUAUUACUUAGACAACUAGUAUUGACAUAUAAAAAUACUAUAAGUUUAUCUUUUAAGUGUAGUAUGUAAAAUUGUAAAUUUUUGAAUAUAUGUUCAAAACUUCAAGUAUUAUUAUAUUAAGUAGUAUACAUUGUAAUCUUGAAUUUAUAUAGGUGUGUGUAUUUUCUAAAGUACUAUAACAUGUAAUGUAUUUAUCUUUCAACUUUCAAGGGGUAUUUAAAGCAGUCUAUAUUCUACAUAUAUGUGUAUAUAUAUUUUCUAUAGACUCUAAAGUAGUAUAUAUUUAACGCAUACAUGUCUAUAUAUUUUCUAAAGUAGUAUAUAUGUUGUAUGUAUAUUAUUUCAAGUGGUAUUUAAAGUGGUAUAUAUUCUACAUAUACAUGCAUAUAUUUUCUAUAGACUAAAAUAGUAUAUAUUUAAUGUAUACAUAUGUAUAUAUUUCUAAAAUAGUAUAAUAUGUAAUGUAUAUAUUUUAUAUGUGUAUAUAUUUUCUAUAGAUUCUAAAGUGGUAUAUAUUUAACGUAUACAUGUGUAUAUGUUUUCUAAAGUAGUAUAUAUAUAGUGUAUAUAUGUUGUAUGUAUGUUAUUUCAAGUAGUAUUUUAAGUAGUACCUAUAUUAUAUUGUACGUAUAUAUGUGUAUAUAUUUUCUAUAUACUCUAAAGUAGUAUAUAUUUAACGUAUACAUGUGUAUAUAUUUUCUAAAGUAGUAUAUAUUCAGUGUAUAUAUGUUGCACGUGUAUUAUGUAAAGUAGUAUUUUAAUUAGUAUAUAUAUUAUAUUGUACGUAUAUAUGUGUAUACAUUUUCUAUAGAAUCUAAACUAGUAGAUAUUUAAUGUAUACAUGUGUAUAUGUUUUCUAAAGUAGUAUAUAUUUAGUGUAUAUAUGUUGUAUGUAUAAUAUUUAAAGUAGUAUUUUAAGUAGUAUAUAUAUAUUAUAUUAUAUGUAUGUAUGUAUAUACAUUUUCUAUAGGCUCUAAACUAGUAUAUAUUUAAUGUAUGCAUGUGUAUAUGUUUUCAAAAGUAAUAUAUAUCUAUUAUAUAUAUGUUGUAUGUAUAUUAUUUAACGUAUUUAAAAUGUAUAUAGGUGUCUAUAUAUUUAAUAAAACAUAUAAAUUAAAAUUUAUUUAUGUAUUUUUCUUUUUUACAUUUUGUUCGGUUUUGAUCGAUCAAAACUGGAUACACAAUAAGUGAGCCGGUUUCGGUCUAUUUCAGUGGUUGAUGGUAGUUCGAAUCUUUAUAGCUAUGAUUCUGCAAUAUCCCUAAACAUGUAUUCAUUCCAAUCUAUUUGUCUCCUUGUAAUUUGAGAGUUGUUUAGAUGGUCAUUCCUCAAAUUCCGGUAUUAAAUAUAAUUUAAAAAAUUAUUUAGAUGCAAAAAUUACAAUACAAUUAAAUGACAUAUUUAAAGUUUGAAAUAACGGAAAAGGCUCAAAAAUAUCCUUGAACUAUUCGAAAUUGCUCAAAAAUGCCCUUCGUUAGAUAUUUGGCUAAAAAAUAUCCCUCCGUUAAAUAUUUGGUUCAAAAAUACCCCUCCCUCUAACGAAAUUCGAAAAAGAAUCAAAAAUACCUCUGAACUAUCUGAAAUGGGUCAAAAAUACCUCUCUAUUAAAUAUUUUUCUCAAAAAUACCCCUCCCUUAACGAAAUUAAAUUAUUUCGAUUAUUUCGUUAAUUUAUAUAAAGUUCAUCAUUAUAUUUCGUUAAUUUCUUUAAGUGAAAAUUUAUAUUCCGUUAAUUUCGUUAAUUUAUAUUUCAUUAAUUUCUUUAAAGAUUAAAAAGAUGUAAAGUGAAAAUACCUUUUUAGAAUAAAUGUAUGUUUAUUUUCCAAAUCAAAUUCAACCAAUUUAUAUUAUAAUUCAAAUGCUUUUCUCAUUAUCUUAUUUUUAAAAUUAAAAAAAUAUUUUUAUGUAAAAAAACUAAAGUAUUAGGGUUAAAAAGUUAAAGUUAGGUUUAAUUCAAUCGAAAUAAUUUAAUUUCGUUAAGGGGAGGGGUAUUUUUUAGCCAAAUAUUUAACAGAGGGGUAUUUUUGACCCAUUUCAGAUAGUUCAGGGGCGUUUUUUAUCCUUUUUCGAAUUCCGUUAGAGGGAGGGGUAUUUUUGAGCCAAAAAUCUAACGAGGGACAUUUUUGAGCUAUUUCAGAUAGUUCAGGAGUAUUUUUGAGCCUUUUCCGUUGAAAUGAUUACAAUUCCCAGCUAAGAUUUAAAUUAAUAGCAAAUGUAUAUAUAUUUGAUUCCUUAUGUAUUUUCUAUAUUUAUUUUAUAUGUCUUAUGUCAUGUAUUGUGUAUUCCAUGACAUUAAUUUAUUUUAUUAGGGUUAAAAAAUUUAUUGUGUAGCUGGGAAAAGGUAUUUAUUUUAUAUGUCUUAUGUCAUGUAUUGUGUAUUCCAUGACAUUAAUUUAUGUAAAAAAAUUAAAGUAUUAGUAUAUAUAUAUAUGACAAUUCCCAGCUAAGAUUUAAAUUAAUAGCAAAUAUAUAUUGAUAUAUAUUUCAUAUGUAUUGGGUUAUAUAGUUAAAUUGUUUUCCUAAAUCUCUCUCACACACAUAUAUAUAUACAUAUGUAUUUGAUGUCAUGUGUAUUUUUAUAUGUAUUUAUAAGAUAGGUUAGUAAAUUAUAUCAACCAUAUUUGCAUUUAUAUUCGAAAGGGAAUUUCAGGAGCCAAAUACAUUUGUUACUUAACUAUAGUUAAGUUUUGUAAUUAGAGAAACAUUGUCCGUGACAGUUGAUUUUUCCAAAAUGUUUAACUAUUUCAGAAAUGCGUAAUUGAUCUAGGAAAUUAAUUGAAGACAAAAUGCAUUGCUAAAAACAUAAAUCCAAAGGGAAAAAAUCCUUUUCCAACAUCAACAAAAGACCUUAUUAUUGGAUUGAACCUUAUUAAAAUGAAAAACAACAACACAAAUCAUGAUUCAAUUUUACAGAAUAACAGACAUAAAUUAGUUUUGGUUUGUCUUGUGAACUCUUUUAGGUCCAUUAUUAAAAUUAGUUGCUGGUGUUUUUCCUGGACAGCGGCACGUUUUUGUUUCAUCACAUAUGGGAUUUACGUCUAUGCAAUCUACCACCUAACACAAUCGUCAUCACUUGAGCACGCAGCAUUGCUUCCUUGUCCUACCAACAUUCAUGGACAUGUCAGUCGUGUACGUAGAAUAUUUUUAUAAACGAUGACAAAUAGUUGAAGAAGUGAAGAAAUGAACAAAAUAGAGUAUAAUAACAAGUGACAUAAUUAUACAUAUUUAGCAAAAAAAAAAAAUGAUGAAGCUGUAUCUCGUGACAUUGCUUGGGGCACAUUAUAUCCUCCUCUAAAUAAAGUUACUGAAACAAAAAAUAACUAGAGUUAGUUUUAUAUAACAUAUAUUUAUUACUAGUAACCUACAUUGAAUGAUAAAUGGCAUGAGCGAUAACAAGUUAGAUUAAUAAUGUAAAAAUGUCGUAACAUUGUAUGUGGAUAUAUACCUUAAUUGAAUCCCAUUCAUGAUAUGAGUAAAGAAACACAAAUUUCUAAAUUUAUAGAGUCGAAGUUGGUAGAUAAGAAAAUGCAAUGAUCAUACAAUUGCUUGCCUGUCCUAACUAGCAACUUUGACAUUAUUGAAAAGAAGAAAUUAAGUAGAGUUAUCAUAUUUUAUAACUCUAGUUGUUCUCUCUCUUCCUAACGGCUCUCUCUCUUCUCUCUCUUCCUCCCUACCCUCUCUCUCGCUCGCACCGGUCACCGGCCCCCGUCGCCGUCGCUGACCGUCGACGCCGACCCGGCCNNNNNNNNNNNNNNNNNNNNNNNNNNNNNNNNNNNNNNNNNNNNNNNNNNNNNNNNNNNNNNNNNNNNNNNNNNNNNNNNNNNNNNNNNNNNNNNNNNNNNNNNNNNNNNNNNNNNNNNNNNNNNNNNNNNNNNNNNNNNNNNNNNNNNNNNNNNNNNNNNNNNNNNNNNNNNNNNNNNNNNNNNNNNNNNNNNNNNNNNNNNNNNNNNNNNNNNNNNNNNNNNNNNNNNNNNNNNNNNNNNNNNNNNNNNNNNNNNNNNNNNNNNNNNNNNNNNNNNNNNNNNNNNNNNNNNNNNNNNNNNNNNNNNNNNNNNNNNNNNNNNNNNNNNNNNNNNNNNNNNNNNNNNNNNNNNNNNNNNNNNNNNNNNNNNNNNNNNNNNNNNNNNNNNNNNNNNNNNNNNNNNNNNNNNNNNNNNNNNNNNNNNNNNNNNNNNNNNNNNNNNNNNNNNNNNNNNNCCUGUCCUGUCCGUACCCCCCUGCCCCCCGCGGGGUACACCAGCCCUCCCCCACCUCGGCCUUCAGCCAGCCAGCCGCCGCCCGGUGCUCCGUCAUCUCCAGCCGCAGCUCCAAGCGUAAUCCGGUGACUUCUAACCUUUGUUAUUUUCGUUAUUUCAUAUUCCAUUUUAUUUCAUUAUUUCAUAUUCCAUUCUUAGUAUUAUGCUAGUAGUAGCCCCUGUACCUUGACUUGCGUGAAAUUUAUGGACAUUGUCUGUUGUCUGUUGUUGCUGUUGUUGUGGUCGUUUCUUUCACUGCUUUGGAUUGGGUUAUUGGCUGGGAACCUGUAUUUGGGGCGGUGGGUGUUGAGUCCGGUGGUGUUUGCCCCCUAAUUGAGUAUAGUUUUGUUUCGGGAGUAUUCCUUUGAAUUUGUGUGAGCCUUGUAUUUCUUUGCUGCUGAUUCGAUACUAACACCGUGUAUAUCUGUAUAUUUUCCUAUNNNNNNNNNNNNNNNNNNNNNNNNNNNNNNNNNNNAGUGGGGGGCGCGUGGAUAGCGACGGUAGGCUGAGGGUUGGGUCUUGGAAUAUAGGGACCCUUCAGGGGAAGUCCAUAGAGCUGGUGAAGAUUCUUAGGAAGAGAAGGAUCAACCUUGCGUGUGUCCAAGAGACCAAGUGGGUAGGGUCUAAGGCUAGGGAUGUGGACGGUUACAAGCUGUGGUACUCUGGGAGCGACAGGCGUAGGAAUGGAGUUGGCAUCUUGGUAGAUGAAGAGCUUAGAGGUCAGGUAGUGGAGGUGAAGAGGAUCAACGAUAGGUUGAUGACUAUUAAGUUGGGCGUUUGGGGGUUUACCCUGAACGUGUGUAGUGCUUAUACGCCGCAAAUGGGAUCAGAGGGGGAGGAGAAGAUGCGGUUUUGGGAGGCUUUGGAGGAGGUGGUGAGAAGCGUGCCUAGUUCGGAGAAGAUUGUUGUAGCAGGGGAUUUCAACGGGCACAUCGGGGCGCUACCGGGAGGCUUUGGUGACGUGCAUGGGGUUUUGGUUUUGGGGAGAGAAAUGACGAGGGGCACCUUUCUCCUUUUCUAAAUAAGGUAAGCUUUGAAGCUGUAGCUUGCUAGUUUUUCCAUCAUCCAAUCCACAACAAAUUGGGUGGUGAACUCGGGCUUCCCGAAGAAGGACGAGCACCUGAUCACCUUUCGAAGCGCGGUAGCCAGGACUCAGAUUGACUUUUUGUUGCUUAGGAAAAGGGAUAGGGCGUUGUGUAAGUACUGUAAAGUCAUCCCGAGUGAGAAUCUUUCGACCCAGCAUAGGCUCUUGGUUAUGGAUUUGGGUAUAAAGAAGAAUAGAAAGAGGAGGAGUAAGGAGGGUAGACCGAGAAUUAAGUGGGGCGGCCUGACGCCAGUGAAUGCGUGGGAGAUAGGGGAGAGGUUGGCGGGAAUGGGUGUGUGGGAGUAUAGGGGGGACGUGGAUAGUAUGUGGGACAGGGCGGCAAGGUGCAUCAGGGAGAAUGCAAGUGAGGUGUUGGGUGUUUCUAGGGGCCGGGCCGGGCACCACCGGGAGGAUUGGUGGUGGAAUGAAGAGGUGGAGAAGAAAGUGGGGACCAAGAAAGGGGCGUAUGCUAAGUUGGUGGANNNNNNNNNNNNNNNNNNNNNNNNNNNNNNNNNNNNNNNNNNNNNNNNNNNNNNNNNNNNNNNNNNNNNNNNNNNNNNNNNNNNNNNNNNNNNNNNNNNNNNNNNNNNNNNNNNNNNNNNNNNNNNNNNNNNNNNNNNNNNNNNNNNNNNNNNNNNNNNNNNNNNNNNNNNNNNNNNNNNNNNNNNNNNNNNNNNNNNNNNNNNNNNNNNNNNNNNNNNNNNNNNNNNNNNNNNNNNNNNNNNNNNNNNNNNNNNNNNNNNNNNNNNNNNNNNNNNNNNNNNNNNNNNNNNNNNNNNNNNNNNNNNNNNNNNNNNNNNNNNNNNNNNNNNNNNNNNNNNNNNNNNNNNNNNNNNNNNNNNNNNNNNNNNNNNNNNNNNNNNNNNNNNNNNNNNNNNNNNNNNNNNNNNNNNNNNNNNNNNNNNNNNNNNNNNNNNNNNNNNNNNNNNNNNNNNNNNNNNNNNNNNNNNNNNNNNNNNNNNNNNNNNNNNNNNNNNNNNNNNNNNNNNNNNNNNNNNNNNNNNNNNNNNNNNNNNNNNNNNNNNNNNNNNNNNNNNNNNNNNNNNNNNNNNNNNNNNNNNNNNNNNNNNNNNNNNNNNNNNNNNNNNNNNNNNNNNNNNNNNNNNNNNNNNNNNNNNNNNNNNNNNNNNNNNNNNNNNNNNNNNNNNNNNNNNNNNNNNNNNNNNNNNNNNNNNNNNNNNNNNNNNNNNNNNNNNNNNNNNNNNNNNNNNNNNNNNNNNNNNNNNNNNNNNNNNNNNNNNNNNNNNNNNNNNNNNNNNNNNNNNNNNNNNNNNNNNNNNNNNNNNNNNNNNNNNNNNNNNNNNNNNNNNNNNNNNNNNNNNNNNNNNNNNNNNNNNNNNNNNNNNNNNNNNNNNNNNNNNNNNNNNNNNNNNNNNNNNNNNNNNNNNNNNNNNGCCGUCCAAGCUUAAAGGCAAAUUCUACAGGGUGGUAGUCCGUCCGGCCUUGUUGUAUGGAGCGGAGUGUUGGCCAGUUAAGAACUCCCACAUCCAAAAAAUGAAGGUGGCAGAAAUGCGGAUGUUGCGCUGGAUGUGUGGACUGAAUAGAGGGGAUAGAGUUCGGAAUGAGACUAUCUGGGAGAAGGUUGGUGUGACUUUAGUGGAGUGCAAGAUGCGGGAAGCACGAUUGAGAUGGUUCGGACACGUGAAGAGGAGGGGCAUGGAUGCCUCGGUCUGUAGGUGUGAGAGGCUAGCGUUGGAUGGUUUUAGGCGGGGUAGGGGUAGGCCGAAGAAGUACUGGGGUGAGGUGAUUAGGCGGGACAUGGAACAGUUACAGCUCACCGAGGACAUGACCCUAGAUAAGAAGGUCUGGAGGGCGCGAAUUUCGGCAGAGGAUUAGGGCCAGUUUGGGUCGCUAGUGUAGGGGUAAUUACUUGGUGGGGGUUUUAUUCCUGUUAUGAUUCUGUCUUCCGUGUUCCAUGUUUUAUUACGAAUCUGUGUGCUUUCCUCUGCUUUCCUCUGUUUUAUAUUACUUAUGGGUGCCAUAUUUAUGUUAUGUAAUCUGCUUCUGUGCUUUACUAUGUGUUUGUAUGGUAUCUCGUGUCUUGAGCCGGGGGUCUAUCGGAAAAGCCUUUCUACUUCAUCAGAGAUAGAGGUAUGGACUGCGUACAUCUUACCCCCCCAGACCCCACUAGGUGGGAACACACUGGGUUUGUUGUUGUUGUUGUUGUUGUAUCAUAUUUUAUAAUAUAAAAAAAAAACAGAAAUUGAUUUAAACUUAUCAAGGUUUAAAUUGCUUACCUAACAAAAUAAGCAAAAAGGAGACCAAGAAAAUCUUAAAGAAUGUUGGCUUCUUCAUUCUUUUCCAAGUUUUGUGAUAGCUCAAUAGUAAC